rnacentral:lncRNA from 1 species
ACCACUAUGAUGAAGAUAACACGUUUGUGGCUGUGUGUUCCAAACUAUCUCAUCCGUGUGUUUAUUGUUUCAUUUCAUCAUACUGUUUGUUACAUUCAAAUCAAAAUAAUACUACUCUCCAAUAAAAUGAAUACUUAGUACCAAUGGCCUUGUCCUCUACAUCACUAUUAUGCAUUCUUCCACCCUAUUUUACAUUCUCAACUCAACUAACCAUUACUAAUAUAUUAUCCAAAUUCAACUAUUACGGUAACUAACUAACUAACUAGUAAUAUAAACACACACAAAAGUGAUAAAUAUUUUCAACAAUUACGGAUGUUAAAAAUUUAAUAACGUAUAAAAAAAUAAUUGAUUUUUUUUUAAACCGUAUGAUAUAUGAAUGAUGAAAAUGUAUGGCUAUUUGAAUUAAUUAAUAUUUUGUUAAUCUAAUAGUGAUUUUAAUACAUCACAAAACUAUAUUCUUUGAUUUAAUUAUAAUUUUGGUCCUCCUAUUUGUAUUUUUUUUAUGGUGUCUCUAUUGUAAUAUCUGGAAUUUUGAUCCCCUUAUUUUUAUUUUUUUAAACUUUUUUAUUUUAAAAUUUAGAAUUUUAGUCCAUCUAUUUUCAUUUUAUUUUACUUUGGAUCCUCUUAAAAAUUAAUUCCAAAUUAGAAAGGAGACUAAAAUCCAAAACAAAACAUAAGAUAUGUUCUUUCGUAAUGAAGCUUUUUGUCAAAAAAAAGAUUGUUUGAUAGGUGAUUAUGUUAGCAUUAUUCCCCGACACUCAUCUUAAACUCAACAGUUGCUGAUGUAUGGUAAGUCUUGCUUGAACAACUUGAAGUAUGGAGAGAACUUGCUUCCACCAUUUAUGUAGCUCAUCUUUUCUCAGUUUGUUAGGUCUAGAAGAAAUUUGCCUCAAUAUAAGUUUUGAAACAGCUCUUCGCAAUAUAACUUUGAGAUGGCUUUCCCUAGUUCUUUGUACCUUGAAGCAGUCUACCCUUUAUCAAUCGAUUCUUGGAGUGGUUUGCCCUUGUUGUGGUCGAUUCUUCAAGCAAUGUUCCCUUGAUGACAUCACUCAUAAAUUAUCGAAUUCCAUAACUGAUUACUCAUCACUAGAACUUCCUCGAUGCUAACUGUUUAUUUGCAAAUAAAAUUAUUCUUUUAAAACGGAAAUUCUAAUAAAUUGCAUAUGUAGGUUUUGAAAUUAAAGUUAUUAUUAAGAUCAUGUUGUGAAAUACAAUGAAUGGGUUAAUGAUCAAAAUACAAUGUUGAUAUGGACAUUAAAAGUGUGAAAAUAGUAAUGUGAAAGUAUGCUUUCAAAAUAAAUCUUGCUUCAAUUAGGUCUUUUGAAGGUUGUAAAGUGGCCUAGUUCACGGUUUUUGAAACAAAAGGAUAUAAGGCUUAAAAAAUUUAAUUUUAACCCACUCACUCUCCUUAAUUAUCUCCAAUCCUACGCUCAAUUAAUUUGACACACGCAUUCAAAUUCCAAGAGAAUUUCGAAGGUGUAGAGGUGAAGACAAAGGUUCAAGUAUUUAUGAGAUUUCCUUGAAUUGAUAAUCACCAAUUUUUUGUGUUUGUUUUUCUUGUUUUGAAAAAAAGGCAGAAGAAAGCAAAUAAACAGGGCUAAAGUUUAUCUCAAAUCAAAUUUAACUAGGCUUGACUCUCAUGCAGAGGCAUUGCCCAACAUAGUCACUAGCUGUCGCGAUGCGAAAAAUGACCACGGGCGUUCGCACACUCAAAAUAAUAAUAGAGUCUCCACCUAACUUCAUUUAUUCCAAAAGGAAAGGGAAAUAUCGAUAAAACCCUUAAAAAUAAAAAGAGGAUGGCCGUCACAACUAAAUUCGGGUUCAGGAGUCCCGAGGAGAAGGAACUAGAACCCCUCACAUUUGCUGUACUGAACGAGAAGUAGUUGACCUAAGAACAACAAUUCUUAAAGAGAUUCCAGCAUUGAUACUUUGGAAUGAUCAUAGUGAAAAGAAUGAUUACAAUACUCUGAACUAAUAGCCUACUUAUCCAUAUAUUAUCCCACCAUAGCCCUAGCCUCAUUACAACCUUGAAAGACCUCGAAAAAUGUGUGUAGUGAGUAUUUGGUAAUUGAAAGAGAGUUUAUGCAAGCCUAAGUUAUGAGAUGGAUCAUUGGAGACUUGAAAGGGAUUAUCCCCAUAAUAUACAUGCACAAGAUACUGAUGGAGGACGAUCACAAACCGAUGGUACAACCCAAAAAAAAGACUAAACCCAUCAAUGAAAUAGGUAGUGAGAAAGGAAGUCGUGAAGUUGUUGGAUACAUAUUUGAUUUAUCUAAUUUCGGAUAGUUCAUUGGCGAGCCUCGUACAUGUGGUUCCAAAGAAGGGAGGAAUGACAAUGAUACUGAAUGAGAAAAAUGAAUAGAUUCCAACUUGCACAGUAACCGACUGGAGAGUGUGUAUUGAUUACAGGAGGCUCAAUGACACGCCCCAAGCGUACGAAAAUUUUUAGAGUAAUAAAAAAUUAUCGAACCUCUGAGACCAAUGGUUAAGUAACGAUUUCUAUCUUGUCGGUGUAAAGCUAGAGUGACCAAAAAUGGGUUUUAAAGAACAACUUAAGUGAAAACGUACUUAAGUAAAAACAACUUAAAUGAAAAAUCUCUUUUGGAUAAAUAGAUUAAAUGUGUAAAAACAAAUAUAAAGCAAAUAGAACCUAGGGUUAUGGCUCUUGUCUUAGACUUCUCCACAUGACUUAAGCAUUUCUAUUACGAUAAUUCCGGCUCGGUUUAUAAAAAAAAGAUUAUUAUGGAAAUACCUACUUUUUCCAACCUACUGCCCUACCUCUAACGAAUGGGAUUCUCGCCGGCUUUCGCUCGUGCAUAAACAUUUGUUAGUGGUCUUUACAUUUGAACAACUAUUAAAAAUUGGAACUUUUCUCAAUUUCAUCCGAUCACUUUCGUAACUUCGGACUUGACUAUUUAAAAACCUACUUUAUGGCAUUGUCUUUACCCUUUCAGCAUAAGGAAAAUGCCUAAAGAUAACACUCCUACUUUCGUAGCGAGUUAUGAUAGGAUUCAUAACCCUUAGUCCCUAGGGACUACUCACUCAUAGUGAGGAAUGAUCCAAACAAAAUGAUUAUGACAAAUGAAGACACAAUCAAUAAAUAGAUAAAUAAAGCAAUAAAUAAGAACCUGAAUAAUGAAAAAGAAGAACUUGAAUUGAUAACUUGAUCCAGCUGCUCCAAUGGAGACUUUUACGAAGUGCGAUAAAAAGAAGCAUAAAACCAAAAACUAGAAUAAAAACUGCAUAAAAAUCAAGACUACCUAUGAAUUUUUAUAUUAAAUUCUAAACAUGGUAAGAAUCUGCUAAUGUUUAAUUCCAAUUACAUACAAUGAAGAUUAGAUCCAAGCAAUCAAAAGCCUUAAAGUGGAAGGAAUUAGGCCGAAAAAUAAAAUAAAUCGGGAGAAAGCUCGCCUUCCUGUUACGGGUUGUAAUAGCCAUUACGGGUGCCCAUAACAACCCUCUGUUAGAAUAAGAUUUGGUUUUGCAUUUAUACCUUUAAUUUAAUGAUAAUAAUGUUGUAUUUGUGUGAGAACAAAUUUGGUACCCUAAUGGUUAAUUAUUGUGUAACUUUAACAUCCAUUUUCGAUUAUGAGUAUAUGACGUGCAACCUCAUCAGUUUCUGAAUGAUGAGUUCCAUUUUCGCUUCUGCGCCAGUUAUAAUAAGUUCUGAAAGAUGUCCAAUGUUGCUGCUGCAAUGUUCUUUCUGCUUAUGAGUUGAUUCACUCCUAAGUAGCUUCUGAGGAGACAUUAUGUUACUAUUACAACGUUCUAUUAGUUCGUGCUUCUGGACAUGACUCUGAUCACCAAACUUCUGAAGAAUGACAAGCCUCUGAAGUUAUGUUACUUAGUUGAAGAUUCUGAAGAUCUCAAGUCAGACGAUUGAGGUUAUCAAGGUUCUGACUGUAGAUUCUGAAGAUUCUGAAGAUCUCAAGUCAGACUACUGACGCUGUCAAGGUUCUGACCAAAGAUUCUGAAGUUUCUGAAUCCAAAUUUAUAUUUCUUCAUUUCAUGCUUCAUCAACUUUCAUCAGAAGCCAAUGAACUUGAAGAUAAGAUCAAAUGGGCACAUGAUUAAAUAGUACAUAGUACAAAUCAAAUAUCCUAUCCACUACCUGAUAUCAUGGGCAAGGACAGUACUAUACAUCACACCUAUCACUGAAUUUAUGGGCGAAGGAGAGUACGCAGUAUCACUCCUUUCAUCAUCCAACAGUGGGCAACUGCUUUAUGAGCUUUCCUCAUUUCCCCCUCCAACGAUCUUUUUCUUAUGAUAUAUAAGUAGGACUUGGAGACUUGAAAAACAACAACGAGACACACAAGAAUUCUGAAGUGCUACUAAACUUGACAAAAAGUUAUCAUUCUUUAUACACAAGUUUUUCUUUAAUUGUUUGUUUAUCAUUUGUGUAAAAUCUUUUUGUAUAGAAGCAACUUGUAACAUACAAAAUAUUAUUCAAAUUGUUUGUUUGAUUCCUUAAGGAGUAUAGGGUAUAGUAGGAUCCUUGAGAAGACCAAAAAGGUUAUUCUUUGUGAGUCUUUAACAAGACUAGGGUAUAGUCAGAUCCUUGAGAAGACAAAGAAGGUUAUUCUUUGUGAUUAUUGUAAUCAGUUGUUUAUAGUGGAUUAAGUCCUUAUAUAUAAGGCGAAUUCACUUUGGUGGGUGGACUAGAGUAGCUUUGAGUUUCAAGUGAACCAUGAUAAAAAUACUUGUGUUUUCAUCUCUUUGUUAUUAACUUUUAAGUGGUGUUCUUGAGUUGGUAAAAAGAUUUUGUUUUGUAAAACCCAAUUCAAACCCCUCUUUCUUGUGUUUUUCAUACCUUCAAUUGGUAUUAGAGCUCCGGUUCUGAUUGUGAUAAAACUUUUAUCAACAUUUCACCGUGUUUAGUACCAAUCCAAGUUUGUGUGAGAAACAAUAGUCGCUGCUAACGCUGCUAAUAUUAUUAAUAGCAAUGAAAGAGAUCACUAUAGUUCAAAACCAUCAAUCUUUGAUGGUGAGAAAUUUGAUUAUUGGAAAGAUAGAAUAGAAAGUUUCUUUCUAGGUUAUGAUGUUGAUUUCUGAGAUCUUGUAGUCGAUGGCUACGUUCACCCAAUUAAUGUUGGAGAAAAUAAUAUAGCAAGAAGUGCUAUGAAUGAUCAACAGAAGAAAUAUUUCAAAAAUCACCAUAAGGCCAAAACAAUAUUUCUAAAUACUAUCUCUUAUACUGAGUAUGAGAAGAUAAUAAACAAAGAUUCUUCCAAAUCUAUUUUUGACUCUCUGAGGAUGACUCAUGAGGGGAAUGCUCAUGUAAAGGAGACAAAGGCCUUGGCCUUAAUCUAGAUAUACGAGGCAUUAAGAAUGGAGAAUGAUGAAACAGUUUAGACUAUGUUCUCAAGGUUCCAGAUGCUUGUUGCAGGACUGAAAGUUCUGGACAAAUGAUACUCUACAAAUUAUCACAUCAAGAAGAUAAUUAGAAGUCUUCCUAAAAAAUGGAGACCUAUGGUAACUUCUUUGAAGCUGGAAAAGGAUCUCAACAAUAUUAGUCUUGAAGAACUUGUUAGUUCUUUAAGAAGCCACAAGAUGUAGCUCGAGGAAGAUGAAUCUCAGAAGUGAGGUAAAUUUGUUGUCCUAAAGUCUAAGCCCGAGAAGACAAAAUCUUAUCAAGUCGAGGAAGAAUCGAAAGGUUCUGGUGAAGACUCAGAAGAUGAUGAGUUAUCACUAAUUUCAAAGAGAGUCAACAGACUCUGCAAGAGCAGGCAGAAUGGUCAAGGGAAGUUCAGAGGAGCCUGAAGGAUUGUUGGUCAUUUUGAUUCUUUGUCUAGACAGAAAAAGCAAUGUUCUGGAAAAGAAGUUAUCUGCUUUGAGUUCAAGGAGCCAGGCCACUACAAAAAUGAUUAUCCUAGGCUGAAAAAGGAUAGAAGGCCUAAUAAGAAUGCUUCUAAAGCUAAGAAGGGGUUGAUGGCUACAUGGGAUGACCCAGAAUCAGAAAAAGAAGAAGAUUCUAAUGAGGAAUAAGUCAAUGUUGGAUUGAUGGAAACAACAGUUGAUCCAAAAGGUUAUGAAGAACCAGAAGACAAGGUGUUGUCAGAAUCAAAAUCCGACUCCGAUUCUGAAGAGGUAUUUUCUAACCUAUCUCGUCCUGAUCUUGAAUCAUGUCUCUAUGAAAUGUUGGAAAAGUACCAGAGUCUUCAUAGUAUAUACAAGGACCUUAAACAAGUCCAAGUAGUUUCUUCUAGAACUCGCAGUGAGCUUGAGAAAGAUAUUUCAUCUCUAAAUGAAAAAGUAUUUUCUUUAUAAAGUAACAACUCUGCUUUGAAAAGCAAAAUUUCAAAACUAGAGGAGGAAAUAGUCUCAAAAGCUUCUGGUACUGAUUGUGUCAUUAGAUAUGACAGAGCAUUCCAGUACUUUCUAGCUAAAAGCAUAGAUAGAAGAAAAAUGACUUGUUUGGUCUAUGGUGUUAGCAGAAAUGGCAAGAAAGGUUUAGGUUGUACAUGAACUAGAAAACCUGAUGAAAGUCAGAAGGUAAAACCAAAACCUCUCUAUGAGCAUUUCGUGCCUGCUAACACUGAGCUUGAUGUCUUUGGAAAGACACAGAAACAUACAAAGGGUAAGAAAUCAGUUCUGAAACCUAAGUAUCAUGCAUAAAUUCCCCAUGAUUAUCCUUCUGCACAAAGACCCAAAGUUGUAAGAAACUCUGGGAAAACUAACAAGAAAGGACCCAGAAAGUGGGUACCUAAGGAUAAAAUCAUUUAUGUUGCAGACAUCCUUAGCAGCUCAGCUGAAACACCAGUCAUGGUACCUAGACAGUUGAUGCUCGCGAUAUAUGACGGGCAAAAGAUCUAUGUUCCAUGAUUUGGAACUUAAGCCUGAAGGCUUCGUUGGUUUCGGAGGAAACCAGAAAGGAAAGAUUAUUGACUCCAGAACUAUUGGUAACAGUAAACUUCCUUCUAUUACUAAUAUUCUUUUGGUUGAUGGUAUGAUGCAUAACCUAUUGUCUAUUAGUAAACUUAGUGAUAAUGGUUAUGAUAUCAUUUUUAAUCAACAGUCUUGUAAGGCUGUUAGUCAGAAGGAUAAUACAAUCCUCUUUAAUGGGAAGAUAAAGAACAACAUUUAUAAAAUCAGACUUUCUGAUUUUGAAGAUCAAAAUGUAAAAUUUCUAAUGUUUGUUAAUGAAAAGCAAUGGGUAUGACAUAAACGUUUGGUCCAUGUUAGCAUGAGAAGGAUUUCUCAGCUAAAUAAGCUUGGAUUAGUGAGAGGCUUAUCCAACCUGAAGUUCGCUUCAGAUGCUAUUUGUGAAGCAUGUCAAAAGGGCAAGUUUUCUAAAAUAUCUUUCAAAGCAAAAACUGGUGUUUCCACCUCUAUACCAUUAGAACUUCUAUACAUUGAUUUGUUUGGACCAGUGAAAACUGCCUCUAUCAAUGGAAAGAAGUAUGGAUUGGUAAUUAUUGAUGACUAUAGUCGAUGGAUAUGGGUAAAGUUCUUGAAACACAAGGAUGAGUCAUAUUUUGUGUUCUAUACUUUUUGCUCACUAGUGCAAACAGAAAUGAACUGCAAAAUAGUCAGAGUCAGGAGUGAUCAUGGUGGAGAAUUUGAAAAUAAAAUUUUUGAAAAUAUUUUUGAUGCAAAUAGAAUUUCCUAUGAUUUCUCUUGUCCUAUAACUCCACGACAAAAUGGGGUUGUAUAGAGGAAGAAUAUGACUUUUGAUCGUGUGACUAGUAUGUCUAUAGGAUUCGUGAUUGCAAGUGCACAGUCAUAUCGCGUAGUUUUAAAGAUUAUCGAACCCAAAUGACUAAUAAUCAAACUUACCAUUAUCUAAUGUUGCUACGUAAAUCUAAGGUUGAGGAUUUCUCUAGGAGUUGAAGGACGAAGAGAAAUAACUACUAACGAAAACAAAACUUUAAUAUAAAUAUUCAAUAGCGGGAUAUAUGUAUGUAACGCAUCAAACCUAGGGGAUUCGAUAGAUAGUUGGUGUAAUCUUAAACAUCAAAAUAUUCUUCAAUAGAAAUUAUUUAUUUAAAAGACUUUGUCUCACACUCUCGUUUUUAUUGACUCUGACCAUACUCUUAAACCAGAAUGCUUCGCUCUCGCUGUCUCAUUUGAAUUAAAAGUAAUUUUUGAAAAUAAAUAAAGUCUAAUUAAUCCCAAAGCGCUCUCGCUGUAUUUAGGAUUAAUGCCUAGUUUCAGCUAUCCAAUUAAAAUCUUAAAAUCUCGUUUUUAUUGACCGUAACCUUUGUUUGCUUUGUACUCUCGUACGAAAAGAAGUUUUGAAUUUAGAACAAGAAACUAUAACCGGAAAAUAAUAUUUUAUAAAAUCCAACACUAAUUAUUUAUGAAUCCCGUCGUUUCGACAGUCUUUACAUACCUAUAUCGAUUGGUUUAGCUGGACAUGGAUUCGAGAACAAACAUGAUAUUCUGAUAAUUAAACAUGAGAUAAGGCAUAAACAAUUAAAAUAGCAAUUAAAAUAGAACCUGAAAUAUAAACCAAAAACUUGGAAUUAAUGUUGAUUCUUGAAUUCAAAUAAUGUCGGCACGCUUUGCAAAUCGAGUACACCGUUACAAUCAAAUUCAAUUGCUUAAAACAAAAAUCGUAAUAGUCCCCGAUGUGGAGAAUAUAUCACUUUACAGGUAAAUAUAUGCUUAAGAAAUACUAAUAAUAAAAUCUGGCUAAAAGUGCACACCCCGGUCUCUGAGGACCGAAGUCUAUAUAUAUACUCACCACUCCCCCUUAAAAGUAGCCUUGAAUAUCUACUAGUGGGGAGCGGUUUGUUGAACGAGCAAAAACCGAACAUGGAGAAAAUUGUGGAGAGGAACAAGGAGGAAUGGGUUGGUGGCGGCUACGACAACCCUAGGUCUUUGGUCCAUAUGGCGGGAGUCACUCUCUCAUUUGGUGGGAGCCAUAUUCUUCUAAUGUGGUGGGCGCCACCAUUCUUCAAUCCAUGUGGCGGGCGCCAACCUAGGUCUUUGGUCCAUAUGGCGGGAGUCACUCUCUCAUUUGGUGGGAGCCAUAUUCUUCUAAUGUGGUGGGCGCCACCAUUCUUCAAUCCAUGUGGCGGGCGCCACUCUCCCAUGUGGUGGGCGUCACCUGUUCUAAUGUGGUGGGCGCCACACAUUUCUUUAUUUUGCUCCAUUUUCUCCCCUUUUUCUUUCCUUUUUUGCUAUUUUCCCCUCUUCUUGCCUAGACAUCUCGUAUUUGAUAAAUACCUGAAAUAAACAUAAAGUACAGCGUAAUACUAUGGAAAAUCAAGUAAAAAGCAAUGCAUGUUAAGUCAAAUAUACGAUACAUUUUCGCGUUAUCAAACUCCCCCAUACUUAAACCUUUGCUUGUCCUCAAGCAAAUGCUGCGUACAUGAAUAAAAGAGUUUUGUAAAAUUUUGCAGCAUAUAGUAUAAAGACUCGUGAAACACACAGUUGUAUUCGGAUACUCAUUCUAGCCUAUAAACUCUACUUUGGUCAGAAAUUGCAUCAACGGGUACUAACUCCCACACUAAGGGUAUCGUUGGAACACAUAGUCGCAAUCGUGCAAUCAUAAGUCUCCCUCCUAUACAAACCAAUCUGAAUCAUGUCAUUAUGCCUAAGCCUACCUUACUAAUCCUUCUUUUUAUCCUUUUUCAUUCUAGUGCAAUCACAUUAAGCUCGUUAUCCUUUCACAUUCAUAGCAAGAUAAUCUGUUAGUGACUAUGAUCUCAUCAUUAUUUCUUUCUUUCUUUUCUCACACUUUGGCUCAAAUAACAACUAAAGAUGGUUAUACUGUUGGGUUAAAUGAUCGGGUGAGGGUCACCUAACUUAGAAGGAACAACAUUUUUCAUAAAUUUUGUCAAUCUUUUUCUCUUUUAAGACUGAGAUCAUACACUUAUUUGCAUCGACUUCUUACGUAGUGUGUGCUUAGGAUGGUGUUGACUGCUAGAUAAACUACUUAAGUAAUAAUAAAGGAUAGAAUUUAAGGCUUCGACAUGACAAAUACUCAAAUCGAUCUUAUACUUGGGAGAUUUAAGGUGUUAAAACGAUACCGAUCUUGUAAUGUUUUUCCAAAUCUCUACAAUCCAACCUAAGUUUAAUUAAUAGUUUAGAAUUUUCAAAAUAUGUACUUGUCAUACCCCAAUUUGUCCGGGCAUUUUAAAACUUUCAUAAAUUCGAUUUUAGUCUCAAUUUGCAUCAUAUGUACAACAUAACACGCAUUUCAUCAUGAAUAACACCUAAAAUAUCAGUAAGAAUAAAUUCUUUAAUAUACAAACAAUUUGGUUAAAUCAUUUCUCAAGUAUGUGCAAAAUCAACGGGUAAAAAGCUUUGAAAUUAAACUUGCAAACAGAGGUGUUAUUAGCCUACGGUCUGCGUAGCUUAAUCUGGUAUGCUCGUUAUAUUUGUCGACGACUUCUUCAGUUGCAUUUUAAUCCGUCUGAGCCUUUUAACUGUUGAAAAUUUAUUUCAAAAUUAAAAGAAAUGUUGUAUUUUUUCAAUAAGUAUAUUUCGUGCUGAUCAUUUUAGUGCAUCCAAUUUAAUUUUUUGAGCAAAUUUUUGCUUGACUUUUAUUCAUUUUUAGUCGUUUUAAUUUUAUUCUUUUGUCAAAAUAAUUAGGGUAUUUAAAUAGGGUUUUCCAUGUUCUUAUCUUAUUUUUAUCAUGUGUAUUUGGAAAGAUAUGAAUUUUAUUUUAUUUGGUUGAUUUAAACGAUUUUAAAUCAAUUAAAUCAUCUACAAGGAGUAACUUUUGCUUUUUGAAUUGUUGGUACUUCUUUAAUUUAAUCUGAAUCAUUGGUUCAAGUUAAUAAAUGGCUCAUGUAAGUUAUCCACAUUUAUUGCAUUUGUCCAAUCAGAAUUAAAAUUCAAAUAAUCAAUUAUAUUAAUAAAUAAAUAAAAAUAUCUCACUCCCACCCAUCUUUGGACGGCUAGCACACGUUUAAUGGGAUAUUAGGGACAAAAAUCUGAAUCCCCUCUCCCUAAAGGACAUGCGUCAGACAUUAAAAGGAGAAUAAAAAAAACUCUUUCGAUCCUUAUCCAAAUAACACAUCUUAGCACUCCAAGAGGAAACAAAAUACUUUCUCUCUCCCAACGGUUACAGGGAGGAAGAAUUAAAGAAAAGAGGGAUUUUCCCAUUGGCUCUCUCAGCAGAAAAGAAAAAGAAGUGCAUAAAGAAAAGCUUUUGGAUUUUUUUGCAAACCACUCACCUACCCUUUGACUGUCUCUCUGCUCGAAAAAACAAAGAGAAAAAAAAAUAAAAACUUCACUCUCUCACUGUUCAUCCUCAUCUCUUCCUCAAAACACUUUUCCAUCUCUCCUCUUCUUCGCUGAACUUUUCCUCUUACACCAAUACUGUCCCGACGAUGAUCCACCUCAUUCGCGCCUUCAACCGUACUCUAACAAACCUCCGCUGUAAACCAUGAAUGUCCAUUAACCUCCCUUCCACCUUGAUUCACACUCCGGACACAAACAACAAACACGAUCAAACCACAACUCACCUCCGUCCGCGAUCCUCUCACCAUCAUUUUUCCGUUACAACCACUCCCUCUCUUCUGCUGCCACCGUGAUUUACCCCAAUCCAACAACAACCUAAAACUCCAAGGCACUACUCUAAGCUACCGUAAGCGAAACGGACUCACCAAGCAUAAAAAAAAUCAUAAUAGACUAAGAGUUUGGAAUGGAGGCUCGUCGGAGCUGUGACGUCACCACCGUACGCUCAUAAAUCCCAGUUUGUGUCUUUUUUUUCCAACUCUUUCCUCGCCAUCUCAUUUAGCAUGGUGGUGACGUCGGUGAUAAAGACGACAUUCAAAAAUAACUUUACACAAUGGAUGAAAGUUCCGGGUCCAGUUACAGUCGUCGAUAUGCUCUUGAAGAUUGGUGCUUAGGUUGAAGCUUUACCAAGAAGUUCUUACUACUGCAUAAACACCAUAGUUUGUUAAAUAAACCUUGCAUCAUAUAAGUUGUAUUUAACAUAAUUUUUGUGCACAUCUUCGUUUGGAUUUGGAUUCGAGUCCGUUUGGAUUUGAUCGCACAUUUUAGGAAUGAUGUGGAUAUGCUAAGUCAAUGAAUAUAUCAAGGAUUUUAUUGCUGCUAUGACUUGAUUAUACUUGAAAUUAUCGCUUCGGUUACGUAAACACCUACAGCAACAAUACAACUCAAUAGCAUAAUGCAUACGCAAGGAAACCUUUCCAAGCAACAACGUGAAAUCGACAACUGUUAGGUGCCCAAGUUUGCUUAUUUGAGCUAUCAAAUGUGGGCAUCUUUCACUCCUUUUUAUCGAAAAAGUGUUCGAAACCGCCCUUGCUUUUGUUGAUUUGCAAUACUAUGUGAAAUGAUCUUGGUACCUUUAAUUUGUGUGUUAUUGUGCAGGAAUUAGGCAUGAAAGAGUAGAAAACUAAGGCACAAGAAAGAUGGCAAAGGAACCAAGAAAGAAAGCAAACAUAAGCAAGCUCGCUAGGCGAGUGAGGUAGCGAAGUACUCGCUAGGCGAGCACUCAGCGAGAUGCCAGCGAACACUCCCAGACUUGGACAGAACCAAAAAGAUCAAAACUCGAUGUGGCGAGGGAAGUAGCUAAGUAUUCGUUAGGCGAGCAUCCAACGAACAAUUCCAGUAGCAAAAACAUCAAGACUCGCUGGAGCGAAUGAGAGAAGCGAGGGCUUCGCCUAGCGAAGGAUUGUUCGCCUAGCGAACAGAUGCAAACUUGUUUUGGAUGCAGGCUCUUCUGGUGACUUAUUUUGGGGCUCGCUAGGCGAACCAUUCUGCUCGCCUAGCGAGCAUGACAGCUCAACAACCAUUUCUAUAAGUAGUAUGGGCUACUUUUUGGAAUAGGAUCUUUUUAUAUCUUUUAUCAUCUUUUUACUUGUUUUUUGCUAUGAGGUGAUUUUUGUGCCCUAGAAACCCCAUUUCUCAUUCUUCUUCUUCUCUUGACAAUAUUUUACAAAAAGAAGGUGGAUUCCCAUCCAAUCUCGAUUCUUCGACUCGGAUGUUGAUCAACCCUCUUCCGAAACUUGUUGGUUAGCUACCAUUGACAAAUGAUAGCUAAGUCCUUCAUUUUUGUUUUUUUAAGUUAGAUGUAAUGAUCAUAAGCUUUGUAUGGUAUAUUCGGGUUUGAUCUUUCAUUUUGAAACUCUGUUGAUGAUAUUCUGUAUGGUGAAAGCCUUGUUUUUAUAAAACCUUUUGUUGGUUUAUAUUGAAAGGUGUUUUCCAACGCUUGCCCUAAGGUUUCAUCACAUCCUUAGUUCUUUAAACAAGAUAGAUCUAAUGAAUAGAGUUUGUCAACCUAAAAAGUUGAACCUAAAAAGUUGUCAUUUUGAUAGAAAAAUUGUUGGAGAAAAUCAUACAAUGGAUCAAAAUGGGAAAAACCCACAAUGUGUGUUAGAAAUAAACAUCAUUGGAGGAUUUGGUAAUGUGUUUAUCAUCUAAUUGGAGUUAGUGGAGGGUUGUGUGUGUGAGUCGAACAUACUCAUGCAAACGGGAUCGUGGUUGAGUAUCCCUAACUUUUGACAAUCUUUUCUCUUCAAAUUCUCGUAAACAAAAACUUUACCGCAACUUUUUACUUUUAUGCAAGCUACUGGUAACCGAAAAACUAAAACCCCUUGUUACUAUAAGUUGAAGCACGUUAACAAACUGUCGAAGCGGCGGCAAUAUCACAUAAUCCCUGUUGGAACGAUAACAUAAUUCCCGACACUUCUAUCCCUAUCCACAAAAAUGGCGCCGUUGGCGGGAUGUUGAAUUGAUAUUGCGAGCAUCGCAUUGUUCUGAAGUUUUGACUUGUGACUUGUUAAUUUGGUUGGUGUUAGUGUGCAGUUUCGUUUUAUGCGAUGGGCAGUUUCCUGAGGACCCACUUCUUUUUGAUCGAGAUUCGAAAGAAUCCGCAUAGGAGACUGCAUAGCAGAACGGAUGAUAGGGAGGCACAACUAACAACGACAAGUAUACAAGGAGAAUGGUUUCUUCUACAUAACACCCACCAAACUUUUCACACUAUCAUGGAUCCAUCCACCACCGCCCGCCCGUUUCUCACACAUGUGUCCUACAGUCCGAGGUAAUGAUAGCGCAGUUUGCCAACCACAUCAGGAGGCAUAGCUGAGAUGAAGACGGGAACUCUUAACUUGCUAUACGGAAGUGCCAUUUUUUCCACCCCCGGAAAAAUGGACCCUUCAUGGAACGACCCCUUUGCCUUUUUCUACUUCAAAUUUUACGUAUAGCAUGUGCAAGCCGGAUUGAUCAGUCUCAAGAGGCUAUCCGGUGUUCAAAAGACUAUUUCCUCUCUAGGGGAAGUAUGGACUGGCAAAGCCAAAGAUUUGGGAGCUAAUGUCGAUUAAACUACACACCGUCGAGUAAGUAUAAGACAGGAUGUCAUAGAGAAACAGUGCUGGCAAGGAUGAGAGGUUCAUUGACAUGUACUUUUACCAUAUCCACAUACUACGACUUCGAAAUUGCGAAUUCCAAAACGUGCGUAAGACUUAAUUUAAGUGAAAUUUUCUGUGUAAGGGACGACCACGAAGGCUAGAAUUCACUGAUGAGUCAAGGCAAAUGUAUAGUCUAAAUCCCAGAGUUCAAAAGUGUCACAUAACAGAGAGUUUCUUGCAAAGUUAGAUGACGAUAAAAUCCCCACCAUGAUCUACAGAAUAGCUCUCAAAACUUUAUUAAUCUCGAGCAGACUUAUAUUGAUGAAUAACGCACGGAGCUUCCCUGUAUGCUUACCUUACUACAGCGUAAGCCGUGAGUCACUGAAACAAAUCAUCUCAUACGCGUAAGUGGCUCUACAUAUUAUCUCCGAUAAAUUCAACGAUUAGAGAGCAACACUUUAAGAAACCAGGAGUGGCUUGAACUGGGAAUCGUUCCUAACGGAGUAGCACUAAAGGAUAAUGUGCUGACGCCAAUACUACAGUUAAUUUUUAUCACUAACGAAAGACUCGACACUUCUUAAUAACUUGCAACCAAUUCACGAGCUUUAGAGAAGCAUGAGUCCCUCUUAACAAGACAUAUAGAGCACACACUACGAUCAACCACGUUGCUCUGUAACUUUGUCAAGGUUGAUGCAAUAAAGACAGCAACCUUGCAAAUAGUUAACCUCCCUAAGAAACAAAAACUUUGAAUUUCCUGUUCUUGGCUCAGUAUUUCCUUGUUUGUCAAUUUGCCAAGAUCCACUCAAUCCUUUUCCACUAACAACAAAACUCAGUAUUUCGUCAAUCUCACCAAAAUAGAGGCGCUUGUUUCGUCCACUAUUAAAGCUCACUUGAAUUUCGGUCAAGUUCACAGAGAUGAUAAUUGACUAUUGCUGGACAAACUUACACACCGCAGAAACUCCAUACUUCGUCAUGCUAGAUUUGGCAAAAACAAUCACAAAUCAACAGUAUAUCAACAUCAGCGAUCUCCAAAAAUAUACAACAAUUGAUACAUCUUAACGAUGAAGAAAUCUAAGGUGAACUCAUCACAUACGCCUUACGUAUAGAACUGAUAUUAAGCUCAAGUUACCCGGGAGUGUAUUCUUUCAGAUCCACAGCGUCAACCACAUUAUCUACAAUCCUACGAGACGCACACCGCCCAUAUAUGAAUUUUGUUUAUCCAUGGCUUUGCGUCAACUUAAAUUGAUAUACAGAAAACUCAUCACACCGAUUAUAAAAGGAACAAUUAGCACCAGAAACAGAAUACUGGAGUUUCACCAAAUAAGUUCAAUGGUGAUGUAAGGGAAAAAAGACAUCUUUAGAGCAACUGGUUCGACGGGCAAUAUCCAUACAGCAAAUCACAUCCUUCGAUAUAUCUCCAACACUUCUUGUAGGUAUCGAAAACGAAUUCUUGCAACUAAUAGCCAAUAAUCUAGAGAGCAUAACAACCAAUCCAAUCAAGUACUCAUCUUUGCUUAUCACUGGCAGACAGGCAAACGAAUGCCAUAUAUUCAUGUGAAGCGAUAUAUACUUAGUAAUUUUGGAAUGUGAUGUUGAUUAUUAUAUAUGAUUAAAGAGAUUAGAUAAGUUUUGAAAAAAGAUUAGGAUUGAGAAAUAUAUACAUUGAGAAAAUAAUAUAGAGGAGGAACAAGCACUAGAUGGUUGAAGUGGUGUGAGUGGGCUGAGGUAGAAUCCGUACUUAAAAUGGAAAGAAUAAACCAUCGCUUGCCGUAUGAGAGAAAGCAAGAAGAAAAGCGAAAUUGUGACAGUUAAAAAAAAAAUAGAUCGUGAGUUAUCAAGGUCAACUGGCAGAUGGGUGAGUAAAAUAAAAAAAGAAAAAAAAGCAGAGAGACCUGAAGAACCAAACGAGAUAUUCUACUGGAAAGGAGAUAGAAUUGGGCGCUACAUUCCAACCCAAAACCUCCACGUUAUUCACAUGCGGUCCCUAUCUCAAAGGGUAGAAAUGAACGGAAAAAUCCACCCUCAACGCGUUCAUGGAUAAUUGCAAUAUUCUAUCAGCGCGGCACAUCGCCACACAUAUCAUAGCUAAAUACAAUUAUAUAUGCCUAAGGUACGGACACGAGUACUUCAAUGAUAACAUUAUCCUUAUUAAUUAAGUGGAUGUAUUAAAACCGCGAACCGUAUUGGAGUACUACAGGGAGAUUGUCACAGUACACUUGCAUGUACCUCUUUCUAUGCAUGUGAAAAGACUAUGGCAUACGCAAAAGCUCGGACACCAUAGAAACGUACAAAGAUCCGUGAUUGCAUCUGCAUAAAUGUAUGGCUUAUGAGCUGUCGAAAAUCAAGAGAAAAGAAGAGAAUACAAAACAAAAAUCCCAUUAUCUUCCUGAGCAAGAUUACCAUAUAUAGAGCCGAAAUCGUGAACAUAUGAGAGGUGAUGUUGUACAUGCUAAAGAACAGAUAACCUAUAUAAUUGAUAUUUAGGAGGUAACAGGCACAUGUUAGAUCACAUAUACACGAUUUGUCUAUUGCCUAAAGAGCUGUGACUACGACUUAGUGCGGAAAUCGAAAAAGGACAUGCGAUUGCAUAAUAAACACAGGAGGAAAAAUGAAACUUAUUCGCAAAUGAGCAAGCCUGAGUAAGUACACAUACUCGCAUUCAAAACUCAACUGUUUAGAACUCACCUCCAUAUCUCGUGGAGCGUGACCCCAAGUAAUUCGGAAUUGCGACAACAUAUCAAGUAUCCUUACACAACUUUGUUGCACCCAUGUAGAGUACUAAUCAUGGAGCGUAUUUUCAACCAUUGUUAACGGAUAGAGCAUCGGCACCAUGAUCUGAUUGGGAUGGGAUGUUGAACGACAUAACUGUGCAAACCGUUCUUACAUCCUCUUGGCCUGGAAUCCAGAUGUUACAUGGCCAGAAAACUACCGUCUAAAGAGACUCUGCCAAGUAUUAUCUUGCAGUAUGAACGUACGUCCAAUGAAUGUCACAAGAGUCACAAAGCUACACACCUAAUGCAAGUAUGCGACUAAUAAGAUCCCACGCAUUAGACCAACCACACCCAAUGACCAGAUAGCAUCUUAAAACUUAGGCACAUAGAUUGUAUCUGUUGAUAACUUUCAGCAUUAGACAACUGAGAAAUGAUAACAAACAUUGCAACUGUUAUGAAGUUCUAAACGCCGUAAUACACACUAGUUCGUCCUUAAAAUCUUCGCUAGCGGAGUUAGCUUCUGUCUUGAUGUACAUCGUUUUGAAUUUCCGUGACGAUUGUUACCCCGGUCUGAUAAGAGCAAGCUUUGUAGUGAAUCCACUAAGAGCUUGGAACUUUUGAAUCGUCUACAAUAGGGAUGUUUACGAUUCGGGAAUGUUAAUUUGAGGAGGACAGUAGCAUUGUAAGAGAAAAUGGUAUGGUUACAAAGAAGCCAGAGAGAAAUACAAGACGCUGGAGACUAGCGUCAAAAAGUUAUGAUAUAAUGACGUUUAUACCUUUCUAUAUUCGAAAGUAAAGAACACCACACGCAGACAACAGAGACCACCCGAAGCAACAACGCAUAACCGAGGAUUAUGACACACUAACCGACAAGUUCAUAUUAGUCAAAAGAACAUGAACGAAGCCCAUACAGAUCAACAAUGAAAAACUCGCAAUUAUAGAAAAAAACUAGAAAAAAUCGAAGAGGAGCGCCAAUUAUGAGGGUUAGACAUCGCGUGUAUCCUAAGCUAGCAGAAAGCGCCAAUAGUCCUGUCCACCAUAAAAGAAUUACACAAAUGCUUAAUGAGAAAACCUCCAGAGCAAACUAAAUUGAAGAACAAGAGAGCUCAUCAGAGUACCUCAACCAAACAGAGUGGAAAUAUGUAAAAGACUCCUACUUCAUCACAAUGGAAAAGAAGAAGAAUGUAAUGACAAGGACAGGGCAACCAGGUUUUGAGUGGUGGAUGUCGGUAUACUAGAGGAAGAAUGUUAUUACGCCACGAUCCUAAAUCAGCCCACGGAUUAGGUCUACUCCCUCAUCACUCUUAGUUCCGUAAAAAGAGGUGCAUAUAAACCUUGGUGAUCAAAAUAGACAAAGGGUAGAUCGUAGAUCACUCAAAAAAAAAACUGCAACGCGGAAUGCGUAUGUCCGCACUCGCACUACAUAUAGGCAGUUAAAAUAUAUCCUCAUCUGCAACACUUAGAAUCAGACAUAGAUCUUCAGACUGUUUGCAACACACUUCUAACGCCGUUAUUGGGGGAGUCAAAUUGCUGCAGACAAGAGUAAACAUCGGUCUUAUGCCGAGACUCUCACUGAACAAGAAUAAAUCCAAGAGCAUCAUAUAAAGUUUGGCUAUUCUGGGUAAUACAAACUAUUCAGGUGAUCGACUGGUACGAGCAUACCAGAAAAAGCGUUACUACCAAGCUCUAUCCAACCAGUCCCUUUGGAACAUUACCGGUAUAAAACCAGAGAUAAAAAUGCCUCUUAGAAGAGAUAAUAGAUAUCAAUAGACAUGGCACGACGACUUCCAAAGAAUGUGGUGCAAGCUGUAUUGUUUUGCCUAACUUAUCGAAAAACAUGAAGUCUUUAUGGACGACCCUCCGUAUUGGUGUGUUCUUUGGUCGAUCUUGACAACUGGAAACGUCUUGAAAAAUGUUGAAGAAAAUCUGUCUAAUUGGAGAAUCCAACUUCAGGUGACCAGAGGAUAGGCUUGGCCAUAAAGUCUCGUAAGAGGCUUGGAAAGUUGAUCUGUGCUAAAGUUGAAGUAUUGAAAAGUGCCUCCUCCGAGAAUUUGAAGGAGUCCAAAGCUUUCUGUGCACGCUGGACUAUGAGGGGCCGCUUGAUUUGACAGACCUACUAGAAGGUAGCGCGAGCCUUUGAAACAUCUACACUAUAAUGAUCGUCUAUACUGGCCGGUGAACAAGAAAGUGCAAUUGCUGAGUUGGGAAAGCAAUGUGCAAUGCCGCAUAUCAUGCGAGUUGGUUGUACAAAGUAAAAGUGAAAGAGUAUCAGAACAAAAAGCUUAGAAAGGAAUGUGCCCGGACAGUUGGUUCUUUCUUCAAUUCAAGGUUUGAGGCUAUUCGCCGAAAAUGAAUUCUAAAUGGUCCGGCCAUCCUCGUUCAUAAGACAGUCAAGGAGUAUGGAGCUGUGUCAUUGAGACUUGGAAAGAAAGAUAGUUGACGGUUAACGACCAACGUUGUGAAGAUUACUUGCGCUUGUGGAUCGCGAGAGCUGUGCAACUGCUUGGAUGCUCGUCGUAGCCAUCUCGACCGUCGAGCUAUCGACGUUAAACAACACUGCUUGUGGGUAGCACCAAACAUUGACAGUAUUUAACAGCUUUGUUUUUAUGUAUGGUGUCAAAUUGGUGAACCUUGGCUGAAUUGUUGCUCAGUGCUGUUGUUGAAAAAUACAGACCUUCAUGUUCGUAGCGCUCGCUAGGGCAGACAGAACAGUAGCGAGCCGUUCCCUAGCUGCUCGCUUAGGCGAACGGUGCGCACAAAAUCUUUUUUAUUUUUCCAAGAGCCACUCAUUUGGCCUCAAUAACCCAUUUAUUUUGUUUGAGUCUGUAACAGGGUCACAAACUCACUCCAUUUCACACUUUUCACCUUCCUCUCACACAAAAACUUCUGAGAAUCAUCCUGUGCAAACCCCUAAUGUAUUGCAUUCAGAAUCAAUCAACCUCUUCAAAUCAGUUUGUUUCUUGAUCUCAUCUUGUUGCUUCAAAAUGUUGUAUCAGAUCGGCUGGGCGAAUCUAUUGCGAUGAGAUAAACGUUCCGGUAGAGCGGGCGAAGUCGGGCGCGAGUUAUACGCCCCUUGACUUUCUUGGUCUCAUCAUGCUUUGUGUCAACAGUUGUCGAGGUGAAGUCCCUCUCCCAUUAGGUACAGAUUCCGUCCGUCAAAUCGAGUAUCGAUAUGGACAAGUUAGUAAGCGAAGACUCCGUGGUAUACACUGCUGAUCGAUAGCGGUUGCUGGGAUGGUCGUGCUCAACCCACAGAUGCCACCCUUUCUACAAAGACGGCUAAAGAAUCCUAUUCAACAACACAAUUCCGUCCAAAUCCCAAUCUGGACAUUAGGAAUAACAGCAAACAAAAAACACAAAGCAGCGCCGAUUUAUGAACUAUAAACAUAACUCUACUCUAUCGGUUCCAAAUUAUCAGUCGCCAUGGUUACUUGAAUGCAACCUAACCUCCAACUAGGACACCAUAACCCUAAAAUAUUCGAUGCUCCCGCAACAUUAUUGUACCAACCAGCUCACCCUUACCCUACAUGACCUGUUCGGAGAGGGGGGGCCCAGGAAUGCCUCGUGUCUCUCAAAAAAGUUACUGCAACUGAUGUUCUGGUGGCUGCCGAAUUGCCGUUAAGUAAGCUGUCUGAAAGACGAUGAUGAUGACAGAGAAUAACAAUCACAUUAACCAUAGAUCUCCGAACAGAUCGGAAUCUCGCGUGAAUUUCAUAGCCAGUUACAGAGAAAAUAAGCGGGUAGCCACAUACCAAUAAGCACACAGCUUUUUAUUCAAUCUAAGACUAUUUCACUUCUCUCUAAGACAUUUUCUCAGAUAAGUUGGUAUUCGGUAGCAUCAAAGACUCUAAUCUUAUAUUUUGCGUUUUAGACCACCCCGUAUGUCACUGCGAACUAUCUUGACACAUUCUCUGGAAGUGAUGUUGGUUAUGUUUUAAUUAUUGAUGGUGCUUUUUCAAAUUCAUAUUGUAAUAAGAUCUUUGAUAUGUUCCGAUGUUCAAUAAACCUCUAACGAUUGAACAAUAUGACUUACACCUUCAAAGAAAGAACAAAACCAAAAAAUGAAAGUCACUCCAGAGACUAUGAAACGUAGUAUGAUAAAGAAGUAUGACAAAACUGAGCAAUUACACCUUCCAAAAAACGAACCAUGUAUCCCCAAUUGUGCGAAAUCCCCGUGUUAGAUAUUUUAUGACACUGCAUAUACAUACUUAUCUUAACUUUUCGCGAUAAUGUACCUAUUUCCUUUUGCACAACAAUUAUUAACGACAAACAAAAUAAAUCAUACUACUAAGCAAUUUAUACACAAAAUUCGGAUGGUGAAUACCCUCACCAUUGAAACACGUAAAUGCUAAUUUCUAAAAACCACUGUUGAUCCAAACACUUGAGAUCCAUGCUGCUUUGUCUUAUUAUUGGGAUUACUGUGACAGCAAUCUAAUAAUGAAACUCAACAAAGCGCAUUGCUUCUCUUAUUCUGUAGAUCAUCUUAACCUAAAUUUCCGAGAACUACAAUGGACCUUCGUUUACGAGCAUGAAGAGUAUACGUAACAACUGCUUCCUAAUAGCGAACACAGUUGAAUCUAACUAGCCUGCAAGACAGCGAGACGUCAAAUAUUUUCUUGAAACCUCUGAAAUUUCUGACUAAAUGGCUGUUUCUUGUUAGCCGAAAAAAAGAGCAAGACAAGCAUCUACCAAACAUAAUGGGUUUAGCUAAAAAAUCUAAUUGAGGAGACAAAAAAUCCGCCGUAGAAGUCGCCGGUGAGCCUACUCCCCAACGACCAAGCACCAAAACCACUCUAAAUAACCACAGAACGCAAAAGCAUUGAAAAAAAAAUAGCAAAAUGAGAAAAUUUGUUGUGAAACAGAUGUGAAAAAAAAGAAAAUGAAUUGCUUCUUGAACGAAAAAUAGUGAAAACAAAUUUGAAGUCAUGAAAAAAGAGUUUGAACGAUCUAACAAAUAAAAAAACAAGUGACACGAAAGUUGAGAUCGUGUGAAUAGCUUUAAAUGAAUGCUCUCUUUGCAUUGGCAAGUCGUUUUUCCAAUGGCCUUAUAUAGACCAUUGAUUGAACGGCUGACAAGUACAGACCGAACAGACCUUAUGGAUCUUCGUGCUUCCGCAUUUCAUUAUAUUGUUAGACAUUAAUAUGAAAACUGACACCUAGCACUGUUAACCAACGUAAUCGUUUCUUCAAAAGGCACCGAAAGGCUGAAAAAAAAGCUCACCACCGACGGUUAACCAUCUUCCAAUGUCGCGCAUGCCUUCUAAGCUGCGGUAACCAAACAAACAUACUAGUUUCUAUUCUCAAUCCUUUUCAGGAAGUCGCAUUAGCCAGAAUAGGGUAGUGAUCCAUCAAUAACAUCUGCCUGGUGGGACAUUGAAAUUUUUAGCAUAAAAAUCACACCAGCUUUAGUUCUUGCGUAUGUUAUUCCUAACCAUUGCUAACUGUGAUUGGUCUGGUUCAUCUUCUCGUCUUGGCAUUGAGCCCAUAGCCACACUAUAACGGAAAAUCAUUAUGUACUAAAUCCAAUGAUUCCACCAAGAUAAGAAACCCUCUGCUCCACAAGAAGCCACGAUAACUUGCUUUAAAUGUUCAACCGACCAAGCAUACGAAUCAAAGUCGGGCAGACAAAGUUGUCUAGCAAUCGCCCCCAAAAGCAUGUGCUUAACCUUGAGCAUCAAAAGUGGCAAUCUUAUCGUAAUACCAUUUGUCCCAAAAUGUUAAGAAAAACCUCAAAUACCCUCUCUUGGGUCAAAACAUAAAUGAUGAGUUUUGUGUCAUAAACAUCUGUAACUUGGCAGAACUAUCAAAAGAGUCGCACACACCGAUCUGAUACCGUCCAAAUUUUAAUUCUGUGUGUCUGCAGGAGAAGAUAUGGCACACAAAAAUGUACAAGAAACGAAAAGCACUAAGAAAUGAGGCAAACGGAACACCAACACAAGAACACAAACAAAGCAAACGCCCCGCAUAUGUUUAUCAAAAUCCACCGAAGCGUGAGACGUACGCGGAAGUACUCAUAUAAGGCGAGCACAUCAUGCAGACCGCAGAUAUGACACAGAACACCUUGAGCAUACUUUUAGUACACCAUACACAUAAAAAAAAUCAAAAUACUCUCGCUGUGGCCCCAGGACAAAUAGCUAAAAGUAUUUCGCUCCCUUCCGCCUAUUGACCGAGUUCAAAAAAUACGAAUGCAAAGUUUGGUCACCUAGCAACAACAUGAAUAAUUCACAAGACACCACCAUAACCAAUACCAAUCAACUCACUAAAAACAACAAUCAAACACAUCAACCCUAGCGAAUGAGAAGAAACGAUGCGUAGCUUCUGCAAACUAAAGCGAAGAAUCAUCUUGCAAGGCAACUUACCGACUCAGACACACAACACAACCGAUCAGGCGAAAAGAGAAAGACAAAGAGAAGUGAACAAGUAGAAUCUGUCAAACUUCCCUGUACGAAGCUAGUAGCAGAACGGCCUCCUCAACAUAAUUCUACAUACGAUCAAAACUGACACCUUUGAUUCAAAUUUUAUGCUACUGGAAACUUGAUUCACUACCCCUUCGCUGGUGCUCCCUACAAUACACUUAGCAACAUCCUCGCCCACAUCGCGAGUUAAUAGAAAUCUUGUUCCAAGCGUUCUGUCCAAGUCUAGCAUGGGGUCGGAGGCCUGCGCAACACAAUCAGAAAAAUCAAAUAGGCUUUGGGACGACGUGAUCACUCGCUGAAGGAGUACAAAGUUCGUAGAUCACAUGCUGCAAAAUAUCUAAAACUCGCUCUACACGAUCUCUCUUUAUGUUCUCCUAUCUUUUCUUAGGUAUACCUUGCCAUGCGCUGCUAUCGAAGCACUCUAGAUUUGCUGGAUAACUUAUCAUGCCAAUUCCUCACAAUAACACACAACAGUACAACGCACCAAAAGAUCAUUUCAACAUAGUAUGAAGAACAAAGCAAUGCAACAACCAAGCCAAGAAAGUUUCCAACACCAUAUAUAAACACAAAAAAGCCGAAGAAGUGAAAUAUCAUAGAUACAACACAGAUUGAAAAUAGCUGCAAAUAAAAGCAAAACCCUAUCAGGCUAUGCACUAACAGACUCUCCCAUGACUCCACAGCACACUGAGCGAGACUUAGAUUCUGCUAAUGAGCCAACAAGGAGAAAACAAAAGUAUACGAACUCUUGAAGAGACAAACCAGUGCUAUCAUAACCAAAAAGAACGGACUUAAUCAUCCGAAACUGAGGCCACUAUAUACAUGGCCUACCAAUAAGAAAACUAUUAGAUAAUGGACUAAACACAAGACGACAAGUUCCCUAAUGCUUUACCCGAUAAUAUCCUACAUAGCAACCAAUACGCCACAAAAGACACUAAAAAUCUAAAUAAGAGGCAAUGCCCAAAACAUAUAGAAGGACAAAUCCAAAACACAAAGCUCACAGACAUUGAAAAACACCCUAUCCCUCUUGAGAUAAGGCAAUCCGAAAAAACAAUACACACAUAUGCGAAACGCGGACAAUGUUCACUCUCAAAAAACCAACAAACAACUGCAACCAAGUCAACAAUCAUAAAUUAACAAUAAUAUAACUCGAAAAUGCGAGAGCACGAGAAAGAUCACUAAUGCUUUCCGAGAGGUCUGUAAUCAAUUGGCCAUACAAACACACGGAGUCAGAGUUAAAUAUAUAAGUGCACAGUGAAAUAACUGCAAUCACCACAAAAGAGACAUCUACUAUAACCAACAAACAACAUCUCAACACUUCUGUGGUUCAACACUUUGGUCUCCCUCCUACAUGCGUGAAAUUCCCGCAAACAACACUAUGACAUAAAAACUCAACCCGUGUAUUUCAAACUAUGUAUUUUCUUUAAACAAGGCAAGCAUUCAAAUUCAUUGAAUUUCACUCACAUCGUAUUUUCUGACAAAACAAAUGUAUUUCUCACACAUUGGUAAUGAAUGUUAUUCUCUCAAUUAAAACACGAAUUCAAAUCGACUCGUGAUUGAAAAGACGCUGAAUCGCAGCAAAACCGGUAAAAACAAUGAUUCUCAUGGUUUCUUAUGCCAGUCCAAGCUUAAAAAUCCCUUUUAACAAUCCACCGCCAAGAAGUAUACAUCUCUUGACUCUCUUCAAUCCUACGAAGCAACAAGACACACAUACAAAAAUUUACAGGGCUCAUUGUUUCAAACACAAGAAAAUUUGACCAGGUCCUGAGCCAAAUAUUUCAAUCUGAAUAUUAAAACUAAAGUCAUAAGCUCCCAAAGGGUCCAACGAAUACUCAACAUCACUACAGCCGUAGGGCUCAAAAUCGUACUGUCGGAUACUGCUUGUCCGUCCCGAAAAAGACACCACUAAGCGCCUUAGCCAUUUAAUCUUAAAUUGAUUAUCAACAACACAAAGCCACACAACCAAUAGAAUUAGUCACCAAGAUCAAUCCCCAUCAGCGAGAAAAUCAAGAUCACACGAGUAAAUGCAUACGAAUCCAAUACGCCAUAUCAUGCUACAAUGAGUAAAGAACCUUUUCCCACAAAAAAUCACCAACUUCAGAAAUAGCAAAAUCCUAUAGAGAACCCUAAGGUAAUACAUCACUCAUAUGCAUGUACCUGCUAAGUCGCAUAAACAAAACCAAAUAUUCACUAUUAGAAAAGACACACACACAAAAUUUCCAACCUGACAUAUGCCAAAAAAUGUAUCUACGUCAAAAAUUACUAACCGGUAGAAUGACAAAGACCAGAUACCCUCAACCGGCAUAAGAUGGCUCUUUUAUUUACAUCGGGCAGUCACCAGUAAACCGAAAGUACACACCAAUAAUACUCCAAGCUCCACAAAUCACUCUAACAUUGGAAAGAAUAUCCUUGAUGUGCAAGCAAACCAAUCAGAAGUCUAAACUUCCCCCAAAUCAACAAUCACAACAAGACUUAUUUGAAACAAUAAAAAGAAGAAUCAAACAAAGCACAAUACUAUAUUGAUUUAAAACAAAUAACACACAACAAACACUCAUCACCUCAAUCAAAAAAUCUAAACAAAAAUUUUGAAGAAGACAACACACAUGACCCCAAAAAAGUACAACUAACACAAUCUCCAAAGAGAGUACCUCAUAAAUACAUAGCAAAUCGUAAGAAUGCACCACAUAACCAAAAGCUACAACAAAUAACUACUUAUCCACUCCAAUAGGACCAUCUGACCAAGCAAUCGACUCCGUUGACACACACACUCCCAAUAACCUACCCUUGAUAGGGCCGGUAACGACCCUAUCCAAGGCCCUCCAAUACACCGAACAUAACAUCGCAAAAAUGCCUAAUCUAUAAAUAAAAACAAAAACGAAGAGCAAACCGUCAACAUAGAACUAACAGCAGCACCAAGCAGAACCAUCAAUCACCAGAAAACCAAGACAACCACCACCCGCCCUGCUCAGAAACCACACCCACAUCUCGACACACAAGAACGCUUUAAAGACUCUCGACAUCGUGCUCAGACAGACACACACACCUAACUCCGAGAACAAACGAAGAAUGGCCUAUGUGCAACGUAGAAACCAGCACUAAUAAUGGAAGAUGCAUGGAACUCCGGAAAACGCCAUUCACAGCGCACAUACGGAUGUCUCCAGAAGGCUCACGUACCCUGAAACAUUGUAGAACCAUUACUGCGAGCUAAGAUCAGUGUAUCAGAAAUCUAGAGUCUAUCGAGGACGCGCGUAAGAGUCGCCGUCAUCCAAUCCCAGGAUAUAUAAUUGUGCACUAAACGCUGGCGAAGACAAGUAUGAUUAACCAAAAUCGAAGACCGACAAGCAAAAUGCCACCCGCAUAACCCAUCAAAAAACAUUAAGACCCCGUAUCAAGCAGCACUGUAGGCAUUCCGGGCCACAACCUGUACUGGAACGUCUUCCGUCUCCGGCCUCUUACUAGUACUAAUGUGUCCACGCACUAUACGUCAGAUCAAUCGAAAUUGUCGCGGACGACAGAAUACUUGAAGGCCGCUACACUGGCGUUCGCCCGAGGAAUGGGCGAGUAAGCUCGAUUCAUCCCCUCGGACUGGUGUGCACACAAACCACGAUGAAGCCGUACAAGCAAAACGCAACCAGAGUGCAGGUUAACUCGCAUCGACAAGCACAUCCAACCUACUCACCCGCGACUCUCAGGUCCAAAAGGAACAAUUUCCGUUUCCUAAUCGCAAGCAUGACUCGCGCCACACAAUCCUCAAGAAAUCACUGUUUCUGACCUACGAACCACUACCCAUUGCCCACAAGCACAACCACUAAAGAAGUGAGAGCAUCUGAAUACUAAACAAAACACCAUGAGAUUUAAGAGAGACUGGUGCUAAAAACUUCGAAAUCUACGCAAAUAUCACAAAAUCCUAGUUACGGCCUAAAUCCUCACAAGACGAUCUCCCAAGUUUUUGUGUGAGAUGGAAGUGAAAAGUGUGAAAGUCACGAAACAGUGAGUUUUUGUUGACCAAAAGCGCCAACACCAAUCCUUAAGAGAGUAAAUCUCCACAACACGAAUAGAGUCAAGACAAACGAUCAAAUGGGUUUGGCCAAAUUAUGGCCCUUACAAAAUAAAAAAAUAAAGUUUUUGAAAUCUAAAGACAACCUCUCGCACCCUACGACAGCCUAGCGCACGGUUCGCUACCGCCUCGCCUAGCGAAGCCAUGCUGCGAGACUAUACGACGGAUCUGUUUUUUCAAAACCGGCGAGCGCACACCAGUCUACGUCAACUUGUCCAUCAGUCAACCUCAGGUUCACCACUUUGAACACGGAACACAACCUACCUAUUCAAUCACAAUUACUCACAAUAUAUAGGCAAGCUAGUCCUACUUUGAAUGAAAGAUAUACCCCUCUUCUAAAAUCUGUUGGCCCAUAAUCACACUUUAAAGCGAACGUGAGCUGCGUACCCAAAACACAAGUCGAAUGAAAUUGCAUUUAAUCAGAAAACGUCGAACUAAAUCUGACCAAGCCACGUUUCUGAGAAUGGCGGUCCACAGAGGUAGAACAUAACAACACAUUGCACAAGCUGUCAAGAUCGCUCGAUGCGCACAAAAGACAGCCAAGAUAAGCUUCCAAACGGAUGUCCUCGUUACAGCCGUCCAUCGAGCACUUUCAUUAACUCUAAGUCCUCAAAGCGCAUCAGGCUUCCAUACCAUUGAGAAAGCGUUUUGAUAACGACAGUAUAGCCAGCUCCCAGGGAGCCAGAUUAAAUGUAUAUCUCAACAUCUCUGCGAGGGAAAAUAGGUCAAUCAACUAGAUUGAAAAAAGGACAAAAACUGUCCUGUUUGCAGACGUUGCUUCUAAAGCGUUUUGUCAGAUUACUCUUUCACACCUUUUCUUUGUACAAACCAACUUCGAGGAUACUGCGGCAUGUCGACAUGCCAUUUCUGCAUCCACACACUCAAGGCAAUUGCAGCUUUGUCUAUUGAAGUACACGUCAACUUCCAACCCCAUCCUGGAUCUCGUUAGAAUAGCAAUUUAAGAAACUCCAAAAAGCACUGUGCCGUACUCUUAAAUUGAGAACAACUAUAUGUAAAAAAGGCGGGCAGAUAGAAAACAGCACGUUGCACCAAAAAAGCUAUUGGUACUUCAGAAACAAACAUUACAAGAUUCACCGGAGGAUGCCGAACGCAAUAUUAAUUCAACAUCAAACACUACUGAUAAAAAAAGCAACGAAGUCAACUUCAAGCCCUCUUGAAGAGCAUAAUAAAUGGCCAAGCGACGAUAUUGAACAAUUCUGCUAAAUCGGCACCACGGCGGAGGGGGGGGGAAAGAACCUGAAAGGAAAACUUAGAGCGCAACAACUUGCUAUCCCACAUUCAGAACAAAUUUGUCUUCACCACUCGCUGUUGUAAAGAACCGUUUCUCAAAACGUCCCUCUAACACAAAACGGCGAAUCACCCAAGACGCCACAAAAAGAUGAUUCAAAGCCCACAUACGGAGAAGUUGACGUCUCCAUGAAGUCGACUUGCCACUAUUAAGGUUUUCCUCCCGAUUAAACCUCAAAAAUUCGGAAAACUAAUAACCUGACACACUAUCUUUGAAAAGUCUGCGAUUGCGACUUGCAAUAACUCCCAACUAACGGGUCUAUUUCCUUACAAAAUAUCCUUGAUCACGAAGAUUUACCAUAAGAUGACAAUGCAUUGCAGAGGCGUCUUUUCAUGGAGAAUCGUCAGCAACUGCGCGAACCGCUCUAACAACAAGCAAUUUUGCCUUCCAUUAUCCACACAUUAUGGACGCAUUCAAAAAAACAAUAUAAAAUGUGGCUUUCUCUGUGUCUCAAGCAAAGUCUUGUCAUCGCUAUUUCCCGGAUUCCGAGGAUACGCCAUGAGGAAGUGAUAAUUCUCUCAGAGAGUAAUGCCCUAUUUCAAAACAACUACAAAAUGCAUCUAUAUACAGUAACUAACACUUUCGAAUCUACACUACGUUUCUUCACCGUUUGUUCAAAAUGAAAAGCCGUUUUGCUCACAUUUUUUUUUGGCGAAUAGAAAUCACACUUCAAAAUCCAUUUGUCAACUUGAAACUUUCCACACAAGUAAAAUAGCCACCUUUCUACGCAUACCCAUCUAUUAAUACGAGGUAAACAUUGGAAGUCGUACAUGGCUAUCCGGAACUAAUUAAUGCUUGCGAGCGUUAAACUCAUUAGUAACCCAGGUACCGGCAUCCAACAAUUAAUAACCUCCUUUCCUAAAAACUUCCUUCAUAGUAUCCCUGGGCAAUCCCCUAAAUUAAUACACGGCGCUAGAUCUGCGGUUGAAUUGGCUUACUCGCUUACACUCCUUUCCGCAGUAAAGAUUCAAGAUUAAAGCCAAAAAACCAAAGGACUUUCUUGGAGAUCUGUAUAAGACUACAACACGUGUCUAUAUCUUCAAAACAUUGAAGUCUAAUCAACAGGUUCUUCAUCUUUGACAAAAGAGUCGUUCUUCGAAUGAUUUACUACCAACUCCUUAGCCGCUUGCAAACUCGUUCUAGUCUUGAAUUCAUACUCAAAUCUCUACGAACGUCACAACAUCGUUCGAAUUUCCAAAGACCUGGAGAAUCUCUAUCUCAUCAGAUCAAGAAUGCGCUUCUGCAAGUACUAUCUCUCCUCCCCAACUCCCACGGAUGUAACUCUUUUAGACUACAACCUUCAGUAAUUAGCACCAUUAAGGCGACAACUUGGCUCUUCCUUCAACCACAGACCUCGAAAAAACUCCCAAGCUACAUAUCUACAAGACUAAGCACGGCCAUCUAAAUAAAUGAUACCUCCAUAUUAGUGAACAAUGUUUAAACAAACUUCAAAAGAAUCUUCCUCUCGAUAACAGCAUAAACCUGCAAAGCUAUCGCGCGACAUUAACCCCCUUUGAAUGAUCAUGGUUCGAAUAGACAAGAACGGAACUGUCUUUUCCAUCCUUUGGAGACCUUAUACUUUCAUAAAAACGCCGUUCCGUCAACGUCAAAAAACUUAACAGCGUGCGGUUUUCAUGAACAGCCGCCAGCAGAACACACGAUAACAAAGCUACGGUUAUCCCUCUAAACCCUAUCUUCACUCCUAUCCCCACAAGUCCAGAUGAAUACAUCGCCAACCACCACCCCUCUGCACCCAUCAAUCCACCACCAAGCACAACAACACCUGUCUAAAAGAGAGACCCCAUUCUACAACACAACAACAACCAUUGCCUCACUUGGCUCACCCACCUUAAACCUCAUAAAACAAUUGCAUUGCAUCCCCCAAAUCGCUGCAUUCAUUUCAUGAGCAUAGAUGAAAAAUUCAACAUAACGCAUAGAUAAAGACAUCCGGAUACAGGAACCAAAUUUUCCAGAACCAGACGAAAGAUUGUCAUGAUUACCUGUUAUCCACAAUGCAUUGCCCAUGCGCCCCUAUAUCCCUAUUCUGCGACGACAGCAUGAAUUCCGGAUUCAGACGGGGGAAUGCGUCAUGCCAGUUUUCGAUUUCAAAUCGAAGAACCGACGUUCAUCGAGCACUGUCGUUCGGGCAGUUUCCAAGUCAACGAGGAAGUUCGGACAUCAUUAGCAAACUUGGCUUCAGCCAUUCCGAUCAAUCGGAAGAAUUCCGGGGACUUUAGGCGAUUCAACGUGGGCACAACAGUUUUCCAUUUCAGAUGAAGAAUUUCCGACUCAGGUCGGAUGCAACUUGUGCAUCAGUCCACUGAGCAAUCGAAGAAUCUGAUCAGCGAUGCAACUGGCAUCAACUUUACAUAUUCAGAUCGAGUGCAUUCAGCUAAUUUUCCGGAUUUCAGAUCGGAAAGUCCGACGUUCAGUCGACAAUGUGCGCACAGUUACGAGUCAGAUCGGAAAUCGACAUCAUAGAACACUUAUCAGAAUUCGAUUUCAGACGAAAAGUUCGCGACAUUCAGGCGAUACAAUUGGCUCGCAAUUCGAUUCAAUCGAUAGAAGUCCGAGUCAGGUCGACGAAGGCUUCAGGCCAGCCUCCGGUUCAGACGAUAUUAAUAACUAUAUUCCGAUUUCAAGAUCGAUCAUUUCAGUAUCAACAUAUAACGGAUCAGCCAUAUUAUCGGGUUAUCUUUAUGGUACCAUNUCAACGGACGCUUCCGAGAAAAGAGGUUGACCCGGGACGAGUUACUUUGCCGGUUACAAUUGGUGAUUUCUAUGUCGGAAAAGGGCUAAUUGAUUUGGGGUCAAGCAUUAAUCUAAUACCAUUGUCUAUUGUGAAGAGGCUUGGCAACAUUGGAAUGAAGGUAAUCCGGAUGACUUUGCAAUUGGCCGAUAAGUCGACUACCCAUCCUCAUGGGUUAGCCCAAGAUGUAUUGGUCAAAGUUGACAAAUUCUUCUUCCCAGUUGAUUUCAUUGUGAUUGAUAUGGAAGAGGAUGACGAUGAUCCGCUUAUUCUUGGCCGGCUGUUCAUGAAAACCGCACGCAUGAUGAUUGACGUUGACGACGGUUUGAUGAAAGUAAGGGUCCAAAAUGAAGAAGUUACUUUUGAUCUAUUCGAACCCAUGAAUCAUUCAAAGGAUAGUCGUGAUAGCUUUCGCAUUGAUGUGAUCGAAGAGGCAACUUUUGAAGUUUCUAAACAUGUUCAUAAGAUAUCUCCUAUGGAGUUAGCUCUUGAUGACUCCUUUGAAGUUUUCACGAUUGAAGAAGAGCAAGCUCUUAAUGAAUGCCUAAGGGAACUUGAUAGUCUAAAAGAGUUACAUCCGUGGGAAGUUGAGGAGGAAGUAUUGAAGAAGGAGGUUAAUGAAGAAAAAUCGCCGAUUGAAUUGAAAAUGUUACCUUCUAAUUUGAAGUAUGCAUUCCUCGACGAGACCGAAGCAAAGCCGGUUAUCAUAAGCAAUCUUUUGUCAAAGAAUGAAGAAGCCCGUUUGAUCAAUGUUUUGAAAAAGAAUCAAGAAGCCAUGGGUUGGACUCUUUCCGAUCUCAAAGGAAUUAGUCCUUCCUAUUGCAUGCACAAGAUCUUAAUGGAAGAGGACUUUAAGCCGGUAGCUCAACCGCAACGCCGCUUAAAUCCUACUAUGAAGGAAGUUGUUAGAAAGGAGGUUGUUAAGUUGUUGGAUGCGGGAAUGAUUUACCCGAUUUCGGAUAGCCCAUGGGUUAGUCCUGUACAUGUGGUUCCGAAGAAAGGUGGCAUUACCGUGAUUCGAAAUGAAAAGGAUGAGUUGAUCCCGACAAAAGUGGCAACGGGGUGGCGUAUGUGCAUUGAUUAUAGGCGGUUGAAUACCGCAACUCGAAAAGAUCACUUUCCACUCCCGUUCAUGGAUCAAAUGCUAGAAAGACUUUCUGGGCAACAAUACUAUUGUUUCUUAGAUGGCUAUUCNNNNNNNNNNNNNNNNNNNNNNNNNNNNNNNNNNNNNNNNNNNNNNNNNNNNNNNNNNNNNNNNNNNNNNNNNNNNNNNNNNNNNNNNNNNNNNNNNNNNNNNNNNNNNNNNNNNNNNNNNNNNNNNNNNNNNNNNNNNNNNNNNNNNNNNNNNNNNNNNNNNNNNNNNNNNNNNNNNNNNNNNNNNNNNNNNNNNNNNNNNNNNNNNNNNNNNNNNNNNNNNNNNNNNNNNNNNNNNNNNNNNNNNNNNNNNNNNNNNNNNNNNNNNNNNNNNNNNNNNNNNNNNNNNNNNNNNNNNNNNNNNNNNNNNNNNNNNNNNNNNNNNNNNNNNNNNNNNNNNNNNNNNNNNNNNNNNNNNNNNNNNNNNNNNNNNNNNNNNNNNNNNNNNNNNNNNNNNNNNNNNNNNNNNNNNNNNNNNNNNNNNNNNNNNNNNNNNNNNNNNNNNNNNNNNNNNNNNNNNNNNNNNNNNNNNNNNNNNNNNNNNNNNNNNNNNNNNNNNNNNNNNNNNNNNNNNNNNNNNNNNNNNNNNNNNNNNNNNNNNNNNNNNNNNNNNNNNNNNNNNGCGGUCUUGUGGAUCGCGAGAGCUGUGCAAUCUGCUUGGAUGCUCCUCUGUGAGCAUCUCGAACCGUCGAGCUUAUCCGACGUUAAACAAGCGCUUGUUGGGAGGCACCCCAACAUUGUAAGUAUUUACAGCUUUGUGUUGUAUGGUAUUGGUGUUCAAAUUGGUGGAACCUUGCUGAAUUGUGCUGUGCAGUGCUGUUUUGAAAAAAACAAGAUCCUGUCAUGUUCGCUAGCUGCUCGCUAGGCGAAGACAGUAGCGAGCCGUCCGCUAGCUGCUCGCUAGGCGAAGGUUGCGUGACAAAACUUUAUUUUAUUUUUCAGAGGGCCACUCAUUUGGGCCCAAAACCCAUUUAUUUUGUUUUAGUCUGAACAGGGUCACAAACUCACUCUCACUUUCACACUUUUCACUUCCAUCUCACACAAAAACUUUGAGAAUCAUCCUUGUGCAAACCCUAACUGUUGCAUUUCAGAAUCAAUCAACCUCUUCAAUCAGGUUUGUUCUGUCUCCAUUCCUUUGUGCUUUCAAUGUUGUACAGAUCGAUGUGGCGCGAAUCAUUGCGAUUGAGAUGAAGUCCGUGGUUGAGAGCGGGCUGAAGUCGGGGGCGCGAGUUAACUGCCCCCUUGCUUUUCCUUGUCUCAUCAUGGCUUUGUGUCAACAGUCGAGGGUGAAGCUACCCUCCCGCAGUUAGGUAAGGAUUCCGUCCGCAAUCGAUGAUCGAUAUGUGGACAAGUACUGUAAGCCGAAGAACUUCCGUGGUAGUACAGCUGCUGAUGAUACCGGGGUUGCUGAUGGUCCUGGUGCUUUUUCUCAGAGGUUUGAUCCUUUCCAGCAAACUGUUUGCAAUUACAAUUGGGAUUGGAUGACGGCGACUCAGCGCGCCAUGAUUGAUAUACAUGACUCUAUGCACGUAUUACAGUUGCAGGUACGUGACCCUUCUGGAGAGCAUCCUAUGAUGACGCGUGAGCAGUUCCUGCAACAUGCUAGCUGGCCUGAGGACAGGCCUGUUUUCGGAGAGGGGGCGGGUGCUGGUGCUUCUGGUGCUGAUGGUUCUGGUGGUGCUGCUGGUGCUUCUGAUGAUGACGAUGAUGAUGAUGAUGAUGAUGAUGAUGAUGGUUCCGGUUCUGAGGCCAGUAGUGAAGAGGGUUCUGAGUCCUAUGAGGACUAAGUUUUUUUUAUGUUAUGUUUUAUUUUCUUGUAUUUUCAGAUAUUUGGUAUUUUGGUUAUGUACUUUUUGGGGUGUUUUGUCCCCCACGCACAUUUUAACAUUUUGAAGUGAUGGUUGUUGUUUAUGUUUUAAAUUAUUGUGUUUGGUUUGAAUUUCUUUUGUUUAAUAAAUUUUUGGUUGUUGAGGGUCAAACCUUCUAGAUUGGUUGCUCCUCAAAGAAGUAUCCAAUGAAGGUGCAUCCGAGCUUGGAUGGCGAUGAUAAAAAUAAACAAGCGAAUAAUGCUAAGGUACAUGGUUACCUCCGGUUAGAAUUUUAGAAUGCAUUAAGAACUUUACUCUUUUCGUAAUUGAAUAUUGUUCUUUUUGCAACAUAAUUAAAUGAAUGAUUCACCUAGGGCUUAGAACCACAAAUUGUGAGGAAACCUCCAUUGUACACUAAAAUGCUGGAUUCUAAUAAACUGUGUUGAUUCAUUUGAUUCAUGCUUUGUCUUUUAUUAUUGUGAAUUUGUGGAAGCAAUUAGAAAUGAUCAAGGCGCUUGUUUUCUUUCGAGCACAACCAGUUCCAAAUACAACUUACCCGUGAGCAGAGAGUAUUCGUGAACCCCUUUGAGCUUAAACAGUUGAAUCUCAGCUUGAAAUAAGGCGAGACGUCAAAAUCUUUUUUCUUGAAACCCUGAAAUUUUUGAUAAUUGUUCUUUUACCGUAAAAAGUCAAGAGCAUUCACUUGGGGUGAGUAAAAGAUAAGUUGGGGAGAACGAAAAUGAGAAUCGGUAGGUGCCACAACUCUUGAAUAACCGAGCAAGCAUUGAAAAAAAAAUAGAAAAGAGAAACAUCUGUUUUGUGAAUACGAUGUGAAAAAAAAUGAAAAUGAAUGCUUGCUUGGAAGAAAAAUAGUGAAAAACAAAAUUGAGUUGUGAAAUAAGAGUUGUGAAGGUUUCAAAUGAGAAACAAGUGGAACGAAGUUGAGAUGUGUGAAUAGCUUGUACAGUGAAUGUCUCUUUUGCGUCGGCAAGUUCGUUUUCAAUGGCCUUAGAUAUGACCCUUGUUUGUAAACCUGACCAAGCUACAACCGGAAAAGACCUUAGUGAUCUUCGUGCUUCCGCAUUUUCAUUUAUAAUUGUUAGACAUUGUAUGAAUUGAAUUGACUUUUGCAUUGUUUGUUGGAGAGUGAAAUUGUCCCCGCGGUUGCAAACGCGUAAUUUCUUCAAUCCUUAUUCGAAGAGGAGAGAUAGGGUGAUUCAUUCAGGAUAACAUUGUUGUGGAUUGAUACAUGUUUUGCAUUGCUAUAAGGCUUUAGUUCUUGUGUAUUGUGUUAUUCUAACCAUUGGGAACUUGUGUCUGGUUGAUUCUCUUGUGUUUGAGCCAUUUUAUCCGAUUUCGGAGAAAUCUUUUUCUUUAAGCAAAUCCUCUUGUCCUUCAAGAGGCAUACUUUGCUUGAGGGCAAGCAAGAAUCUAGUUGGGGAGAGUUGUUAGAUGCCCAAGUUUGCUUAUUUGAGCUAUCAAAUGUGGGCAUCUUUCACUCCUUUUUGUCGAAAAAGUGUUCGAAACCGCCCUUGCUUUUGUUGAUUUGCAAUACUAUGUGAAAUGAUCUUGGUACCUUUAAUUUGUGUGUUAUUGUGCAGGAAUUAGGCAUGAAAGAGUAGAAAACUAAGGCACAAGAAAGAUGGCAAAGGAACCAAGAAAGAAAGCAAACAUAAGAAAGCUCGCUAGGCGAGUGAGGUAGCGAAGUACUCACUAGGCGAGCACGCAGCGAGAUGCCAGCGAACACUCCUAGACUUGGACAGAACCAAAAAGAUCAAAACUCGCUGUGGCGAGGGAAGUAGCUAAGUAUUCGCUAGGCGAGCAUCCAGCGAACAGGUAGUGAACAAUUCCAGUAGCAAAAACAUCAAGACUCGCUGGAGCGAAUGAGAGAAGCGAGGGCUUCGCCUAGCGAACAAAUGCAAACUUGUUCUGGAUGCAGGCUCUUCUGGUGACUUAUUUUUGGGCUCGCUAGGCGAACCAUUAUGCUCGCCUAGCGAGCAUGACAACCCAGCAACCAUUUCUAUAAGUAGUAUGGGCUACUUUUUGGAAUAGGAUCUUUUUAUAUCUUUUAUCAUCUUUUUACUUGUUUUUUGUUAGGAGGUGAUUUUUGUGCCCUAGAAACCCCAUUUCUCAUUCUUCUUCUUCUCUUGACAAUAUUUUACAAAAAGAAGGUGGAUUCCCAUCCAAUCUCGAUUCUUCGACUCGGAUGUUGAUCAACCCCUUCCGACUUGUUGUUCAAGCUACCCUGAAUAGAGUAGACUAAGUCUUUCAUUUUGUCAAGGUUAGUGUAGAUGAUCAUAAACUUGUAUGUAUAUGUUGAUCUUCAUUUGUAAACUCUUUGAUGAUGAAUGUAUGGUGAAACCUUGUUUAUUGAUAACCUUGUGUUGGUUUUAUUUGGAAAGUGUGUUUCCAACUAUUGACCUAGUGUUUCUCCAUCCUUGUCUUUAGCUAGAGAUAGUCUUGAAUGAGUUUGUUCACUAAAAAGUUGAACCUAAAAGUUGUCAUUUUGAUAGAUUGUGUGAGAAAUCAACAAUGGAUCAAAAUGGGAAAAACCCACAAUGUAUGUUAGAAAUAAACACAUUGGGAGGAUUUUGUGAAUGUGUUUAUCAUCUAAUGGAGUUUAUGAGUUUUGUUUGAUCGAACAUAUACAUGUAAAGUGAUCGUCGAACCCUAACUUUGACAAUCUUUCUCAAAUUGUAAAACCAAAACUUUUACCGCAAUUUCUUACUUUUUAUGCAAGCUACCGUAACCGAAAACUAAAACCCCCUUGUUACUAUAAGUUAAGAACUUAACAAUUGUCGAACGACGGCAAUAUCACAUAAUCCCUGUGGAGACGAUAACAAAUCCCGACACUCUAUCCCUGUCCCAACAACAACCCUUUACUCAUUUCUAGAUGUCUCAUUUGGUUCGUUACCUCUUUUCAUUUUAUUAUUGCAAUACUGAUGUUUCUUUAUUAUUAUUGUUUAUGAGUUUUUCACAUUUUUAUUAGUGUAUGCGUUUCAAUGUCUGUUGUGCCGUGUUGAUGCUGCAAGUCACUGAGCUCUGCAAUGACUUUUGAUUUUGCAAAGUGUAAAUGAUGUAUUAUCAUCAUGCUGCUCACUUUGAUAGAUAAAUGGUUAUGUUUCUUUGAUUUGUUUGGUGCAAGAGUGUUAAAGUGUUCUUGUUCAGCUAUCACAAAUUUCAUGUAAUUUACUGUGAUAUUAUGGGGUGAAUCUUGUUGUUGUAUCCAUAGGUUUACCCUUUGUUUUCUUUUGAAAAAUAAGAGGAGUAUUUAGUUUUAUAGUCUCUAAUAACCAUUGUCAUGUGCCAAUGUGGAUUUAGCCCAUUGAACGAAAACAAUAAAAAGGUUGAACAUAAAGGAGGCGACGUCUCCCUUACUGUUAAUUAUUUUUUUAUUUUUUUUUUACUUAAAAAGGCUGUGUAACAAUUUUUUUCUCUUAUAUUAGUUAGAUUAGAAUAAAGAAGGAAUUAUGGUUAUUGGGCUAGAAAGUGGCAAACUUUAAAGCCUACAUAUCGUUUCUCCUCCAUAUUGUUUUAUACCUCUCAUGUGGAAUAGAUGAGUGUGAUGAUGUAAAAAACUUAUGUUGUUGCUAUGUGAUUAUUUUAUUGCAUUAAGCCGGAUUUUUAAUCUGUGGAUUCGACAAUUUCAUGUCGUUAUGCCACCCAAAAAUUUCAAUAAAUCAAUAUGAUAUUUCACCCGGUUACGAUUUUGUGAAUGACAUUAAUCAUGUUAUCAUUUCGUACGAACCGGUUUUGAGCACACCGAUUUAAUUCAAUCCGUUAAAUCAACAUUGAUAUUUAUUUCUAUCACUUUUAAUUAAAUUGGUUAAUUAAUUAAACUUUGAUUAAUUAGUUAAUUUUAAUUAACUUAAUUAUUUGACUCAAUUAAAUAAUUUUGAUAAUUAAUCUUAAUUAACUUAAUUAAUCGAUUUAACCAAAUUUUAAUAAAUUAAUUUUGAUAAUUAAAAUUUGAUCGAUUUCUUUCACUAUCACCAUUCCGCAUCAUUUCAAAACCAAAACCCAUUCAAUCUCACUCAUAAGCGAGAGUCUUGGUCCAAUGCCGAGCAUUUUUUUAUUUAAAUCCGGUUAACCGUGCAAAUUCAAGUCAUUUUUCUAAACCAACACAAUUUAUAAAGAAUAUUCUUUUAAAACUUGGGAUGAAAAAGAAUAUAGGAAACGUUCGCUUCACUGUUUCUCAAGUACUCGAACGAUUGGUGUACGCCAUAUUGUUCAAAUCCUUGUCACUGGAUUAAAACUUUAAACGUAUAAGUUUAAAUUAUUUUUCAAAUCAAUAUAAAUAUUUUUACAAUUUAAACUUCAGAUGAAAAAGGAUGGGAGGCAUUCGCCUCACCAUCUCUCGAAUAAUUGAAUGAUUGGCGCUCGCCAUAUCGUGCAAAUUAUCGACUUCCGAUCAAAACACGCUAAAUAAACUUGGAUAAAGGAAUGAGUGGUGCACGCCUUAUUGUUCCUUGAAUAAGCAAGCGGGGGGCGCACGCCUCACUACCAUGCAUAUUCAAUUUCCGCAAAUAACUUUCAAUAAUAAUUUAAACGAAAAAGGAAAUUGGAGGCGUUCACCUUGUUAUUCCUCAAAAGAAUUGAACGAUUGGUGUGCACCAUAUUGCUCCACCUUUUGUCGUUUCUUCAAAAAAUAUCUCAAACAUAUUAAACCUAACUUUUCUCCCCCGUCCGAUCGAAACCAACCAAACAAAACAUCAAACAUAUCAAUUCAACUUGUCACCCUCGUGUGACAAAAACCCUUUUCAAAAAGAACAUUGUUAAUCCUUUCUAAUGCGCGCAACAAACUAGUGCUUAAGUCUUUGCCGAGAGUAGACAAGCCAAUGCUUAGCCUUUAGAAUGCAAUCUACACAGUCGUUUAUUAAAAAACACCAACCAACCGUAGUUCCCCGAACUACGAAUGCUCUGAUUUCCUUAUUGCACCAUAAAGAUACGUAGGCAGGAGAUUGUUGUAUCUUCGCUAGCACACUAAUAAAAAACCUCCAUUUCCCCCUUCUGAGGUUUCCAUCCAUCUCUCUUCAAUAUUUCAAAUUACUCGAAGAAAGCAAAUAACAUUCAACUAACAAUCAAAUAGCAAAUUAGACUAAAAGGUUCCCAUUGAGUACAACGGACGUGAGGGGUGCUAAUACCUUCCCUUUGCAUAAUCGACUCCCGAACCCGAAUAUGGUUGCGACGACCAUUAUUCUAUUUUCUAAAGGGUUUUAUCGAUAUUUUCCUAUUCCUUCAUUGGAAUAAAUAAAGUUCGAUGGUGACUCUGUUCGAACUAAUUUUUUUCCACGACCAUCGCGAGGAAUCGUAUUUUUCGAGAUACAACAGAUGGUGACUUUGCUGGGGAAAUUUAGCUCCAAGCUAGAGAGAGUCAAGCCUAAUUUAGUUCAAAUUGCUAUGAAUGUUAAAAUAUUAUUUUCUUCUUUAUUGCUUCUUUAUAUCUUGCUGUAUUAUUUAUGCUAUAUGAUUUAUCCUGCUAUUAUAUUGGGUGGUAUAUGGUUCUUGAUACAUGUUGUGAGAUAAACUCCCUACCCGAGCUUUGAGAAGAACUUAGAACCUGGAGUUGUGUAGUAUUGAACCGAGGGGUAUACACCUUGUUGGGACAGUACGAAGACUCCACCUAGAGUAGAUAUGUUCAGAAUUUCCAUCACAAUAUGGCUAGCCCAUUAUUGCAAGGAAAUUUUGAACAUGGUCCGUGACUCUAGGGACCUCGCCUUAACCCGAAGUUUGUCUUCAUGAUUGGCGAUUGUGUAGUAUUGAAUCGAGGGGUCUACACCUUGUUCGAAUAAUACAAAGAUCCCACUUAGAGUAUAUUGACUCUGAACUUUCAUUACGAUGUGGCUAGCCCAUUAUUGCGAUGGGAUGCUGAACACAAUCCAUGACUCUAAGUUCUGUCUUGGAAAUGAACAACCUUAGGAGCCAUCCUUUGUGUGUGGGGUAGAGAACAUAGAACCUCCGUAUAGGAUGUACCAUAUGAUACUCAUGAUAUCCUGGAUCCUAAUUAUGCAUGCAUUACAUUUUCUUUGCAUACAAAUGUAAAAUUUCAUGCAUUCGCAUUUCAUCAGCAUGGAUUGCAUAUCAUUUUCCAAUACAAAAAAACCCAUCCCGUCCUUUUGCCAAUUACCAGCAGGCUGAUUUCCUGACACUCGUAUUGAACCUUUGAGAGCUACUAAAAGACAAGGGAGCACUGGGAACAUAAUCAAGUUGAGCUGAAAAUGGGUAUGAACAACAUGAAAGGCAAGAUAGACCAGAUGUUGGAAGUUAGGCUAGCCCAGUCAAAGAACAAUUUUUAACAUGGUGUCACAGAGAAUGAUGGUUCCUUACCAGGCUUUAAUGUAAUUACCAACCCAAUGUAUGACCCUCUGUCCGACUAUAAUCCUCCACAAGUGAAUAUUCCUACUCAAUCCCAGUUGAUGCCAUUGACCAAUCCUGAUGUUGAAAGGCUUCACGCCCUUGAGGAGAGAGUCCUAAUAAUGGAUGUGAAUGACAAUCUUAUGCAUGAUAUGUGCUUAGUACCAGGCCUAGUAAUCCCCCCGAAAUUCAAAUUACCCAACUUCGAGAAGUACAAAGGGGAUAGUUAUCCAAGGCACCAUUUGGUGAUGUUCUUCCGAAAAAUGGCAUCACAUACUCACAAUGACAAAGCUGAUGAUUCACUGUUUUCAAGCCAGUUUGAUCGGAGCAUCGUUGAGCUGGUAUAUGAAAUUGAAAAGAAGCCAUAUUCAGUCAUGUGAAGACUUAGCCAAUGCUUUUUUAAAGCAGUACAACUAUAACUUGGACAUGGCUCCAGACCGAAGGCAGCUGCAAAGCUUAUCCCAAAAGAGCAACGAAUCUUUCAAAGGAUAUGCACAUCGAUGGAGAGAAUUGGCAACCCAAGUGUAACCACCACUUUUGAAUAAGGAAUUGGUUGACUUGUUUAUAGAUACCUUGCAGAGUCCUUGCUUUGAAAGGAUGGUAGGCAAUGCGUUAUCAGACUUCGCCCACUUAGUGACCAUUGGAGAACGCAUCGAGAGUGCCCUAAAAAGCGGAAGAAUCCAAGGCGCCUCGAGCAGCCAAGCUAGCGAGACAGAAUCCCUCAGCAAUUCCCAAAAGGAAGAAGAGGAUGAAACCAAUGCAGUCAUAACAGAUGUUGGGUAUUCGCAUGGUGCACCAGCAAGACCUUAUGAUUCGUUAUCUUUUCAGCACUCACCAGUUCCAACACCACGUUAUCCUUAUAGGUAACCAGCAACGCCGAGAGCACCAUACCAGCAACCAUGGUCCACUCCUUACGCAAAUCAAUGAUCUCGUGGUCGAGGAUAUCAAAAUCAUCUUUUGAACUAAUCCAGGCCUUGAAACAAUCUGGAAAGAAGGAAUGCUCCUCUCGAUCCAAUUCCUAUGUCAUACAGUCAACUUCUGCCAUAUCUGAUUCAAAGCUCGUUAGUGGGUCCCAAGUCUCUCAGGCCAUUGCCAAAACCAUACCCACCUGGAUAUGACCCCGAUGUGCAAUGUGGAUACCCUGCCGGGUCAAUAGGGCACUCGACUGAAGACUGUAUCACUUUCAAAUCCAAGGUUCAACAGUUGAUUGACAAAAAGUACAUAUCCUUUCCAGACGGAAACCUGUUGGUGCACGUCAACCUCUCGUCUGAAUAAGUGCGAAGACUUCAAGGGAGUAUCUCAUAAGGCCAGUGGUUCAGACAGGAAGACAUCCUUAACAUUGGCAAUCAUUGGAUUGAUUUGUUUUCAUUUGCAUUUGUAAUUUCUUUGUGGUUAAAAUCUACUUGUGUUUAAACAUUGUUGUUCUAAUGGUAAUAUUAAUGAAGUAAUGAUGCAUGUUUUGAAACAAUUAUCUCGUAUUCACUCAUUUUCCCUCUCUUAUUUAAAAAAAAAAUACAUCCAUGUUCUCCAUCUCACUUUGCUUAUCAAACUGUUGUUUUAGCAAAAUUGGAUGGAGGAUGACGAAAAUAAAAUACCCAUAAUUGCAGAUUGUAUGCUUUCAGAUAAGAUCCUCCUGAUGUUGUACAAGCAUUGUUUCAAAUUCCCAAACACUGGAGAGAUAAGGAGUUAAUCCUUAGUCAACCACUUCGAGCAUAGAAGUAGGAGUUUCUUUCGGAUCCACAAACCCUUACAUUUAACCUGGGGCAGGGUAGUGUUCAUUUAAUCUGACUAUGCAAUCAAAUUACAAGAUGAAGUAUCCUGUCUGUGGAUCAACUACAUGCCAUUCUUCACAACAUCCUAAAGUGUCGAAGGAACCUUGAAAAAUCCAAAAGUUGUGACAGUUGUUCUUCAAUGACCAAUGAGUUGGCAGUCACAUUCUAAAAAAGGGAAUCAAUAAAAAAGCCCACUAAUUCGAUACCCCAAAAGGAGACUUAGGCAAAAACCGGGGCAAUCCCGAUGGACUAAAGCUUCAAAAGUGGUCCAGGAAAAAGUUAGGGAUCAAGACAAAAAAAAAUCUUAAAAGGCAAUGAAGACCCUUAACAAAACAAAACAAGAUUCAGUAACCACCAUACCAAAAUCAAAGGGCCACUGACACCCAAAAACAAAAUCAGGUGACUGCCAUUUCAAGCGAAUCUUGAAUCCUCAUCUUUACACCGUCAGACUUUUUUUAUGAGUGUGUGUGUUAAAUCAACUAAACGUAGGAUUCGAGAUCAUCAUGAAGAAUGGGUGGGUUAAAACAAAAUUUGAGUCUUACAUCCUUUGUUUCAAAAACCGUGAACCAUACCAUGUUACAACCUUUAAAAGACCUAAUUGAAGCAAGGUUAUUUUUGAAAGCAUACUACAACGACGUUGCGUAAACUGACUCCUAAAGAUUUUCUAAUCUUCAACAUCGAUGCCAUUAUUCUCACUGUUUCUUUCACACUUUAAAUUGCUAAAUCAACAUUACAUUUGGACUCAUGGUCCACUCGUCACACAUUAUCACAUCAUUCAAAUAAAUUCUUUUCAAAACUUGCACGAGUAUUGCAUUAAAAUUACCAUUUCUGAACAAACAAUUUUAACUGCAAGUCAGUACUUGACGUCAGGGAAAUUCCAAUAAUAAGGAACAAUCAGAGGAACUUGGACAUUUGUUGGUGUUGACCCGAAUCAAGACUACCUCAUAACCCAUGAAUCAGGGGCUUGCCACCCAAAAAUAGUAGUUGAUCGGAGGAAGAUUUCUCUAGGAAUGAGUCAGCCUGAAAUAGUCUCCAAACAUCUGUUAAUCAGGGGCAAGUCAUUUCAAGAAUCAGUUGAUCUAUAGCAUAUCAUAUCAAGACUCUAUUAACUAUGGGCAUAUCACCUAUAAGUUUUAUUGACCCAGGGUAAAUCUCUUCAAUGUUCAGUCAGGGUGAGUUAAGCCACUUCAACGCUCAUACCGGAGCAAGCUACCUCAAUAGUACAGGAAAUUCAACCACUCAAAGAGUUGGUUAAUCAAGGACAAAACCUUUCGUGACUUAAAAUUAUGGGGCAAGCCAUCUCCAAAUUAUGGUACAACUGCUUUCGAAAUCCUUUCGAGGUAAACUUCCGCGAAGACCCAACAAACUGGGGCAGGAUGAGCCAUAUAGGAGCAGGUCCUCUCCAUGUUUUCAAGAUGUUCAAGCAAAAUCUUUUUCGCACGUCAUCAACUGCAGAGUUCAAGAUGAGUGUCAGGGAAUCAUGCUAUCACCCCAUCCAAUAACCUUUCGAUAGAUAAGAAGCCUUGUUGCAAAGAACCUUCUCUUCCAAUACCCACGCAGGGGCAUUUCGGGAAACAUACAAAUCAUUGUAUAAAUCACCCUCAUGCAUUAGUCAUGUCGCUUUUCUCUAGCAUAAAACCAUGCAUAUCAUAUCAUUUAUCGGACCUAACCCCAUAACAUUGAACCUGAUAUUGAAAGGCCUUGAAACACAAAAUCUGACACCAAAGUCCAGUUCCCGUCUGACAAUUUAUUUCAAAGCCCAGUUCCCGUCUGGGAAUUUAUUUCAAAGUUUAGUUCCCGUCCAGAAAUUUAAUUCAAAGUCCAGUUCUCGUCUGGAAAACCUUUUCAAAGUCCAACUCUCAUUUGGAAUUUUAUUUCAAAGCCCAGUUCCUGUAUGGCAAACCUUUUUCAAAAGUCCAGUUCUCGUCUGGAAAUUUACUUCAAAGACCAGUUCUCGUCUAGCAAUUUGUUUCGAAGUCCAAUUCUCGUUUGGCAAUUUACUUCAAAGUCCAGUUCUCGUCUGGAAAUCUAUUUCAAAGUCUAGUUCUCGUCUGGCAAUUAAUUUCAAAGUCCAGUUCUCGCCUGACAAUUUAUUUCCAAAGUCCAGUUCUCGUCUGGCGAACUAUAUCAAAAAUCAGUUCUUGUACGAUAAAUCAUUUGCCAAAUACCGAUUCUCGUCUGGUAGGUCACCUAUUUCGAUACCAGUUCUCGUUUGGUAGUCUAUUUUUCGUAACCAGUUCUCGUCUGGUAGCCUACUUUAAAAGUCAGUUCUCGUCUGACAAACAAAAACAAAUUCAGUCCCGUCUGACAUUUCAAUUAUUUUCACCAGUUCUCGUUUGGUAACAUAUCCUUCAAGUUUUGUCCUCAUCUGGUAGUUCAAUCUUCUUCACCAUUUCUCAUCUGGAAGUUCCCAUUUAAAGUCCAACCUCAUUCGCAAUCAAGAAUAAAACCCUACAAAAGCAUAAUUACAUGUUUGCAUUCCCACAUGCAUCAUAUAAAUCAUUCAUAAAUGUUUUCCUACCAAACAGAAAAUUCAAAAAAACACAGUCAUAUCUAUCAUCAGCAUACUUAUGCAUAACCUUAUACAAGAUAAAAAAUCACUCGCAUUCCUACAUGGUCAUCCUAAAUAUCGCCAGCAAUUGCAUCCCUUCAUGCAUCUAAUGCAUCAUCCCAUGCAUGGCAUUGCCACCCAAAGUGGAAUAUCAUACAAACAUCAAACAUAAAAUAUCAGGAUCCAGGGUCGUCCAUAUGUAUCCCGGACUUUCCUCAUUUAAUUUAAUAGAGUUAUUACCCUGCAUGUGCUCGAUGAAUUAUUUCCCAGCCAAUCAUUCUUCAACUUUGUGAUUAAUAAUGAUAUUCCCCAGCAUCUUUGCUAUCAUUACUCCCCGAGCAGAGGUUACCCUAACAAGUCUCUUAUGAGUUUUUCCCUUGCAGAGUUUUUCCAGUAAUCUCCUCCAAAAGGAGUCUUUUCUAAAAUAUUUCCCCCAACAAAUGAACAUUUGAGAUACUGCUUCAUUUAUCUGAAGAAUCUCAUUUACAUGUUUGAGAUACUGCUCUAGUAUCCUCAGAGAGUCUUAGAUUCAAUUAAGGUAUCAUUUCUCAUGUUGGAAUAUCUUAAUUCUAUCAUAUAAGAUGCUGCUUCGAUUUGAUACAAAGAAUCUCAUUUUGUCUGUUUAAGAUGAUGCUUCAGUAAUAUGAAGAGUCUCGCCUAUUUCUUGAGAUACUGCUCUAGUAUCCUCGGAGGGUCUUAGAUUCAAUUAAGGUAUCAUUCCCCAUGUUGGAAUAUCUUAAUUCUAUCAUAUAAGAUGUUGCUUCGAUUUGAUACAGAGAAUCUCAUUUUAUCUGUUUUGGAUGCUGCUUCAUUAACAUGAAGAGUCUCAUUCGUUUGUUUGAGAUAAUGGUCUAGUAUCCUCGAAGAGUCUUAGAUUCAAUUAAGAUAUCAUUCCCUUGUUCAAAAUAUCUUAAUUCUAUCGUAUAAGAUGCUGCUUCGAUUCGAUACAGAGAAACUCAUUUUUGCUGUUUGAGAUGCUGCUUCAUCAAUAUGAAGAGUCUCAUUCCGAUUUCUUUUGAGAUACUGCUCUAGUAUCCUCGAAAAGUCUUAGAUUCAAGGUAUCAUUCCCUUGUUCGGAAUAUCUUAAUUCUAUCGUAUAAGAUGCUACUUCGAUUCGAUACAGAGAAUCUCAUUUUUGCUGUUUGAGAUGUUGCUUCAUCAAUAUGAAGAGUCUCAUUCCUAUUUCUAUUGAGAUAUUGCUCUAGUAUCCUCGGAGAGUCUUAGAUUCAAUUAAGGUAUCAUUCCCCAUGUUGGAAUGUCUUAAUUCUAUCAUAUAAGAUGCUGCUUUGAUUUGAUACAGAGAAUCUCAUUUUGUCUGUUCGAGAUAUUGCUUCAUUCAUCUGAAGAAUAUCAUUUAUCUGUUUGAGAUACUGCUUCAUUUAUCUGAAGAAUCUCAUUUAUCUGUUUGAGAUACUACUUCAUUUAUCUGAAGAAUCUCAGUUGCUGUUUGAGAUACUGCUUCAUUUAUCUGAAGAAUCUCAUUUGUUUUCAAGAUUUUGCUCUGGUAUCCUUGAAGAAUCUUAGAUACGGUUGAGGUAUCAUUCCAUUGUUGGAAUAUCUCGAUUAUAUCAUAUAAGAUACUGCUUCGUUGAUCCUCAGAGAAUUUUACAUGUUCAGCUCAAGACACUGCUCUGCUAAUGUUCAGAAAAUCUUAGGUAAAGUUGAGGUAUCAUUCCAAUAUUGGAUUAUCUCGACCAUGACAUCCAAGAUACUGUUCUGAUAAUUCCUAGAGAGUCUUGAUUGUUUCAUUUACCUUCUAAUAAUUUUUCUUACUGUAUUUCUCACUACAUCUUCUUUCUGCAUUUCUUCCUUGCAUUUCAAAGGACAAAAUUCAAGUCUUUUCGUAUUUAAUUAUCUUCCACCAUGAAUGUACGAAGACUGUCGUCAUUGUUACCUUCUGGUUCAAGAUAAUUAAAUAGGGGCAACUGUCAUACCCCAGUUUUGUCCGGGCAUUUUAAAACUUUCAUAAAUUCGAUUUUAGUCUCAAUUUGCAUCAUAUGUACAACAUAACACGCAUUUCAUCAUGAAUAACACCUAAAAUAUCAGUCGGAAUAAAUUCUUGAAUAUACAAACAAUUUGGUUAAAUCAUUUCUCAAGUAUGUGCAAAAUCAGCGGGUAAAAAGUUUCAAAAUUAAACUUGCAAACAGAGGUUUUAUUAGCCUACGGUUCGCGUAGCUUAAUCUGGUAUGCUCGUUAUAUUUGUCGACGACUUCUUCAGUUGCAUUUUAAUCCGUCUGAGCCUUUUAACCGGUGAAAAUUUAUUUCAAAAUUAAAAGACAUGUUGUAUUUUUUUAAUAAGUAUAUUUCGUGCUGAUCAUUUUAGUGCAUCAAAUUUAAUUUUUUGAGCAAAAUUUUGCCCGAUUUUUAUUCAUUUUUAGUCGUUUUAAUUUUGUUCUUUUAUCAAAAUAAUUAGGAAAUUUAAAUAGGGUUUUCCAUGUUCUUAUCUUAUUGUUAUCAUGUGUCUUUGGAAAGAUAUGAAUUUUAUUUGAUUUGGUUGAUUUAAACGAUUUUAAAUCAAUUAAAUCAUCUAUAAGGAGUAACUUUUGCUUUUUGAAUUGUUGGUACUUCUUUAAUUUAAUCUGAAUCAUUGGUUCAAGUUAAUCAAUGACUCAUGCAACUUAUCCACAUUUAUUGCAUUUGUCCAAUCAUAAUUAAAGUUCAAAUAAUCAAUUAUAUUGAUAAAAAAAAAUAAAAAAAUAUCUCACUCCCACCCAUCUUUGGACGACUGGCACACGUUUAACGGGAUAUUGGGGACAAAAAUCUGAAUCCCCUCUCUCUAAAGGACACGCGUCAGACAUUCAAAGGAGAAUCCAAAAAAAAACGGUUUCGAUCCUUAUCCAAAUAACACAUCUUAGCACUCCAAUAGGACACAAAAUACACUCUCUUACCCAACGGUUACAUGGAGGAAGAAUUAAAGAAAGGAGGGAUUUUUCCAUUGGCUCUCUCAGCGGAAAAGAAAAAGAAGUGCAUAAAGAAAAGCUUUUGGAUUUUUCUGAAACCCACUCACCUACCCUCUGACUGUCUCUCUGCUCGAAUAACAAAAACAAAAAAAAUAAAAACUUCACUCUCUCACUAUUCAUCCUCAUCUCCUUCCUCAAAACACUUUUCCAUCUCUCCUCUUCUUCGCCGAACUUUUCCUCUUACACAAAUACCGUCCCGGCGAUGAUCCGCCUUAUCCGCGCCUUCAACCGUCCUCUCACAAACCUCCGCUGUAAACCGUGAAUGUCCAUUAACCUUCCUUCCACCUUGAUUCUUACUCUGGCCACAAACAACAAACACGAUCAAACAACAACUCACCUCCGUCCGCGAUCCUCUCACCACCAUUUUUCCGUUACAACCACUUCCUCUCUUCUGCUGCCACCGUGACUUACCCCAAUCCAACAACAACCUAAAACUCCAAGGCACUACUCUAAGCUAUCGUAAGUGAAACAGACUCACAAAGCAUAAAAUAAUCAUAAUAGACUGAGAGUUUGGAAUGGAGGCUCGCCGGAGCUGUGACGUCACCACCGUACGCUCAUAAAUCCCAAUCUGUGUCUUUUUUUUCAACUCUUUCCUCGCCAUCUCAUUCAGCAUGGUGGUGACGCCGGUGAUAAAGACGACAUUGAAAAAUAACUUUACACAAUGGAUGAAAGUUCCGGGUCGAGUUACAGUCGCCGAUAUGCUCUUGAAGAUUGGUGCUUAGGUUGAAGCUUUACCAAGAAGUUCUUACUACUGCAUAAACACCAUAGUUUGUUGAAUAAAUCUCGCAGUAUAUAAGUUGUAUUUGACAUAAUUUCUGUACACAUCUUCGUUUGGAUUUGGAUUCGAGUCCGUUUGGAUUUGAUCCCACAUUUUAGGAAUGAUGUGGAUAUGCUAAGUCAAUGAAUAUAUCAAGGACUUUAUUGCUGCUAUGACUUGAUUAUACUUGAAAUUGUCGCUUCGGUUACACAAACACCUACAACCACAAUACAACUCAACAACACAGGGCAUACGCAAGGAAACCUUUCCAAGCAACAACAUAAAAUCGACAACCCUUUACUCAUUUCCAGAUGUCUCAUUUGGUUGGUUACCUCUUUUCAUUUUACUAUUGCAAUACUGAUGUUUCUUUAUUAUUAUUGUUUAUGAGUUUUUCACAUUUUUAUUAGUGUAUGCGUUUCAAUGUCGGUUGUGCCAUGUUGAUGCUGCAAGUCACUGAGCUCUGCAAUGACUUUUGAUUUUGCAAGGUGUAAAUGAUGUAUUAUCAUCAUGCUACUCACUUUGAUAGAUAAAUGGUUAUGUUUCUUUGAGUUGUUUGGUGCACGAGUGUUAAAGUAAUCUUGUUCAGCUAUCACAAAUUUCAUGUAAUUUACUGUUAUAUUAUGGGGUGACUUUUGUUGUUGUAUCCAUAGGUUUACCCUUUGUUUUCUUUUGAAAAAUAAGAGCAGUAUUUAGUUUUAUAGUCUCUAAUAAUCAUUGCCAUGUGGCAAUGUGGAUUUGGCCCAUUGAACGAAAACAACAAAAAGGUUGAACAUAAAGGGGGCGACGUCUCCCUUAUUGUUAAUUAGUUUUUUUUAUUUACUUAAAAAGGUUGUGUAUCAAACUUUUUUUCUUAUAUUAGUUAGAUUAGAAUAAAGAAGGAAUAAUGGUUAUUGGGCUAGAAAGUGGCAAACUUUAAUUCCCAUAUAUCUUUUCUCCUCCAUAUUGUUUUAUACCUAUCAUGUGGAAUAGAUGAGUGUGAUGAUGUAAAAAACUUAUGUUGUUGCUAUUUGAUUCGACAAUUUCAUGUCGUUAUGUCACCCAAAAAUUUCAAUACAUCAAUAUGAUAUUUCACGGCGUUACGAUUUUGCGAAUGACAUUAAUCAUGUUGUCAUUUCGUAUGAACCGGUUUUGAGCACACCGAUUUAAUUCAAUCCGUUAAAUCAACAUCGAUAUUUAUUUCUACCACUUUUAAUUAAAUUAGUUAAUUAAUUAAACUUUGAUUAAUUAGUUAAUUUUAAUUAAUUAAUUUUAAUUAACUUAAUUAUUUGACUCAAUUAAAUAAUUUUGAUAAUUAAUCUUAAUUAACUUAAUUAAUCAAUUUAACCACAUCUUAAUCAAUUAGUUUUGAUAAUUAAAGUUUGAUCGAUUUCUUUCACUAUCACCAUUCCGCAUCAUUUCAAAACCAAAAUCCAUUCAAUCUCACUCAUAAGCGAGAGUCUUGGUCCAAUGCCGAUCAUUUUUUUUAUUUAAAUCCGGUUAACCGUGCAAAUUCAAGUCAUUUUUCUAAACCAACACAAUUUAUAAAGAAUAUUGUUUUAAAACUUGGGAUGAAAAAGAAUAUAGGAAGCGUUCACUUCACUAUUUCUCAAGUACUCGAACGAUUGACGUAUGCCAUAUUGUUCGAAUCCUUGUCACCUGAUUAAAACAUUAAACGUAUAAGUUCAAAUUAUUUUUCAAAUCAUCAUAAAUAUUUUUACAAUUUAAACUUCGGAUGAAAAAGGAUGGGAGACAUUCACCUCACCAUCUCUCGAAUAAUUGAAUGAUUGACGCUCGCAAUAUCGCGCAAAUUAUCGACUUCCGAUUAAAACACGCUAAAUAAACUUGGAUAAAGGAAUGAGUGACGCACGCCUUAUUGUUCCUUGAAUAAGCAAGCCGGAGGACCAUCACGAGGAAUCGUAUUUUUCGAGAUACGACAGUACUGUAUUUCUAAGUUAAGAUUUUCGCAAAAAUUUGGUAUGGCUUAAGCAAAUGGGAGAAUCAGUAAAUAGCGGAAACCACACAUAAAGACUCGACAGUGCAAUGAUAUUUGACUUAACUAGCGCCUUCUGCCAUGUGUUCGUCCACGUCCCCAAUGCAACGACGUAACAUAGGAAAGAAAGGUAGAACCUGGGUAGCCUACUACUGUUGCCUCCUGCCACGUGUUCAUUCACGUCCACCAUUUCCAGGCUGGUGAGGUUCCGUACCCACAUAAGAGGCAUAGUCUUGUAGAUCUUCCACACGCGUUGUCAAUGCUUCCAUUUCAUCGAUCAAACCAGACAUGUUAUGUUCAGUCCUGAAAGCGUAAUCAUGCUGGUCAUGCUGCAUCUGGCAAAGGAUUUGCAUCAUAUCUGUUUGCUGAGCUUCCAUGUUUUGGCUUUGUUGGUCGUGAUGAGCGUCUAAUUCGCUACAUCGUACCAGUUUAGCAUAGAUGUCAUCAAGAGUGACAGGUGCCACAUUUCUUCUUCUGGGUCUUUGGCUGGAUGAUAUACCUACAACAUUUUCAGAAGAAACGUAUGUGGUGUAUGGGUGUGUGUCAGUAGUGGGAGCAGCUUGCUCCUGAACAUAAUCCUCAUCGAUGUCCCUUCCACCAGCUACAUUCUCAGGAAUAUGCACAGGGACUUGAUUAGGCACCGAAUCAGGAAUAUAACAAUAAUUGUCCAGGUUGCGCACAUCUGUGCGAAUUGGGUUGGGGAGGAUGAAAUCUUGAAAAACACUAUUGGCAACCAUUAGGUGAAAUUUACCCUCUUCCCUUCGUUUUACCAAUUUCAUGCUCCUUGUCAUGUCAAUGUCAAUGGCACGAGGCGGGAGCGGUGUUAGGCAGGAUAAUUUAUCUUCGAGUCCUAGGACUCGGGCUAUUGAGGUUAUUAAACCUCCAAAAUUAAUUGGUCCUCUUCUCGCUUUGACUAUGGCCUGCGUGUGAGAGAACAUGAAAGGGACGAUAUUUACCUUUUGUGGCACAAAAGUGGCGAACAAAUAGAAGAAUUCUUUCUCGUUCACCUUGUUAGAGUUGGAUCGGCAAAAAUGGUGCAAGCCAAUAUUUGGCGGAAAUAAUGGAUAGCCGGAUUUUGAAUUAAAGUGGUUCUGUUUCCCUUAAAACUGUGUGUUACCGUACCUGUUAUUGCCCUCUAGAAUGGUUGAAAGGCAUGCUGCCAACCCUAAGUAUUUGGGACCUCACUUACUAUGUCAUCCCCAUGGGGGAAUUGUAGCAGGUCCACUAGUUCGGAAAAAGUAAAAGCGUACUCUACAUUGAACAAGCGAAACUGGACAGUCCCACUGGGACAGUUUGUGUUGGGGGCGGGACUAAAAAUAAGCGAACUAAGGAAUUCUAGUGUUAAUUGGGCAUAUACCAGGUCUUUAAAAUAUAGGAAAUAAUUUUAACUUAAAGUAUUUAGCAUAUGAUUAACACUAUCAAGAAUUCCUAAGGAUAUUAAACAAGGUUCAUCAGCAUACCUUAUUGACUUUAUUUCUCCUGUGCUUAGAGCCGUGUAGAUUUAUUCCUGCAAUUCACCUGGUUCGCCGGCUCUGAACAAUAUUUCGUAUUCGCGCCUUUGUGUCAUGACCGAAAUUCACACUACUCGUGUAUAUGUAGUAAAAGUGUAGCAAGAAGGAGGAGAAUUUCGUUUAUGAAAGAUGUAUUUUUGUGAGGUUAUGUUGCUGGUUUAUAUAGAGGUGAUGGUGGUUGGAAAAUUAUUAAUGGAAUAAAUUCCAAUGAAUGAUGUUCAAUGCAUCGGUCAAAGUAGAUUAAAAAUGGUUGAAGAAGGCUUAAUUCUUUGUCUGGAAUGCAUGGGACAAGGAAUUUAUGGAAUUGAUGGCACAACAACAACGUGAGGAUUUAUGGAGUGUGGUAGGCGCCACUUUGUGUGUGUGGCGGGCGCCACUAUGUAAGUGUGGCGGGCGCCACAACCUGUGUUUGACCGUCCUCGGUGCCGGACACACACACCGUCCGCCCACAUGCAGUGUUGUAGGUGUUCCCUAUGUGUUCCCCGUGUAUUCUCUUUUGACCAUGGUUUUUCAUGUGAAUUUAUUUGACCAACAUUUAAUAGUUAUUGAAUAACUAGGUGAAAGAAAAACAAGAUACAUAAAAGUGAGAAUUAGGAAUUAAAUAGGGUAUGGUAGAAUGAAAUUAAAACAUAAAAUCGAAAAAGAAAAGAAUGAGGUAGAUAGAAAAGAAUAACAUAAUUCAUUUUCUAGAUAAAAGUGAAAUAAUUAAAAAUUCCUAAUUUGUAAAAACAACAAGAAAAUCCAAACAUGAAAAUAAAAUCUAAAAUCAAUGUCAGUAAAGCGGUAGAGUUCAUAUAUAUUAGCCAUUAUGGCGACUGCCAACAGGAGGAGUGAACGAGUAGAAGUGCUGAUAAAUGUGAUCCAAGUUCUAUGUCACUACGUCCAUAAAGUCGUGGAGGUCCAUGCACAAAGUGCUCAAUUCGUCUCUCAGGUUGGCGAUGUCGGUCUGGACAACGUCGAUGACAGCAACAUGAUCAGUAGAAGGCGCAACAGGUACAGUAGGGGUGUACGAGUCAGCGUCAUAGAGAUAGGUAUCAUAAUGGUCACAGAUUUGGGGUGUCUUUGGAGGAGAGGGUGGGGCAUCUUAUGGUCCGUCAAAAUUAAAGAGCCAAUUGUUCCUAUCAUGUACACUCGUCAUAUGGUAUGGUAGGGGAAACAGGUGUACGACUUGGUUGUUAAUUAGAAAUUCAAACACAUUCGGGCCCAGGUUUAUAAUGAUACCAGUGUUGAAACAGAAUUGAAUGUUCAUUGGUCGUAUUCCACCUAGAGGGUUAAGUCUGAUAAAUGGUUGUCUCAGUCCAAUAGCAUUUGCGAUCAUGGUCACUAAACCCCCUAUUAAGAUUGAUCCAUGGUUAGCUUGUACCAUACAGUCUAAGUUGGCUAUCAUAAAUGUAACGGCAUUAACAGGACGAACCUGUGAUGCACAAUACAUUAUAAAGAGUUCGUCUUUGGACACGGAGGUUAUGUUUUGUUCUUUUCCAAAUAGGGUGUGAGAUAGGAUCUUAUGAAAGUAACAGAUGGCAGGGUUGUGGAUGUUCUCAAAAUGCAUGAGAUCCGACUCGGGAUGGUUGUUUCCUGUAAUGAUACCCCAAAAGUAAUCUAGUUCAAGGUCUGUAACCAGGUCUUCCUGGGUGAUGGUAAAGGUAUUAGGACCAUUUGGGCAUCCUAUGAGUUCAUCUAUUUCUCUAUGAUUGUAGUGAUACUCAAUAUCAAACAUCCUAAAGGUGAUAAGGCCUUUAUUAAAUCCGAUAUCAUGGCUUGGCAAGUAAACUAGGGAGCUUGGGAAUUCUAAGGUUAGCCUUCGGUAAGAACUAAAUUUUCUUUUGAUAGCAAAAGUAUCCCAGCCAAUUUGGUUAAUUAGGAACUGUAGCGGUAAAUUCAUGAUCAUCAAGCUAUGGAUAAGCAAGAGAUCAAUAAAACCGGAGUCGCCACCGCGCUUUUAUUAUUUCCAAGGGAAAAGGGAAAAAGUACGAACAAAACCCAAAAGUAAGAAGUUUUCAAAUCAAAACUAAUAAAAUGUCAGAGAUUACAAGUAAAGAGGUUGGUUACACAGAGGGAAGGUGUUAGCACCCAAAGUGUCCUAGGUACUCCUAGGGAGCCCUUUCUUGUGUGCAUAUGUAUUUUGUACAAAGUGAUGUUUACAAACAAAUAGAAUGGGGGGAUGAGAGGUGUUAGCACCCAAAGUGUCCUAGGUACUCCUAGGGAGCCCUUUCUUGUGUGCAUAUGUAUUUUGUACAAAGUGAUGUUUACAAACAAAUAGAAUGGGGGGAUGAGAAAAUAAUUCAUUAAUUAUAAUUUUGUGUUUGACAAGACCUUCAGACUUGUGCCUACGUACCAACAUAAAAUGAGGGAUCAAAACCUCGUAGUUCGUGAUACAAAUUUCAAAGUGGAUGCAUUGCUUUUAACAAAAUUUGAGUUUGAAAGGCACAAAGGCCUAAAAUGGUUUAAAUGAGUUAGUUCUUUUUGGCUUUUUUAAAGUUUAAGUCAAGUAUAAUUAAGUCUAUUUACAAGUUUGAUUAAGAAAAGGAGUUUGAAAAUGCAAUGGCAUAAGGCCAAAGUUUCUAGUUUGCAAAGUGGUCAAAGUUUAGAACAAAAUAAGUUCAAUCAAAGAAUAUUUUAAAAAGGAGGGAGAGAUUUUGAAAUUAAAUAAAUGGGGAGAAGAUGAAGAGACAAAUCCUAUGUACAAAAUUAAAAGUUAAGGGUUGAAAAGAUCUGACCAAUGGAUAACAAUCCAAUAGACAAGAAUGUCAAUAGAAACCCAAACUCCCUUGGACAUUUAGAAUCAAGCAACAUACAAAUUCACAAAUAUAUCUUGAAGAGCAAGGCAUCAAAUAAAGAUAGCUACAUCCAAGCUUAUCCACUUUAUGAUCUUCUUCAAAUUAAGCCCAUGUAACAGAUGAAUUCCACUAGUCACAGGUUCAAAAUAACAACUUCAUAAUGAUCAUGUUGCAGAUGAACUCAAAGGGAUCUUGAAUGAUGUAUCAGAUGAAGUUUCAAAUUGCAAGCACUUGGUUUCUCAAAAGUUGGCAUUGGCCAAGUCCUUAACAUAGGAUAGUUGCCUAGAUUCUAAGUCCAAUUGUCUAGGAUCAAGCCAACAGUUCACACAAACGUUUUUUAGGGUUUUUGUUAUUGUUAUGUACAUUAAUGGUCAAAGACCACACAAACAAACAAAAAUAUACACAAGCAAUAUAUAUUACACAAUAUGGUCCAAAUGGACAAAGUGAAAAUGGCAUUAAUGUAAACAAUUAGAAUGGUACGAAUAAUGGAAAAUGAAUAGAACUUAAAGAUUAAAGUACAUUAAAAUAAAGGACUUGAAAUUAAAUGUUAGUUGUUAAUAAGUUAGAAGUUAGUAUUGUUUUGCUUUUGCUUUUCACUUUUUAAGUCAUUAUUUGGAGAACACUCAACCCACUUAUCACAAGCAUGGAUCCUUGAACCAAGACAUCUUCCAAAGGAAGGAAAAAAGGUCAAGUUUCCAUACAAUACCAUGAAAGAGGGGAGACUUACAAUCUCACUAACAGAAAUGUUUAUGCUUUUUUGUCACAAAUUUAGCGCUAUGUUAACAAUUCGGAUAUGGACUUAUGGUAAAGUCCAACUAUUUGAGGUCGGGCAAUAGAAUUUUGGUGUUAAUGCAUGUUAGAGACAUAGUAUAAUGGAAUAUGCUCAUGAAACAUACCACACACAAAAAGAAUAUGCAAAAGAGGUGGCCUAAUCUCAUCCAUACUUAUGUUGAUUUUGGAAUCAACUAGCCUUAGGACUUAGAGAUAUCAUAGAUCAAAUGAGAUGAAUGCAUAAAGAAUGGAUCAAAACUCAAAUUGGUCAAAGGAGGACUUUUACCAAAUUAAUAUCAUCUAUUCAUUUUGGGAGAUGGAAUGUACAUUCCAUCAAUCCCCUAAAUCCAAUGAUAUUAACUUGACAAAGUAAAAUCAACAUUUACCAAGGCCCAACAACAAGAGUCAAACUUAUACAAUUCACCACAAUAGGUCAACACAAUUAAUUGACAUUUAUUGAAGUUAAAAAUACUAAAAUAAUACAUUUAAUUAAACAUGGUUUGUCAAAUUCCUAAAACCUCAUCAAAACACCAAAGAAAUGGCCAUGAGAUUUAUCAUAGGUCAAGCAAGGUCAAAGGACCUUUGAGAAAAAAAUUCAGAAUUUUUAAAGACUUAAAAGUAUUUUUAAACAAUUAAAAACAAUCACAAAAUCAAUUAAAUCAUGAAAAAUAUUAAUAAUGAUCCAAAAAAUAAUUUUAAUUCAAAUUAUGAAAGAGGAAAUUAUUUGAAUUUUUUUUGGUGAAACUCUCAUAUUUUUUGGAUCAAUAUUAGAAUCAAUAUGAACUAAUGAAAAUAAGCUAAUUAAAAUGAAAAUAAAUAAAUAGCAAAAAACGUGGACCACUUGAUCUCCCUCAUUAAUUGAGGUGGCAGAUCAAGUGGAUCAGCGCGCGCGUUCCAUGGUGCACUGCAGUCAAAACGACAUAGGCUUGGUAUUUAAAAGCAACGCACGGGAUUAAAACAUUUCAAACUCAUUUAAUGGCUCUGAACAUUUCCAGCUCAUCGCCUGAGCCAAAGGCCGAUCAUCUUCUCCGAUGACCCUGGCCGGACUGGUUCAGUCAUCACCAUAUCAUAAAUGACAAAAGAGAACAUGAUCUGAAAGAUAAAAUGGUGUAGAUCACGAAUAUCACCUUAAUUUUAACUAACUCCAAAUAUAUAGAGAGAUAUAUGGAGUUGAAUUUUGAGGUGUGUCAACUGAGUUGCUUCGAUUUGACCUCUAAGAAACCCAAUCUUCUUGCCUACAUUGGUAGGACUUCAAACAACCAAAGAUCCAAGAGAAUUGAGUAGAAUUGAGUGAGAAUCGAAGAGAUGAGGUUUUCUGAAAAUUACCUUCAAUGAUGUGCAAAACUUGAUGUUGCUUGCUUCAAACACGAUCUGGUCACACUUGAGAAGCUUGCAGGAAGUGAUUAGCAAGGGUGAAAGGCUUUGGAUCCUGGAGUUUUUCAAUCUCCAACAUUAAAGAUUCAAACUCAAUUUUCAAAUUGAAAAUUCUUAGGUUUUCCUCUAGAAUGAGAGGGUUUGAAUUGGGGGGCAAAGUUGGCGCGCAAGAUGUGUUUCAGUUGAGCUCAGAGGUCAUGUAUUUAUAGCAUUUGGGAUUGAUAAUUGCACACUUCAAAAUUUAUUAAAUUUGGCAAUGUGAUGCACAAGCUUGCAUGGGCGUGUACAGGCCCAUGAAGCAAUCCAUUUAGGUCCAAAUGCUUCUGAAAUGAAGCUUGAUUGGCAAGGCAAUGUGAAAUGGUCAUUGGCACUUUUGAUUUUCUCCAAUGGUGCAGCUUUGUUAAAGCCAUGCGCAGCCCUAUCAAACCUCAUCCAAAAUGCAUGAACUUGGGUUCUUUUGAAAGCUUGGAUCAAGAGGAACAAGUUUGAUGUUGAACACUUUUUCAUUUAGAGCUUGGAUCAUGAUGAAUUUUGAGGUGGAAGUUUGGAAAUUUCAACAUGUUGAAAUAUUUUCUAAGUGUCAAGCCAUAUAUCUCAAUAUUCCACCUUAACUUUGUAUGUGAGAUUCAAAUGAGAAAAGUGUAUUCAUCAAAGUUGUAGCUAUUUAAAAGACCUUCAAAAUAGUCACCAUUUUAAUGUCAUUGGGAUUUAGAAUGAUAGAGUUAUGCAUUUUUGAAGUUUGGAAAAAUCACUUGUUCAAUGGUAUAGGUCAAAAAUGACCUAUAAUGUAUCCUCAUAUCACAUGCUCAUAAAAGUUGAAUUUGCUUCCACUCAAUAGAGUUAUGCAUUUUUGAAGUUUGGAAAAAUCACUUGUUCAAUGGUAUAGGUCAAAAAUGACCUAUAAUGUAUCCUCAUAUCACAUGCUCAUAAAAGUUGAAUUUGCUUCCACUCCAAACAUCAAUGUUGAAGUAGACAUCUUGAAUUUGAUUGUGCAACUUGGAAAUCUUUCAUCGCAUAAAAAUUGAGCAAGUUAUGGCCUUGGGAAUUUGACUUUCAAAUUAGGGUUUAGACAAAAUGACCUAUAAUGUUUCAACAUAGAAGAUAAUUUUCCAAGAAAAACUAGCUCUAGAUCUCAACAUGAAAGUUGUUUGUAAUGUAAUUUAGAGUAACAUUUCUCUUGGAAGCAUUUUGAUAUGGUGAAAAUUGUAGGAGAUAGGGUUUAGGGAGACCCAGUUUUGAUCAGAUGAAUUCAUCUGGCCAACCACCAUCAACCAACUUGCUAACUUUCAAUUCUCUUGACUUUAUUGGCUAAUGGUAGAUCAUAUAUGCAUAAGAUUAUAAAAUUUGAAGUGUCCCUUGAGAACUUUGAUCAAUUGGUGAGAUGGCUUGUUGGAGAAGUUACUCAGGAUACCCAGUCAAACUAGGGUUUCCAAGGCAAAUCACCUCCAAACUCUUGAAGAAAACUUGAUCAAUGUAUCAUGUAGAGAUCAUUGGGACUCAUAUAUGAUGAUUUUAACCAUUGUGGAUAAAUCCAUAGUUGUGCUCCUUGUCAUGAGGGUCUCAAACCCUAGAUAUGAACUUGAUAGAUCAAUGGUGAUCAUGCCCUACCUACAAAAGAGUUAGGCAAAUACAAAGACAUAUUUUUGGUAUUUUGGUUAGUAAAUGAUAAAAUAAAAAGUAUGAUACAAACACAUGGUGCCUUGUGAUAUCUCCCAAAGCAAACCCAAUGAAAGGGAGUAAGGAGGAUGCCAAGGUAUGAUCCCAAUGCUAAUGCAUAUGAUGAAAUUGCAUGAGGGGUCUUAGGGUCAAAAUUGGGUCUUAAAGCUGCCUAUUUAAGAUAUUCUAACUGAGGAGUGAAGGUAAAAAUCUUCGGCUCGAUCAGUAGAAUGGGCUUAAAUAACAACAUAUAGAAACAAAUUUUGGUCCCUAAGAGACCUCAUGAUGCAUAUGAUAUGAAUGUAAAAGUUAAUGCUCUGUGGGGAAAUAUUGCCAUAGAGGAAAAGAAAUCAGAGAGACAGAAAGUCCGCAGGAGUAUAAUGCAUUCCAUGAGGUAAACUCACUAGGGAGACAGAGACUCUGGGGAAAAUGAGGUUAUGCGUAGGCCAGUCUACGGCUUAAAAACUGUUGGGGGACUAGAGGAAUUCCAAACAAAAUGGAAAGACUCAUCCGGGGAAACAAAACAUCUGCAGGGAAAACGAGUAGAUCAGGAUAACACUGAAGCACUCGAAUCAUGUAGGAAAAGCGAUUUCACUAAGCAAAUGCGCACUCAACUCAACUAGGGAGAAAUAAACUUCAACACAGGAGGAGUAGAAAUCUAUUAUCUAUUACCUGUUACUGGGUAAGGAGAUAACAAAGAUCUGACAGAGAAGACAUCUGUCAUCUGUUAGGAUGAACAUAUCAAGGAUGACUCACUGGGAAACACCAGGAGGGAGUAUUCAUUACCAGUUACUGGGUAAGAAUAGCCUUGCUAGGAAAAACUGAAGAAAAUAGGAUUUACAACUACCAGUUACUGGGCAGAAGACCUGAUAACAUGAAAUAAUAUCACAUUUUUGGACUCGAUUUAAUUAAAUUGUAUUAUUAUUUGUUUCGAUUUAUUUCAUUUUAUUCGAUAUUACUCGUUAUUUUUCCUUUUAUUUGUCUCAGGUAAUUUAUUUGAAGCAUAAGUGAAAAAGGAAGAAAAGGGGGUGCAAAAAGACAAUGAAAAGCAAAAUCCACAAAAGCCCAGCCCACAAUCACAAGCCAGGAGGCAUAAGGCUUUAUCUAUGACAAAUUUUCCUAUGUGACAGGGUAUAGAGAACUACUGGAUCUUUAAGUUUAGGAGCAUAUUCUGGAUAUUAGCGCUACAUUCAGCAGUGAGUGUAUACAAUUUCGCUAUCUUCAAGUUUCCUUUAUUAGAAAGAAUUUCUUUUAAGAACUUACAUAUGAGGGCAUCUGCGAAUAGCUUCUGUAAACGGAAUUGUGCGUUUAAUUGUUUUAGUAGGUCAACAAAUUUUUUAAAUUGGCCCCAUCUUUGGUUUUAAUAAGCCUUUGAGGGUAAGGGAUAGGUGUUUAUAAGGUGGUGGAGUACAUAAGGUUCUUUCUUUUCUACGGUUUCCUUAUUACUCUCUUCCUUUUCCUUAGGUGUACUUUCUUCCUCAGUUGACUUUUUAGAGUUUUGGUUUCAGUUCUUGGAUCUACUGUCCUUCCACUUCCGUUCCAUUCUUAGUAUGAUUGCAUGAGCGUGGCUUUUCGGGUUAGGUUGGGGCUGUCCAGGAAAUGAACAGUUGAGGCAGCAGUAGGCGCUUGUUGUUGAUCUACUUGUGAUAUUUGUGUUUCCAGCAUUUGUAUAGUAGCCAAAGGCAUCUACUUUACUGCUAGUUUGUUCGAUUUGUCNNNNNNNNNNNNNNNNNNNNNNNNNNNNNNNNNNNNNNNNNNNNNNNNNNNNNNNNNNNNNNNNNNNNNNNNNNNNNNNNNNNNNNNNNNNNNNNNNNNNNNNNNNNNNNNNNNNNNNNNNNNNNNNNNNNNNNNNNNNNNNNNNNNNNNNNNNNNNNNNNNNNNNNNNNNNNNNNNNNNNNNNNNNNNNNNNNNNNNNNNNNNNNNNNNNNNNNNNNNNNNNNNNNNNNNNNNNNNNNNNNNNNNNNNNNNNNNNNNNNNNNNNNNNNNNNNNNNNNNNNNNNNNNNNNNNNNNNNNNNNNNNNNNNNNNNNNNNNNNNNNNNNNNNNNNNNNNNNNNNNNNNNNNNNNNNNNNNNNNNNNNNNNNNNNNNNNNNNNNNNNNNNNNNNNNNNNNNNNNNNNNNNNNNNNNNNNNNNNNNNNNNNNNNNNNNNNNNNNNNNNNNNNNNNNNNNNNNNNNNNNNNNNNNNNNNNNNNNNNNNNNNNNNNNNNNNNNNNNNNNNNNNNNNNNNNNNNNNNNNNNNNNNNNNNNNNNNNNNNNNNNNNNNNNNNNNNNNNNNNNNNNNNNNNNNNNNNNNNNNNNNNNNNNNNNNNNNNNNNNNNNNNNNNNNNNNNNNNNNNNNNNNNNNNNNNNNNNNNNNNNNNNNNNNNNNNNNNNNNNNNNNNNNNNNNNNNNNNNNNNNNNNNNNNNNNNNNNNNNNNNNNNNNNNNNNNNNNNNNNNNNNNNNNNNNNNNNNNNNNNNNNNNNNNNNNNNNNNNNNNNNNNNNNNNNNNNNNNNNNNNNNNNNNNNNNNNNNNNNNNNNNNNNNNNNNNNNNNNNNNNNNNNNNNNNNNNNNNNNNNNNNNNNNNNNNNNNNNNNNNNNNNNNNNNNNNNNNNNNNNNNNNNNNNNNNNNNNNNNNNNNNNNNNNNNNNNNNNNNNNNNNNNNNNNNNNNNNNNNNNNNNNNNNNNNNNNNNNNNNNNNNNNNNNNNNNNNNNNNNNNNNNNNNNNNNNNNNNNNNNNNNNNNNNNNNNNNNNNNNNNNNNNNNNNNNNNNNNNNNNNNNNNNNNNNNNNNNNNNNNNNNNNNNNNNNNNNNNNNNNNNNNNNNNNNNNNNNNNNNNNNNNNNNNNNNNNNNNNNNNNNNNNNNNNNNNNNNNNNNNNNNNNNNNNNNNNNNNNNNNNNNNNNNNNNNNNNNNNNNNNNNNNNNNNNNNNNNNNNNNNNNNNNNNNNNNNNNNNNNNNNNNNNNNNNNNNNNNNNNNNNNNNNNNNNNNNNNNNNNNNNNNNNNNNNNNNNNNNNNNNNNNNNNNNNNNNNNNNNNNNNNNNNNNNNNNNNNNNNNNNNNNNNNNNNNNNNNNNNNNNNNNNNNNNNNNNNNNNNNNNNNNNNNNNNNNNNNNNNNNNNNNNNNNNNNNNNNNNNNNNNNNNNNNNNNNNNNNNNNNNNNNNNNNNNNNNNNNNNNNNNNNNNNNNNNNNNNNNNNNNNNNNNNNNNNNNNNNNNNNNNNNNNNNNNNNNNNNNNNNNNNNNNNNNNNNNNNNNNNNNNNNNNNNNNNNNNNNNNNNNNNNNNNNNNNNNNNNNNNNNNNNNNNNNNNNNNNNNNNNNNNNNNNNNNNNNNNNNNNNNNNNNNNNNNNNNNNNNNNNNNNNNNNNNNNNNNNNNNNNNNNNNNNNNNNNNNNNNNNNNNNNNNNNNNNNNNNNNNNNNNNNNNNNNNNNNNNNNNNNNNNNNNNNNNNNNNNNNNNNNNNNNNNNNNNNNNNNNNNNNNNNNNNNNNNNNNNNNNNNNNNNNNNNNNNNNNNNNNNNNNNNNNNNNNNNNNNNNNNNNNNNNNNNNNNNNNNNNNNNNNNNNNNNNNNNNNNNNNNNNNNNNNNNNNNNNNNNNNNNNNNNNNNNNNNNNNNNNNNNNNNNNNNNNNNNNNNNNNNNNNNNNNNNNNNNNNNNNNNNNNNNNNNNNNNNNNNNNNNNNNNNNNNNNNNNNNNNNNNNNNNNNNNNNNNNNNNNNNNNNNNNNNNNNNNNNNNNNNNNNNNNNNNNNNNNNNNNNNNNNNNNNNNNNNNNNNNNNNNNNNNNNNNNNNNNNNNNNNNNNNNNNNNNNNNNNNNNNNNNNNNNNNNNNNNNNNNNNNNNNNNNNNNNNNNNNNNNNNNNNNNNNNNNNNNNNNNNNNNNNNNNNNNNNNNNNNNNNNNNNNNNNNNNNNNNNNNNNNNNNNNNNNNNNNNNNNNNNNNNNNNNNNNNNNNNNNNNNNNNNNNNNNNNNNNNNNNNNNNNNNNNNNNNNNNNNNNNNNNNNNNNNNNNNNNNNNNNNNNNNNNNNNNNNNNNNNNNNNNNNNNNAACCUAAGGAAAAGGAAGAGAGUAAUAAGGAAACCGUAGAAAAGAAGGAACCUUAUGUACCUCCACCACCUUAUAAACCACCUAUCCCUUACCCUCAAAGGCUUAUUAAAACCAAAGAUGCGGGCCAAUUUAAAAAAUUUGUUGACCUACUAAAACAAUUAAACGUCACAAUUCCGUUUACAGAAGCUAUUACGCAGAUGCCCUCAUAUGCUAAGUUCUUAAAAGAAAUUCUUUCUAAUAAAAGGAAACUUGAAGAUAGCGAAAUUGUUACACUCACUGCUGAAUGUAGCGCUAUAAUCCAGAAUAUGCCUCCUAAACUUAAAGAUCCAGGUAGUUUCUCUAUACCCUGUCACAUAGGAAAAUUUGUCAUAGAUAAAGCCUUAUGCGAUUUAGGAGCCGGUAUUAGUGUUAUGCCUUUAUCCAUAUGCAAGAAACUUGAAAUGGGAGAAUUAAGACCAACUAAAAUGUCUGUGCAACUAGCAGAUCGUUCUGUUAGAUAUCCUGUAGGAAUUCAUAAGUCCCUGUGGGAUCGAUAUCUUUUAAAACUACGCGAUAGAACUGUGCACUUGCAGUUUGUACCCCAAUUCGACUCAUAAAGUCGCGAUCAAGACCAAAGAUGAGAGUAUCUGUCAUCGGUUAGGAUGAACAUAUCAAGGAUAAACUCAAUAGAGAAGAAAAUCCGUCAUCGGUUAGGAUGAACAUAUCAAGGAUAAACUUGCCUGGGAAUGUCAAGGAGGAUACCCGUCAUCGGGUAGGAUGAACAUAUCAAGGAUAUACCAACUGAGCAAAAAGUAGGAAUUAGAUCUAUCGAAUGCUGGAUAGAAUACCACCAAAGAGAAAAUCCGUCAUCGGUUAGGAUGAACAUAUCAAGGAUAAACUCUGUAAGGAGAGAAAAUAGGAAUUACAUCUAUCAGUUACUGGAUAGAAUACUACCAAAGAGAAAAUCCGUCCUCGGUUAGGAUGAACAUAUCAAGGAUAGACUCUGUGAGGAGAGAAAAUAGGAAUUACAUCUAUCCGUUUCUGGAUAGAAUACCACCAAAGAGAAAAUAUGUCAUCUGUUAGGAUGAACAUAUCAAGGAUAGACUUUGUGAGGAGAGAAAAUAGGAAUUACAUCUAUCAGUUAUUGGAUAGAAUACCACCAAAGAGAAAAUCCGUCACCGGAUAAGAUGAACAUAUCAAGGAUUAACUCUCUGGGGAACAAAAUAGGGAUUACAACUACCUUUUUACUGGGUAGAAUACUAAGAAUGAGAAUAUCUGUCAUCGGUUAGGAUGAACAUAUCAAGGAUAGACUCGGGCAGGGGAGAGAAAGAUAUCUGUCACCGAUUAGGAUGAGCAUAUCAAGGAUAUACUUCCUGGGAAAUGAAUCUGUUAGGGACUCCACUGAUGGGAAAAACCAGGGAUACUUUUGCCGGGUAUUGGGCAAAAAGUAACAAACUGCACACUAAGAAGAAUAUUACUAGUUACUGGGCAAUAAACUCUUAGGAGACUCACAAAAUCUAUCUAGGCAAGAGCUAGAAAGAAACGGUCAAUCAAGGCUCAACCCAAUGAGGAUAUAUCUCAAAGGGAGUGGUUUCAUUCAGAUAAUUUACUGAGGAGGUAACUGAAAUAAUGAUCAUCCACGAGGAAGUAACUCAGUGGGGAAAGGAGAAAGGUUAAAAUCUUUCUGCUUAGGGGACGAUGCUCUACAAUUGAGAGAGGACAGACUCCAAACUUGUAUGGGGAUAAAGUACCGCCAUAACAAGGAAUAAGAAUCUCAUACAAUGAUUCAGCAAAUAUGAAUAUGCAAAUAUGCAAUUAUGAAAUUAUAUGAGUGUAUAUAUAUAUAUGUACAUAUGAUGAUUAUGCUGACAAAACGAUCACAAAGGAUACAAGGGUGUCGUAAAAUUUGAAUCAUCGGUACAAUCCUUGGUCAAUCCACAAAAAGGGAGACAACUGCCGGAGAACAAAGAGAUCAGCUACCCAAAGACUCAACUCUAGAUGAGGAAGGAGAAGAUCCGCUGAGGAGAGGAAAUUUUAUCAAAUCUGCAAGGAAUUUUAGGUCAACACCAUAUCAAAAUGGGAGACAACGAUAUAAAGGAUAAACACAAGUAGCUGCUCAGAAACCAGGAGGAAACUCUAACUGGGAGCAAGUCAGAUGGCGACUGGUGGAGAAACCAACACGAUCUACUGGGGAAUCUAACUCACUCUGCUGAAAAUCAACCCUACUGAGGAAACACAAAUUCAGUCGGGGGAAGCAAAAACUUUGUCGGGGAAAAAACACAUCGCAGGGCACUGAAUCAACCAACUCAGCUGGCGAAAAGAAACGAAGCUCCGCUAGGGAUCAAACAUUCCGCAGGGGGAUUAGGCCAUCAAACUCAGAUGGGGAUACCCGAAGGGUUAACUGCUUGGGGAACCCUUAAUGCUUCACACUUAAGACUUGUUGCUCUUCGAAAUACUGUUGAUGUUUCUUUUCUUUAAAAUUGCUUUAAAAAAAUAUUGCUUUUAUAUGUUUAAGAAAAAAAUGAUUUUGAUUAACAUUUUAAAUUUAAAAAAUGCUCAUAAUAAAAUUUAAAACUAUUGGCUGAAGUAAAUAAGAGUAGAAAUAUUUGGAUAAAAGCUCAACUUUAUUUAAUAGAAUGGUAGUCUGUAAAUGACAAGCCUCCAUAUAUCUUUACAAAGUUGAAAAUGGUAAUUUACAUGGAAAAGGGUUACAUUGAAUACAAAUGAUCCUUAAUCCUUCUACCAACUUUUGAUGUCCGCUAUGCUCUUGACCGCUGCUGGGGACGAUGACUCGACGUCAAUCCUUAUGCUCAACAAAGUCUUUCCAAAACUGGACGAUUAGCAGACUGUAGUUACUUGCCAUAAUCCCUAAUUUUUACAUAAGUCUCCCCAAGGCGGGGUACUCAACUUAUCGGGAAAUUCUUUCUGUUUUUUAAGUCUCGAAUUUUUCCCUGGAUCGCCCUUUCGGGUUUUCAAUCCACCGAGACACUCAUUUUUGCCUAAGUCUCCCUUUUAGGUUUUCAACUUAGCGAGCUAUUCUUUUAUUUUUAGGCGAAGUAUUUCUUGACUGCAUCUGCGUUCACAGGACGAGUGAACUCUUCACCAUCCAUAGUUGUAAGAAUCAAGGCGCCGCCUGAAAAGGCUCUCUUAACAACAUAUGAGCCUUCAUAAUUAGGAGUCCAUUUACCCCUAGAAUCUGGUUUGAACGAUAGAAUCUUCUUGAGCACAAGGUCACCUUCUCUGAACACACGAUGCCUGACCUUCUUAUCAAAAGCUUUCUUCAUCCUUUGCUGAUAUAACUGACCAUGACACAUGGCAGUUAAUAUCUUCUCUUCUAUCAAAUUCAGCUUAUCAAACUUGGUCUGACACCAUUCAGCCUCAGUCAACUUGGCUUCCAUGAGCACACGUAAUGAAGGAAUCUCAACCUCUAUGGGGAGCACCGCUUCCAUACCAUAUACAAGAGAAAAAGGGGUUGCCCUGAUGAGGUGCGGAUGGAUGUUCGAUACCCGUGCAAAGCAAAUGGGAGCAUCUCAUGCCAAUCCUUAUAUGUCACAACUAUCUUCUGGAUAAUCUUCUUGAUGUUCUUCUUUGCGGCUUCAACAACCCCAUUCAUCUUAGGUCUGUAGGGAGAAGAAUUAUGAUGUGCAAUCUUUAAGUCUUUACAAAGAGCUUCCACCAUAUUGUUAUUCAAGUUCGAUCCAUUAUCAGUAAUGAUCUUACUUGGCACACCAUAACGACAUAUGACCUGAUUCAUGAGAAACCUUACAACAACUUGCUUGGUUACAUUUGCUUACGAUGCCGCUUCAACCCAUUUUAUGAAGUAAUCAAUUGCCACAAAAACAAAACGAUGUCCAUUCGAAGCUUUGGGCUUAAUCAUCCCAAUCAUAUCAAUUUCCCACAUGGAGAAGGGCCAUGUGGAAGAGAUAACAUUCAAUAGUGUCGGAGGCACAUGAAUCUUAUCCGCAUAUAUUUGACACUUGUGGCAUUUCUUCACAAACUUGCAACAAUCAGAUUCCAUUGUCAGCCAAUAGUAACCUGCUCGCAACAUCUUCUUCGCUAUUGCAUGUCCAUUGGAAUGAGUACCAAAGGAACCUUCAUGCACUUCAGUCAUUAACAAGUCUACUUCGUGUCUAUCCACGCAUCUGAGCAAAACCAUGUCGAAGUUUCUCUUGUACAGUACAUCGCCAUUCAAGUAAAAAUUGCCGGCUAAUCUUCUUAAAGUCUUCUUAUCUUUCAAAGAUGCCCCAAACGGGUAAAUCUGACUUUGGAGGAAGCAUUUAAUGUCGUAAUACCACAACUUCUCUUCUCUGACUUCUUCAACAACAAACACAUGAGCUGGCCUAUCAAGACGCAUCACAGACAGAUUGGGAACCUCAUUCCAAUACUUCACCACAAUCAUUAACGCCAAUGUUGCAAGAGCAUCUCCCAUCCGGUUCUCAUCUCGAGGGAUAUGAUGAAACUCUACUUUUGUAAAGAGGUUGAAAUCCUCCUCGCAUAAUCUCUAUACGGUCUUAGACCGGGUUGAUUCAUCUCCCAUUCUCCUUUGAUUUGAUUCACAACCAAAGUUGAAUCUCUGAAGACAUAUAAAUACUUGAUUCUGAGAUUCAUGGCCUCUUAAAGCCCCAUAAUGCAAGCUUCAUAUUCUACCAUAUUGUUUGUACACUUGAAAGUCAAUCUAGUUGUAAUAGGAAAAUGCAUGCCUUGAGGAGUAAUAAUCACUGCCCCAAUACUAUUACUAUAUAGAUUAACAACUCCAUCAAAUACCAUGCCCCAAUGGGAACCAGGUUCUGGUCCUUCUUCAAGCAAUGGUUCAUCAAAAUCUUUCAUUUUCAAGUACAAAAUCUCUUCAUCAGGAAAAUCAUAUUGCAUUGACUGGUAAUCUUCAAUUGGUUGGUGAGCCAAAUGGUCAGCCAAGAUACUACCUUUGAUUGCUUUCUGAGAUCGGUAUUCAAUAUCAUACUCUGAUAACAACAUCUGCCAACGGGAAAUUCUCCCAAUUAAAGCAGGCUUCUCAAAUAUAUACUUGAUUGGAUCCAUUUUGGAUAUCAACCAAGUGGUAUGAUUCAACAUAUACUGACGCAGAUGCUUAGCAGCCCAAGCCAAUGCACAAUAAGUCUUCUCAAGCAUAGAAUACCGAGUCUCACAGUCAGUGAACUUCUUACUGAGGUAGUAAAUUGCAAAUUCUUUCUUUCCAGUCUCAUCUUGCUGACCAAGAACACAACCCAUACUAUCUUCAAGAACAGUCAAAUACAUAAUCAACGGUCUUCCUUCAACAGGUGGAGACAAAAUCGGAGGUUCAAGCAAUAUUCCUUAAUACUGUCAAAAGCUUUCUGGAAAUCUUCGGUCUAAUCACAAGACUGAUCUUUCCGAAGAAGCUUGAACAUCGGCGCACAUGUGGCAGUCAUGUGUGAAAGGAAUCUUGAGAUAUAAUUCAAGCAGCCGAGAAAACCUCUGACUUGCUUCUCAAUUUUGGGCGCAUGCAUCUCUUGUAUUGCUUUGACCUUGGUAGGAUCAACUUCAAUACCCUUCUCGCUGACAAUAAAGCCCAACAAUUUACCAGAACGAACACUAAAAGUACAUUUAUUGGUAUUCAAGCGGAGUUUAUAGUUCCUCAAACGCUGGAAUAACUUCAACAAAUGCUCAACAUGUUCCUCUUCAUCAAUUGAUUUAGCAAUCAUGUCAUCGACAUAUACUUCAAUCUCUUUAUGCAUCAUAUCAUGAAAAAGAGUAGUCAAAUCAAUUGAUUUAGCAAUCAUGUCAUCGACAUAUACUUCAAUCUCUUUAUGCAUCAUAUCAUGAAAAAGAGUAGUCAUUUCUCUCUGGUAAGUUGCACCAGCAUUCUUUAAACCGAAAGGCAUCACUUUAUAACAGAAUAUUCCCCAAGGCGUAAUGAAUGUGGUCUUCUCCAUAUCUUCGAGUGCCAUCUUGAUCUGAUUAUAUCCGGAAAAUCCAUCCAUAAACGAAAAGACUUUGAAUUUAGCAUAAUUGUCUACCAACAUAUCAAUGUGUGGCAGAGGAAAAUCAUCUUUCAGACUGGCUUUAUUCAAAUCUCUAUAAUCAACACAGAUACAGACUUUUCCAUCUUUCUUCGGCACAAGCACAAUAUUGGCAACCCAUUGCAGAUACUCAGCGGUCACAAGGAAACCGACAUCAAUCUGCUUCUGAACUUCUUCUUUGAUCUUCACAGCCAUAUCAAGAUGCGUUCUUCUCAAUUUUUGCUUGACUGGCGGGCAUUCUGGCUUCAACGGGAAUCUAUGCUCCACAAUCUCAGAAUCCAAACCAGGCAUGUCUUGAUAGGACCAAGCAAACACAUCUGAAUACUCUUGAAGAAGAUCAAUCAAUCCCUUCUUGACAUAUGGACACAGUCGAGACCCAGUCUUGACUUCCUUCACAUCAUCCUCGGAACCCAAGUUGACCAGCUCAAUCUGCUCCUCGAACGGCUGAAUGUUCUUUUCAUCUUGCUCAAGAAGACGAGAUAAUUCAUCACUCACUUCUUCGUCACUUUCCUCCUCGGUCUCAAACACAGGGAAUUCAAAAUUUGGAGAAGGAGAAGGAUCAUUGUAUUCAAUGGGGUUAGAAAUCAACCUGCAUAAUGAUUUGAUAUUUUGAUUUUAGAGAAGUGGAUUUGUGACCAAAUAUUAUGCAGAUGGACAAUUAUAUUGCUUAUUUAUGUUUUUUGUGAUUACCAUUUUCAGAAUAAAGCAAAAAGUAAAAACAAACAUCAUGGAUGUGGAUGAAUAGAAUUAAUUUUAUUAAUGAUCAAUAUAAAAAUGGCCAAACAAUGUUCACUUCUCCCUUAGGCAUAUGAGAAGGAUUUUUAAAAACAUAUAAAAGCAAUUACUUAGAUCGAUGCAAAAUGACAAGAAUAUCAACAGCAGUCCAAUUAUUGCAAGCCUUUCCAUGCGUCACAAAAUUGGUGUAGUCUUCCUCUUCGUCAUCCUCUAGCACAACAGUUAAGUGUUGUUCAUUUCCAUGAAUGAACCCUCCGCUACGGAAGCUAAGUUGCAUAUCUUCAGAGAUUGUAGUUGAUGAACCACGCUGGAAUCCCAAACCGGUUCUGCCAUUGUUGUCGGAGACCUUUACCAUGCGCCCCCAUUGAUCAACGUUGCCUUCUUCCACAAUCUUCUUUUCAUCUUUCAAUGAGGACAUAGGUGCCCCAACUCUUUUUUCAGCAACAAUAGAUAAGGCUUGGAACGGAGUUCCAACCUCAUCCUCAACUUCAACAUAAGAGAAAGAUGACAGCUGGUUAACCAACAACGCCUUCUCCCCGCCAACGAUUACAAGCUUUCCAUUUUUCACAAAUUUGAGCUUCUGAUGCAAUGUGGAGGUAACAGAUCCUACCUCAUGGAUCCAUGGCCUUCCCAACAAGAAACUGUAGGCCGGGUGAAUAUCCAUUACUUGAAAAGUAAUUUGAAAAUCGCCCGGACCUAUCUUAACUGGAAGGUCCACUUCACCAAUAACUGUUUUACGGGAACCGUCAAAAGCUUUGACGAUUACACCGCUAUACCUCAUAGGCUCUCCUUGGUAUGAUAGCUUUGACAGAGUUGACUUUGGAAGCACAUUCAACGAAGACCCGGUGUCAACUAGCACAUUGGACAAAGCAUCCUCUUUGCAAUUCAUGGAGAUAUACAAAGCUAAGUUAUGAUUUCUGCCCUCCUCAGGGAGUUCUUUAUCACAAAAGCUGAGAUUGUUGCAUGAAGUGAUGUUAGCCACAAUAUGGUCGAAUUGAUCCACCGGAACAUCAUGUUCUACAAACGCUUGCUCUAGAACUCUCUACAGUGCUUCUCUGUGCGCUUCUAAAUUCAUGAGCAGAGACAACACUGAGAUCUUCGAGGGGGUUUGGAGUAACUGUUCCACCAUAUUGAACUCACUCCUCUUGAUCAAUCGAAGUACCUCAUCAUCAUCAGUCUUCAAAUUGCUGGAUUCACCAGACUUACCCUUUGAAGCACUAAUCUGAUCCACAACAGGCACUUCUACCUUCUUACUAACAACUGAUUCUUCUUUAUCCUUUGGGAACACCGGCCCAAACACACGACCACUAUGGGUCACCUUGGUAACAUCAACAAUGCUCACUAUAGAGCUGGUCAUAGACAAUGGGACCUCUUCAGUAUCCUUCAUCAUCGUAGCAUUAUACUGAUAUGGCACAACUUUAUCAGAUGAAUACGGGACUGGGCCCGCUAACCGUAUAACCAACGACGAUAUUGAUCUAUUGCUAACAUUGUUACUGUUGUUGUUGUCGUACUGGAUUACCAAUCUUUCUGGUUGCUUAAAAAUGGGUACUAUGACAUUUACAUCGUCAUCUACAUGACGGGAUUGAACAAUCUAAAUCAUGCAUUCAUCUAUCAGUCGUUGGAUGUCCCUUUUCAUAAUUUUGCAACCCCUUGAGUUAAUACUACAAACAACACAACCAUCAUGGUCAUGUUCACAAUCACUCACCAAACAAAUUUCCUUAUGCAUCUGCGCCAAGGACCUCCGGAUAAAGCGAACAUCAAAAACCUUAAACUCGCCAGGAAAACCAUCCACCAUAUUCACUGAAGAAUUCCCAUGUGCGGGCAAUGGAUUUGCUUUCACAUUCGGCGCGCGGUCCUCAAAGGACACCAUUCCAUUCUUCAUCAGCUUUUGAACCUCAUACUUGAGCGGAUAGCAAUUCUCUAUAUCAUGUCUGGGUGCCCCUUGAUGAAAAGCACAACGGAGUUCAGGUUUGUAGCACCAAGGAAGUGGUUCUGGAAUCUGCGGCGGGUUUCUUGGUUGAAGUAAGUUCUUGAGAACUAAAGAUGGGUACAGUUCUGCAUAUGACAUAGGAAUCGGGUCGAAAGAGACCUUCUUCCUCUCGAAGUUUUGUUGAUGAUGAGUGUUGUUGGUAUUGUUGUUGUAGGUGUUUGCUCAUUUUUGCGGUUGUUGUUGUUGUUGAAUUGGUGUUGAUUGAUAAUUAGAGAAUACUGGAAUGAUUGAAGAUACUUGGUGAUGAUGUUGAUGGGAUGGUUGACUCCUCCUGAUCUGAGGCCUCCCACUGAUUACUGCAUUAACUUCGUUGUCUUUUUUCUUCCCAAAACUACUACCAUACCUCUUACUUGACGAUGCUUCAUAUUUUGACAAUCGUCCUUCUCGGACUCCUUCCUCAAGCCUCAUCCCCAUGUUUACCAUUCCGGUAAAGUCACUGGGGGCACUAGAAAUCAUAUGUUCAUAAUAAAAUGAACUCAGGGUCUUUAGAAAUAUCUUUGUCAUCUCUUUUUCCUCCAAGGGAGGAGUGAUAUGAGCAACCAAUUCCCUCCAUCUUUGCGUGUACUCUUUAAAUGUCUCUUUAUCCUUCUGAUACAUAGACCUCAAUUGGUCUCUAUCAGGCGCCAUAUCCAGGUUGUACUCAUACUGCUUAAGAAAAGCCUCUCCCAAGUCGUUGAAAGUGCGAAUGCUUGCACUGUCCAACCCCAUAUACCAACAGAGCGCAGCACCGAUCAAACUGUCUUGGAAGUAGUGAAUCAACAGUUGAUCGUUAUCAGUCUGGGUAGACAUCUUGCGAGCAUACAUCACUAGAUGACUGAGCGGACAUGUGUUCCCUUUAUACUUUUCAAAGUAACUUUUCAAAGUCAGGCACUUUGAACUUCACCGGGAUCUUCACAUUUGGCACUAAACACAACUCAGCAGCACUUUUCCCAAACAAAUCCUUACCCCUUAGUGUCUUCAAUUCCUUGCGCAGCUCAAGAAACUGAUCCUUCAUUUCAUCCAUUUUCUCGUAGACAUCCGGACCCUCAGACGGCUCGGAGUGAUAAAUGGUGUCCUCUACACGAGGUAAGGUGUGCACAAUGGGAGGUGGCACAGACAUCACCGGGCUAGAUGUCGAUAUGGAAGCAAAAGUAGGCACAAAGCCUUCAGGCAAAAAGUUCGGCGGCAUUCCCCACGGGAAUCCGACAGACAUAGCAGGCGUGAAGUGAGAGGCAGCAGCAGGCAUGGUAGAGGUAGCCACCUCUAAAAUAACUGUCCUCUGAGGAGGAGUUGCGGGUGUUGGAGAAGACUGGCUUUGAGCAGCUAGUACCGACUCCAUCAUGGCAGUCAGUCGAGCGAUCUCGUCCUUCAGUUCUCUGUUCUCUUGCUCUAAAUGUUCCAUGAUUCUGAUAUGAUUGGUGCGAGUAUUGUACCGAUGAGUCAGCUUGGCUGAAGCACAGAAGAAACAUCAAUGAGACAUCUGGCAAAAGAGAAACAUGCUUAUGCAAAUGAUACAUGAAAUGCAAUGCUUGUUUAUUUAUUUUUAUUUUCAAGGAACUUACUAUAUUAUUUGCAUAUAAUAUAUAUAUAUAUAUAUCAACAAUUGCAAUAAUUUUUUAUAUGACUAAAAAGCUCUUUUUAUUUAUAUAAUUAGAAAGAUUACACUGAGUACAAUUUCAGAAACCAAAUGAAAAAUACAAGAGAAAAGGAGACUAGUCAUCCUAAGGAUCCCUAGCAACAAUGUCAGAAGACCUAGCUGAAGGCGCGUACUUCCUCCGUAUGCGACGGAUCUCGGUCUCAAAAGAAGACUUCAUCUGAGUCUUCUCGAGGACAAGCUGAUCAACAAUCUUCUUCCAAGCAACGGAAAGCUGAGGCAUGAUAGAAGAUGGAACCUCCGACUCUCUCUGUCUCUUCGUCACUCGUUCUUCAAGUAGCUCAAUAAGUGCAUCUUUGUCCUUAGACUCCAACUGCAACUCUUCAUACUUCUUUCUCAAAGCACAUAAACGCUUUUCCCACAUAUCCUUCUCUUGCUUCAUCUUGGCGAGCGCGUCUUCUAACUCCUCUACAUCUUGGUUAGGGAGAGUUAAUGGCUCAACCACAACCAUGGACAUAGGUCUUUCACAAGGAUAAGCCAUCUUCAACUCCAAAGCUCUCUUCUUCACCCAAAGAGUGUAAGCUUCCAAAGCUACACAAUUGCACAAACCAAGCUCGAAUCUUCCUUUCCUAUGCACAUUAUGCCAAGCAUGCACAAUCUUUUGCUUUAAAUGUUAGGGAUCUUUAGCCUCUUGAUAGAAAAGACCUUCUAACAAAAUGUUAUUAGGUUUGUCUCUCAAGGGGAACCCAAGUUGACGACGAGCCAAAGCAAGGUUGUAGUUAAUUCCUCCUUGUGUACCAAGGAGAGGCACAUUAGAGAAUUCACCACAACAAUCAAUAAUAUCCAAACUGCUCAAAGAGGGAUCAUACCAAACUAUAUCAUCAUUAGUGAGAGACAUAAGUCUCUGAGACCACCGUAGACAUUGUUUGUUCUCCACAAAAGCAGGUGUCUGAGGCAAGUGCGAAAUAAAAUCAUACCAAACUAUAUCAUCAUUAGUGAGAGACAUAAGUCUCUGAGACCACCGUAGACAUUGUUUGUUCUCCACAAAAGCAGGUGUCUGAGGCAAGUGCGAAAUAAACCACUUGUACAGAAGAGGAUUGCAACAGACAAUCGUUCCCCCACCCUUAAAAUUCCUUAGAUGCAAAGAGAAAUACAUAUCACCCAACAAAGUAGGCACAGGAUUCCCAAUCAAGAAAAGUCUAAUGGCGUUAACAUCAACAAAACUGUAAAUGUUAGGGAACAAAGCUAAUCCAUAAAUAAGGAACACAAAGAUAGCUUCAAAAGCAUCCACACUACCGGCGUGAGAAAAAGCAGUGGCUUCCUUGAUGAGGAAAUCAGAUGAAAACCCAAACAAUCCUCCUUUAUUCACCCAACGAGCCUCUAUCUUAGACUUCUUCAAGUGAAGAGCUUCAGCAAUAAGAUUAGAUCGGGGAAUCUCCUAUAAUCCACUAAAAGGUACUCUACUAGAAACGGGUAUCCCCAAAAGAUGAGAAUACUCCUCCAAGGUAGGCACAAGCUGAAAAUCUGGGAAAGUGAAACAGCGGUAGAGAGGAUCAUAGAACUGCACCAAUACACUCAAGAGUCCUUCAACCACAUCAGCAGACAAGAUAGAUAGAAGCUUCCCAUGACGUUGUUUGAAGUCCAAGGGAUCUAAUACAAAAGAUGCUAGCUUCCUUAACUCUUUCAAGUCGGGACAUCUGAAACUGAUAUUGACAAGACUUGAUUGGAUCAACCAAGAAUCAAGGGUUUGUUGUGAGUCACGAGCAUGGAGUCUGGGUAAGAACCAUCCCAAAGGAGUGAACUAAGGAUAAAAACCUAUAGAUCAUGUUCUAAAGAGUUCCCAGAGUCUUAAUUCCAUCUGUCGAAUAUUACAGGUUAAGAUGACUGACUCAUCGACCCAUAAUAUUAUCAAGUCUACACUUGAACAGUUUCCGCACUACGUCCUAAAUAGGCCAAGAGGGGGUAAAUAUUCUAUGAUCCUCAGCUUCUCGGACCCAAAUUAGAGAUAGUAAUGCCUAACCAUAAAUACUUGUGUGACAUUUCCAAAUCUAAAAGAGUCUCCACUAAGAAGAUGGAUCUCAAGCCAAUUUGUUAAGGACUAUUGCACACAAGUCGAACAUGACUAUACCCACCGGGUUAGAACUUAUCUCACCACUCAGAGAUCACCAAGCACAACAAGCAAAUUAUAUCAUACAAACAAAUAUUCAAACAUCACAUAUAUACAAUUAUAUACACACAAAAACAUAGGCUAAACCCACUGGAGACUACUCCCCAGCAGAGUCGCCACAUAAUUUUUGUAGCGGUAAAUUCAUGAUCAUCAAGCUAUGGAUAAGCAAGAGAUCAAUAAAACCAGAGUCGCCACCGCGCUUUGAUUAUUUCCAAGGGAAAAGGGAAAAGUACGAACAAAACCCAAAAGUAAGAAGUUUUCAAAUCAAAACUAAUAAAAUGUCAGAGAUUACAGGUAAGGGGGUUGGUUACACAGAGGGAAGGUGUUAGCAAGAACAAAACCCAAAAGUAAGAAGUUUUCAAAUCAAAACUAAUAAAAUGUCAGAGAUUACAGGUAAGGGGGUUGGUUACACAGAGGGAAGGUGUUAGCACCCAAAGUGUCAUAGGUACUCCUAGGGAGACCUUUCUUGUGUGAAUAUGUAUUUUAUACAAAGUGAUAUUUACAAAUAAAUAGAAUGGGGGGAUGAGAAAAGAAUUCAUUAAUCAUAUUUUUGUUUUUGACAAGACCUUCGGACUUGUGCUUACGUAGCAACGUAAAAUGAGGGAUCAAAACCUCGUAGUUCGUGAUACAAAUUUCAAAGUGGAUGCAUUGCUUUUUAACAAAAUUUAAGUUUGAAAGGCACAAAGGCCUAAAAUGGUUUGAAUGAGUUAGUUUUUUUUUGGCUUUUUGAAAGUUUAAGUCAAGUAUAAUUAAGUCUAUUUACAAGUUUGAUUAAGAAAAGGAGUUUGAAAAUGCAAUGGCAUAAGGCCAAAGUUUCUAGUUUGCAAAAUGGUCAAAGUUUAGAACAAAAUAACUUCAAGCAAAGAAGAUUUUAAAAAGGAGGGAGAGAUUUUGAAAUUAAAGAAAUGAGGAGAAGAUGAAGAGACUAAUCCUAUGUACAAAAUUAAAAGUUAAGGGUUGAAAAGAUCUGACCAAUGGGUAGCAAUCCAAUAGACAAGAAUGUCAAUAGAAACCCAAAUUCCCUUGGACAUUUAGAAAGACUAAUCCUAUGUACAAAAUUAAAAGUUAAGGGUUGAAAAGAUCUGACCAAUGGGUAGCAAUCCAAUAGACAAGAAUGUCAAUAGAAACCCAAAUUCCCUUGGACAUUUAGAAUCAAGAAACACACAAAUGCACAAAUAUAUCUUGAAGAGCAAGGCAUCAAAUAAAGAUAGCCACAUCCAAGCUUAGCCACUUCAUGAUCUUCUUCAAAUUAAGCCCAUGUAAUAGAUGAAUUCCACUAGUCACAGAUUCAAAAUAACAGCUUCACAAUGAUCAUGUUGCAGAUGAACUCAAAGGGAUCUUGAAUGAUGUAUCAGAUGAAUUUUCAAAUUGCAAGCAUUUGGUUUCUCAAAAGUUGGCACUGGCCAAGUCCUUUAGCAUAGGAUAGUUGCCUAGAUUCUAAGUCCAAUUGUCCAGGAACAAGCCAACAGUCCACACAAAAGUUUUUUAGGGUUUUUGUUGUUAUUAUGUACAUUAAUGGUCAAAUACCACACACACAAACAAAAAUAUACACAAGCAAUAUAUAUCACACAAUAUGGUCCAAAUGGACAAAGUGAAAAUGACAUUAAUGUAAACAAUUAGAAUGAUAUGAGUAAUGAAAAAUGAAUACAACUUAAAAAUUAAAGUGCAUUAAAAUAAAGGACUUGAAAUUAAAUGUUAGUUGUUAAUGAGUUAGAAGUUAGUAUUGUUUUGCUUUUGCUUUUCAUUUUUUAAGUCAUUCUUUGGAGAACACUCAAAUGAGUUAGAAGUUAGUAUUGUUUUGCUUUUGCUUUUCAUUUUUUAAGUCAUUCUUUGGAGAACACUCAACCCACUUAUCACAAGCAUGGAUCCUUGAACCAAGACAUCUUCCAAAGGAAGGAAAAAAAGGCCAAGUUUCCACAUAAUACCAUGAAAGAGGGGAGACUUACAAUCUCAUUAACUAGAAUGUUAUGCCUUUUGUGUCACAAAUUUAGCGCUAUGUUAAGCAAUUGAAAUUGGACUUAUGUAGAAGUCACAACUAUUUGAGGUCGGGUAAUAGAAUUUUGGUGUUAAUGCAUGUUAGAGACAUAGUAUAAUGGACUAUGCUCAUGAAACAUACCACACAUAAAAAAUGUAUGAAAAAGAGGUGGCCUAAUCUCAUCCAUACUUAUGUUGAUUUAGCAAUUAACUAGCCUUAGGACUUAGAGAUAUCAUAUGCCAAAUGAGAUUAAUGCAUAAAGAAUAGGAAUGAGAUGAAGAGGGAGGGGAAUGAAUCAAAACUCAAAUUGGUCAAAGGAAGACUUUUUCCAAAUUAAUAUCAUCUAUUCAUUUUGGGAGAUGGAAUGUACAUUCCAUCAAUCCCCUAAAUCCAAUGAUAUUAACUUGACAAAGUCAAAUCAACCUUGACCAAGGCCCAACAACAAGAGUCUAACUUAUACAAGUCAUCACAAUAGGUCAACACAAUUAAUUGCCAUUUAUUCAAAUUAAAAAUACUAAAAUAUUUCAGAAUUGCCAAACAAAUGGCCAUGAGAUUUAUCUUAGGUCAAGCAAGAUCAAAGGACUUUGGAGAAAAAAAUUCAGAAUUUUUAAAGACUUAAAAGUAUUUUUAAACAAUUAAAAACAAUCAAAAAAUCAAUUAAAUCAUGAAAAAUAUUAAUAAUGAUCCAAAAAAUAAUUUUAAUUCAAAUUAUGAAAGAGGAAGUUAUUUGAAUUUUUUUGGUGAAACUCUCAUAUUUUUUGGAUCAAUAUUAAAAUUAAUAUGACUAAAUGAAAAUAAGCUAAUUAAAAUGAAAAUAAAAAAAAUAGCAAAAAACGUGUACCACUUGAUCUCCCUCAUUAAUUGAGGUGGCAAAUCAAGUGGAUCAGCGUGCGCGUUCCAUGGUGCACUGCAGUCAACGCGGCAUAGGCUUUGUAUUUAAAAGCAACACACGAGAUUAAAACAUUUCAAACUCAUCUAAUGGCUCUGAACACUUCCAGCUCAUCGUCGGAGCCAAAGGCCGGUCAUCUUCUCCGAUGACCCUGGCCAAACUGGUUCAGUCAUCACCACAUCAUAAAUGACAAAAAAGAACAUGAUCUGAAAGAUAAAAUGGUGCAGAUCACGAAUAUCACCUCAAUUUUAACUAACUCCAAAUAUAUAUAGAGAGAGAGAGAGAUGGAGUUGAAUUUUAAGGUGUGUCAACUGAGUUGCUUCGAUUUGAUCUCUAAGCAACUCAAUCUUCUUGCCUACAUUGGUAGGACUUCAGACAACCAAAGAUCCAUGAGAAUUGAGUGAGAAUCGAAGAGAUAAAGUUUUCUAAAAAUUACCUUCAAUGUUGUGCAGAACUUGAUGUUGCUUGCUUCAAAUACGAUUUGAUCACACUUGAGAAGCUUGCAGGAAGUGAUUAGCAAGGGUGCAAGGCUUUGGAUCCGGGAGUUUUUGAAUCUCCAACAGUUGAGAUUCAAACUCAAUUUUCAAAUUGAAAAUUCUCAGGUUUUCCUUUAGAAUGAGGGGUUUGAAUUGGGGGGCAAAGUUGUCGCGAAAGGUGUGUUUGAAUUGAGCUCAGAGGUCAUGUAUUUAUAGCAUUUGGGAUUGAUAAUUGCACACUUGAAAAUUUGCUAAAUUUGGCAAUGUGAUGCACAAGCUUGCAUGGGUGUGUACAGGCCCAUGAAGCAAUCCAUUUAGGUCCAAAUGCAUCUGAAAUGAAGUUGAAAUGAAGCUUGAUUGGCAAGGCAAUGUGAAAUGGUCAUUGGCACUUUUGAUUUUCUCCAAUGGUGCAUCUCUGUUAAGGUCAUGCGCAGCCCUAACAAACCUCAUCCAAAAUGCAUGAACUUGGGUUCUUUGGAAAGCUUGGAUCAAGAGGAACAAGUUUGAUGAUGAACAAUUUUUCAUUUGGAGCUUGGAUCAUGGUGAAUUUUGAGGUGGAAGUUUGGAAUUUUCAACAUGUUGAAAAUUUUUCUAAGUGUCAAGCCAUAUAUCUCAAUAUUCCACCUUACUUAACUUUGUAUGUGAGCUUCAAAUGAGAAACGUGUCGUCAUCAAAGUUGUAGAUCUUUCAAAUACCUUAAAAAUGGUCACCAAUUUAAUGUCAUUGGGAUUUAUAAUGAUAGAGUUAUGCAUUUUUGAAGUUUGGAAAAGUCACUUGUUCAAUGGUAUAGGUCAAAAAUGACCUAUAAUGUAUCCUCAUAUCACAUUCUCAUAAAAGCUGAAUUUGCUUCCACUACAAACAUCAAAGUUGAAUUGGGCAUCUUGAAUUUAAUUGUGAAACUUUUAAAUCUUUCAUAUCAUAAAAAUUGAGCAAGUUAUGGCCUUGGGAAGUUGACUUUCAAAUUAGGGUUUAGACAAAAUGACCUAUAAUGUUUCAACAUAAAAGAUGAUUUUCCAAGCAAAACUAGCUCUAGGUCUCAACACGAAAGUUGUUUGUGAUGUCACUUAGAGUAGCUUUGUUCUUGGAAUCAUUUUCAUAGGGUGAAAAUUGUAGAAGAUAGGGUCUAGGGAGACCCAGUUUUGAUCAGAUGAAUUCAUCUGGCCAACCACCAUCAACCAACUUGCUAACUUUCAAUUAUCUUGACUUUAUUGGCUAAUGGUAGAUCAUAUAUGCAUAAGAUGAUGAAAUUUGAAGUUUCUCUUGAGAAAUUUGAUUAAUUUGUGAGAUGGCUUGUUGGAGAAGUUACUCAGGAUACGUAGUCAAACUAGGGUUUCCAAGGCAAAUCACCUCCAAACUCUUGAAGAAAACUUGAUCAAUGUAACAUGUAGAGAUCAUUGGGACUGAUGCUUGUAACCAUUAUGGAUCAAUGCAUGGUUGUGCUCCUUGUCAUGGGGGUCUCAAACCCUAGAUAUGAACUUGAUAGAUCAAUGGUGAUCAUGCCCUACCUACAAAAGAGUUAGGCAAAUACAAAGACAUAUUUUUGGUAUUUUGGUUAGUAAAAUGAUAAUAUACAAGUAUAAACCCUAGAUAUGAACUUGAUAGAUCAAUGGUGAUCAUGCCCUACCUACAAAAGAGUUAGGCAAAUACAAAGACAUAUUUUUGGUAUUUUGGUUAGUAAAAUGAUAAUAUACAAGUAUGAUACAAACGCAUGGUGCUUGGUGAUCUCUCCCAAAACAAACCCAAUGAAAGAGGGGUAAGGAGGAUGCCAAGGUAUGAUCCCAAUGCUAAUGCAUAUGAUGAAAUUGCAUGAGGGAUCUUAGGGUCAAAAUUGGGAUCUUACAGGAACAUAAUACUAUCUCUUAUACCUAACUUAGUCAUGGUACGUCCAUCGGGGUAUAUGGUUAGUUCCAUCUCUCUCUAAGCUAGAGCCUCAAAGCGUCUCCUUUGACCUCUGCCUCUGAAGACGAUAUCCAUGUAGUCUACUUGUUACAUCGUGAAUGUCAGUAGCUAGAUAAAUUUAAGUAGACAAUAACAUUAAGUUAGUAAUGGUUAAUAAUAAAGAAAAAUACCAAGUGACUUUAUGAAAAAUAAGAAAGAAAAAAAAUGAGAAAUAAGAGAUAAUAAUAAACAUAAAUUUAAAAGAUAGAAUUAAUAAUUAAAAUUAGAGUGUGGGUUGUCUCCCACCAAGCGCUUUGUUUACUGUCGUAAGCUCGACAGAAAUUGGUUAAAGGUUAAUUCGGUGAAUGAGCGGGCAUCUCUGCAAGCUUUAGAUUUGUGAAAAAAUCUUUGUUGUCAAUGUUAUGCUAAUGUUUCAAACACUGCCCGAUUACGGUAAAUGGUUCGCUGGCUUUUCCCUUUAUCUCUAUCGCUCCAUUUGGAAAUACGUUGCUAAUUUCGAAGAGACCGGACCACCUAGAGUGAAGUUUUCCUGGAAAGAGUCAAAGUCGGGAGUUAAACAGAAGUACUUUGUCACCUUCCUUAAACUCUUUCCUUGAUAUACGAUUGUCAUGCCAUUUUUUUGUUCUUUCUUUAUAGAUCCGGGCAUUCUCGUACGCGUCUAAUCUAAGUUCUUCUAGUUCAUGGAUAUCUAAUAUUCUUUUCUCGCUUGCGGCAGUAUAAUUGAGAUUAAGGGUCUUAACAACUCAAUAUGCCUUAUGUUCUAAUUCAACCGGUAGAUGACAUGAUUUUCCAUAAACUAGCUUAAAUGGUGUGGUUCCUAUUGGGGUCUUCUAAGUUGUCAUAUAUGCCCACAGGGCUUCGUGUAAUUUUGAGGACCAAUCUUUCGUAAAGGUGGCAACUUUUUUCCUAAGAUUUUCUUGAUUUCUCAAUUAGAGACCUCUACUUUCCCACUCGUUUGUGGGUGAUAGGGUGUUGCUACGCGGUGUCGGACUCCAUAUUUCAGUAAUAGCUUUUCAAAAAUCUUUGAAAUGAAAUGGGAGCCACCAUCACUGAUGACAAAUCUCGACACGCCGAAUCUAGGGAAGAUUAUAUGCUUAAAGAGUCUAAUUACCACCCGUGUGUCAUUUGUUGGAGAGGCUAUAGCCUCGAUCCAUUUUGAUACGUAAUCAACCGCAACGAGUAUGUACUUGUUACCAAAAGAAGAUGGGAAUGGUCCUAUGAAAUCAAUUCCCCACACGUCAAACACUUCGACUUCCAAAAUGCCUUUAAGUGGCAUUUCAUCGCGUCUAGAGAUGUUGCCAGUGCGUUGGCAUCGGUCGCAAUUUAUGAUCGCGAUGUGGACAUCUUUCCAUAGAGUGGGCCAAAAGAGGUCGGCUUGCAAGAUCUUGGCGCAAGUCUUUGAGGUGCUUGCAUGUCCUCCAUAGGGGGCAGCAUGAUAGUGGGAGAUUAUAUUUUCUACUUCAUCUUCCGUGACACAUCGACGGAAGAUACCAUCGGCGCCUUUUUUGAAAAGCAGAGGCUCAUCCCAAUAGUAUUGUUUAAGAUCAUGGAAGAAUUUCUUCUUUUGUUGGUAAGUCAAGUCUGGUGGAAACACCCCAACUACUAAGUAGUUGACGAAGUCAGCAUACGACAGCAAUGUGGUUUUAGUUUAAAUUGCUUCCACUACUUUGUUUGUUUCGGUAUCCUUAUGGGUUAACGCACAUUUAGCUGUAUUACUUUCCAGCUGGGCUAUGAGUCGUUCGUAAGGGAAAUCGUCAAUGAUAGGCACUCUUUCAGGUUCAAUACCUUCCAUCCUAGACAAGUGAUCAGCUACGACGUUUUCAGUGCCCCUCUUAUCUUUGAUUUCCUGAUCAAACUCUUGUAGGAGUAAAACCCACCUUAGGAGUCUUGGUUUGACGUCCUUUUUACUUAAUAGGUACCUAAUUGCGGCAUGAUCGGUAUAGAUAAUUAUCUUUGCUCCUACUAGGUAAGAACGAAAUUUAUCCAAAGCGAACACGAUAGCUAAAAGUUCCUUUUCUGUGGUGGCGUAGUUCAUCUGCACAGGACCUAAGGUUCUACUUGCGUAAUAUAUUGCAUGAAGUUUCUUAUCCCUUCUUUGUCCUAAGACUGCGCCUACGGCAUAGUCACGAGCGUCACACAUGAUUUUAAAUGGUAAUCUCCAAUCGGGAGGUUUCCUGAUAGGUGCAGUGAUAAGAGUUGUUUUCAAUUGUUUAAACACUAUUAGGAAUUUGCUGUCAAAGAUGAAUUCGAUGUCUUUCAUCAAAAGGCCAGUUAGUGGUUUGGUGAUUUUUAAGAAAUCUUUAAUGAAUCGUCGGUAGAAACAGGCGUGUCCUAAGAAACUUCGUAUUUCUCUUACGGUUUUCGGAGGUUGAAGGUUUUCUAUAACUUUUAUUUUAGCCUUGUCAACUUCAAUCCCAUUAUCAGACACUAUGUGUCCAAGUACGAUUCCUUGUCGGACCAUGAAAUGGCAUUUUUCCCAAUUUAACACAAGGUUCACUUUUACGCAUAUUUCAAGUACCAUUUCAAGAUUCGAUAAACAUCCUUCAAAGCUCUGCCCACAAACAGAGAAAUCGUCCAUAAAAACCUCCAUGAUGUCGUCUAUAAAAUCAGUAAAAAUUGACAUCAUGCAUCUUUGGAAUGUUGCGGGAGCGUUACAUAGUCUGAACGACAUUCGUCGAUAGGCAAACGUACCAUAGGGACAUGUGAAGGUUUUUUUCUCUUGGUCGUCAGGAUGAAUAAGGAAUUGGAAGAAUCCUGAAUAACCAUAUAAAUAGCAGAAGUGAGAAUGCUUAGCCAAUUGUUCAAGCAUUUGAUCAAUAAACGGUAAAGGAAAUUGAUCCUUUCGAGUGGCUUUGUUAAAUUUUCUAUAAUCAAUGCACAUUCUACUUCCAGUUACCACUCUUUGUGCUAUAGAUUCGCCUUUUUCAUUAUUAACAACUGUGAAGGCCAUUGGCUAUCGGAUAUUGGGUAGAUAAUCCCUGCUUCUAAUAACUUUUGCACUAUUUUCUUUACUACAUCACUCAGAAUGGGAUUUAUCCUUCUUUGAUGUUCUCUAAAGGCCUUACUGUCUUCCUCUAGCAUAUGGAAGGUCUUAUUCCUUUUAGAUCUGAGAUAUUGUAGCCUAAAGUAGUUGGAUAUUUCCUUAAAACGUGUAGGAGUUUUUCAGUUUCUAUCUGCCCUAAGUCUGCAUUAACUAAUAUAGGUCGCUCGUGUUCAGUGUCUAGGAAUUCGUACCUUAAAUUCUUGGGUAGCGUUUUAAGUUCUAAUGUUGGUUUCUUUGGGAAAGGCAUAUGAUUGGGUGUUAGUACUAGACAUUCACUUAGGCUGUCAUCUUGGUAUUCCUUAUUCCAAUUUUUAUCUUCAAAAGUAGGAGGCCUUGGAAUUUUCAGUAUUUCGUAGUACGAAGUUUGUUCAUUCUCCAUUUCUCUUACGUAUUCGUUGAUGACAUCUAGCAGACAACAUGUAUCGUCUAUAGUUGGUGCCUUUAAGAAUUGCGUCAAAAUAAAUUCGACUUUUUCCUCACCAACUUCAAAGGUUAGCUUGCCUUUCUUUACAUCUAUAAUAGCUCCGGAAGUGGCUAAGAAUGGUUUUCCUAAUAUGAUAGGGAUAUUGGAAUCCUCUUUUAUGUCCAUGAUUAUGAAAUCAGUAGGAAUAUAAAAUUGACCUAUGCGCACCAGAACGUUCUCUAACAUACCCACGGGAAAUUUAACAGAACGAUCUGCAAGUUGUACAGACAUCCUAGUUGGUCUUAAUUCUCCCAUUUUAAGCAUUUCGCAUAUGGACAAGGGCAUUAAGCUAAUACUGGCUCCUAAGUCGCAUAGUGCUUUGUCUAUGACAAACUUUCCAAUUACACAUGGUAUGGAGAAAAUCCCUAGGUCUUUCAGCUUAGGAGGCAUUUUUUUUGGUAUUAUGGCGCUACACUCAGCAGUAAGUGUAACGAUUUCGUUAUCCUCGAUCUUCUUCUUGUUAGAUAAGAUCUCCUUAAGAAACUUAGCGUAUGAGGGCAUUUGAGUGAUGGCUUCUGUAAGGGGUAUUGUGAUAUUCAAUUGUUUUAGAAGCUCUACAAAAUUUCUUAAAUUUCCCUACACUUUUAGAUUUAAUAAGUCUUUAAGGAUAUGGGAUAUGAGGUUUAUACAGUGGUAGAGGCACAUAUGGUUCUUCUUUCUCUAUGGGGUCUUCGCUUUUAUCUUCCUUUAGUUCGUCUUCCUUCUCAAUUAUCUUACCAGGGUCUUGGUGCAUGGAUGGGUUUUGAAUUCUAGGGUCAGUUGAUCCAUCUAAUUAUGUUCCACUUCAUAGUAUUAUAUCAUUUGCAUGACCUUUCGGGUUUGGUUGUGGCUGUCCAGGAAAUGUACCUGCAGGGGGCAGCAGUAGGUGCUUGUUGUUGAGCCACUUGUGAAAUUUGUGUUUCUAGGAUUUUGUAAUGGGUGGCUAAAGCAUCUACUUUGUUUGCUAUCUGCUUGAUUUACUCACUAGUGUGUAUGUUUUGAUUUAGGAAAUCCUUAUUUGUUUAGGCUUGGGUAGCUAUGAAGUUUUCCAUAAUUAUUUCAAGGUUUGACUUCCUAUGAGCAUUUGGAGCAUUUGUGGCAACUUUAUGAUAUCCUGGUGGUACAACAGGUGCUUGGUUAGGUGCAUACAACGCGUUAUUGUUUUUGUAUGGAAAGUUCGGAUGGUUCUUCCAACCUGGGUUAUAGGUGUUUGAGUAAGGGUUUCCUUGAGCAUAAUUCACUUGGUCUGUGGAGAUUCUUGUCAAAAGUUGACAUUCAGGGGCAGCAUGCCCAGGAACUCCGCAUAUCUCGUAGUUUGGUGCUACGGCAGCCAUGGUGGUUGCGAGUGUUAUGGUCAGGUUUUCUAUCUUUUGAGUAAGAGCAUAUACCUUAGCAUUGACAUGGUCUAGACUACUUAUUUCGUACAUACCACCUUUCGGUGGAGGUUUCUCUAUGGAGGUUCUUUCGCUUCCCCACUAGUAGUGAUUCUGGGCCAUACUUUCGAUAAGUUGAUAGGCCUCAUUGUAGGGUUUAUCCAUCAGUGCGCCACCUCCGACGGCGUCUAUUGUCAAUCUUGUGUUGUACAAGAGACCGUUGUAAAAGGUAUGGAUGAUCAACCACUCUUCUAAACCAUGAUGUGGAAAAAGACUCAUCAUGUCCUUGUAUCUCUCCCAAGCUUCAAAAAGUGAUUCAUUAUCUUUUUGUUUAAACCCAUUUAUUUGGGCUCUUAGCAUAGCCGUCUUACUAGGUGGGAAAUAUUGUACUAAGAAAACUUUUUUUAACUCGUUCCACGUAGUGACAGAGUUGGACGGUAGAGACUGGAGUCAGGCUCUAGCUCUAUCUCUUAAUGAGAAAGGGAAAAGACGUAGUCAUAUAGCUUCGGGGCUAACACCAUUCACUUUCACUGUGUCUGCGUAUUGCAAAAACACUGACAAAUAUAGGUUUGGGUCCUCCGUGGGACUACCAGAAAAUUGGUUUUGUUAUACGGCUGAUAACAAUGAAGGUUUUAGUUAGAAAUUAUUUGCCUCGACGGCAGGGGCAGCAAUGUUGUUAUGUGGUUCAUCCUGCAAAGGGAUGGCAUAGUACUUGAGAGGAUGGUUCUGCGGUCCUUCGGCCAUCUCUGGUUGUAUAAGUGGUUCAGGAAUAGGGGUAUUAAGAUUGGGAAGAUUACACUUGAUACGAUGCUUUCGUAUCAGGUCUCGUAUCCGACGUUCUAAUCUUAGAUAACGCUCUGGCUCGUCGAAUGGUAGCUUUAAUUUCUCGCCUUGAGAGAGAGAAUACUUGGCAUACACUCGACAAAUUAGAAAGGGAAAUAGAUUUGUUUUCCUUAGUCUAUACUGGGCAACACUGGAGUUACGAUAUCGACUAAAUUAGUCCCCGACAACGGCGCCAAAAACUUGAUCGCGUGACUAGUAUGUCUAUAGGAUUUGUGACUGCAAGUGCGCAGUCGUAUUACGUAGUUUUAAAGAUUAUCGAACCCAAAUGACUAAUAAUCUAACUUACCGUUAUCUAAUGUUGCUACGUAAAUCUAAGGCUGAGGAUUUCUCUAGGAGUUGAGGGACGAAGAGAAAUAACUACUAACGAAAACAGAACUUUAAUAUAAAUAUCCAAUAGCGGGAUAUCGGUAUGUAACGCAUCAAACCUCGGGGAUUCGAUAGAUAGUUGGUGUAAUCUUAAACAUCAAAAUAUUCUUCAGUAGAAAUUAUUUAUUUAAAAGACUUUGUCUCACACUCUCAUUUUUAUUGACUUUGACCAUACUCUUAAACAAGAAUGCUCCAUUCUCGCUAUCUCAUUUAAAUUAAAAGUAAUUUUUGGAAAUAAAUAAAGUCUAAUUAAUCCCAAAGCGCUCUCGAUGUAUUUGGGAUUAAUGCCUAGUUUCAUCUAUCUGGUUAAAAUCUCAAACUCUCGUUUUUAUUGACCGUAACUUUUGUUUUCUUUGUACUCUCGUACGAAAAACAGUUUUGAAUUUAGAACAAGAAACUAUAACCGGAAAAUAAUAUUUUAUAAAAGCCAACACCAAUCAUUUACGAAUCCUGUCGUUUCGAUGGUCUUUACAUAGUAAUAUCGAUUGGUUUAUCCGAACAUGGAUUCGGGAACAAACAUGAUAUUCUGAUAAUUAAACAUGAGAUAAGGCAUAAACAAUUAAAAUAGAAAUUAAACUAGAACCUGAAAUAUAAACCGAAAACUUGAAACUAAUGUUGAUUCUUGAAUUCAAAUAAUGCCUGCACGCUUUGCAAAUCGAGUACACCGUUACAAUCAAAUUUGGUUUCUUAAAACAAAAAUCGUAAUAGUCCCCGAUAUGGAGAAUCUAUCACUUUACAGGUAAAUAUCUGCUUAAGAAAUACUAACAACAAAAUCUGGCUAAAAGUGCACACCCCGGUCUCUGAAGACCGAAGUCUAUAUAUAUAUAUAUAUAUAUAUAUAUAUAUAUAUAUAUAUAUAUAUAUAUAUAUAUAUAUAUAAUAUAUAUAUAUAUAUAUAUAUAUAUAUAUAUAUAUAUAUAUAUAUAUAUAUAUAUAUAUAUAUAUAUAUAUAUAUAUAUAUAUAUAUAUAUAUAUAUAUAUAUAUAUAUAUAUAUAUAUAUAUAUACUCCCACUCCUCCUUAAAAGUAUCCUUGAAUAUCUACUAGUGGGGAGCAAUUUGUGGAAAGAGCAAAAACGGAACGUGGAGAAAAUUGUGGAGAGGAACAGGGAGGAAUGGGUUGGUGGCGCGCCAUAACCCUAGGUCUUUGCUCCAUGUGGCGGGCGUCACUCUCUCAUGUGGUGGGCGCCACAUUUUUCUAAUGUGGUAGGCGCCACCUUUCUUCAAUCUAUGUGGCGGGCGCCACUCUCCCAUGUGGUGGGCACCAUCUGUCCUAAUAUGGUGGGUGCCACACAUUUCUUUAUUUUGCUCCAUUUUCUUCCCUUUUUCUUUCCUUUUUUGCUAUUUUCCCAUUUGCUUUCCUAAACAUCUCUUAUUCAAUAAAUACCAGAAAUAAACAUAAAGUACGACAUAAUACUAUAGAAAAUCAAGUAAAAAGUAAUGCAUGUUAAGUCAAAUAUAUGAUACAUUUUCGUGUUAUCAACUUUGCAAGAAAUGGCUCACACCAUAAUCCAAGAAACUAACAUGACUAAGCAUUGCAGAAUAUCAAGAUUUCUAUUAGACCUAUUCUGGGUAAGACUCCCUGUGAAUUGUGGAAGAACAGAAAACCCAACAUUUCUUACUUUCACCCUUUUGGUUGUGAGUGUUUUAUGUUGAACACUAAAGAGAAUCUUGUCAAGUUUGAUUUUAAAGCACAAAAGUGUUUAUUGUUAGGAUAUUAUGAAUGCUCUAAAGGUUACAGAAUCUUUAACACUGAAACAUGAAUUGUUGAAGAAUUAAUUCAUGUUAGAUUCAAUGAUAAGCUUGACCCUGAAAAGUCAAAGCUAGUUGAGUAGACCAAGAACCUCUCAUUCUGAAGAAUUUAUUCUGGGAGAUAAAAGUGCUUCAGUUUGAACUAGAUCUUCAUUCAAACCUUCUGAAGAAACUUUUCUAGGUUUGUUAUCUCUGAUAGAACCCACAUCUAUUGAUGAAGCUCUUCUGGAUAAUGAAUGGAUUUUGGCUAUGCAAGAAGAACUUAAUCAAUUCACCAUAAACAACAUUUGGGAUCUUGUUUAGAAACCAAAGGGUUUCCAUGUUAUUGGAACCAGAUGGGUCUUCAGAAACAAGCUCAAUGAGAAGGGAGAAGUUUUCAGAAACAAGGCUCGAUUGGUAGCACAAGGUUAUAAUUAACAAGAAGGUAUAGACUAUACAAAAACCUUUGCUCUAGUUGUCAGGUUAGAGUCUAUUCGUCUUUUAAUUUUGUUUGCAGUCAAUUAUAACAUCAUUCUUUAUCAGAUGGAUGUUAAAAGUGCAUUCUUAAAUGGAUAUAUUUCUGAAGAAGUAUAUGUGCACCAAUCUCCUGUUUUUGAAAGCUCUCAAAAUCCUGACUUUGUUUUCAAACUGAAAAAGUCGCUACAUGGUUUGAAAUAAGAUCCCAGAGCUUGGUAUGAUAGACUAAGUAGCUUCCUCUUGGGAAAUAAUUUUACCAGAAGGAAAGUGGACACAACUCUCUUUUGCAAAACCUUUAAGAAUGAUAUUCUGGUUGUGCAAAUUUAUAUUGAUGAUAUUGUUUUUGGUUCUGCUAAUGCUUCAUUGUGCAAGGAUUUUGCUAAGUCAAUGUAGGCAAAAUUUGAAAUGAGUCUGAUGGGAGAACUCAAGUUCUUUCUGGGAAUCCAGAUUGAUCAACGUUCAGAAGGAAUAUACAUUCAUCAGAGAAAAUAUACAAGGGAACUUCUGAAGAAGUUUAACUUGUCAGAGUGCAAGCAAGCAAAGACUCCAAUGUAUCCUACAUGUAUUCUAGAGAAAUAAGAGGUAAACAAUAAGGUAAAUCAGAAGCUAUUCAGGGGUAUGAUAGGCUUUCUCCUUUAUCUAACUGCUUCUAGACCUGAUAUUUUAUUCAGUGUCUGUUUAUGUGCUCGCUUCCAAUCAGAUCCUAGGGAAACUCACUUAACUGUUGUUAAGAGAACCUUUAGUAUCGGAAAGGUACUACUAACCUUGGUUUGUUUUAUUGAAAAUCAAGUGUAUACAAAUUAGUAGGCUAUUGUGAUGCUGACUAUGCUAGAGACUGAAUAGAAAGGAAAAGUACUUCUUGAAGUUGUCAAUUUCUAGUAGACAAUCUAAUCUCAUGGCCCAGCAAGAGACAGUCAACAACUGUGCUUUCAACAUCCGAAGUUGAAUAUAUUGCAGCUUCUGGAUGCAGUACUCAAAUACUCUAGAUGAAGAGUCAACUGGAAGAUUAUCAGAUAUCUGAGAGUAACAUUCAUAUUCUCUGUGAUAAUCAUUUUUCUAUAUGUUUGUCUAAGAAUCCUAUCUUGCAUUCUAGGGCUAAGCAUAUUGAAAUUAAACAUCACUUUUUACGUGACUAUGUUCAGAAGGGUAGUUUUCAUCUAAAACUUGUUGAUACAGACCAUUAAUGGGAUGAUAUCUUUACAAAAACCCUUGUUGAAGAUAAAUUCGUUUUCAUUCUAAAAAACUUAUUUAUGGAUCUAUGUCCUAAUGAAAAGAUGAAUUUCAAAAUGAUUAAGUCUUCAGAACUCUAUAUUAGAUUUUGAGAAUUUAUUUGUUAACUAUGAAACACGAGCUUUCUGAAGUAAGGAAGUUUCAUGAAUCAGAAAGGUUCUGAUCAGAAGCAAUCUUAUCGAUUUGUCUUCUUGAUUUUGAACAGUCAUUGCAUUAAAUGGUUGUCAUAUCGUUUGUUUUCAUGUUGUUCUAAGUAGUGGCAGUUGUUCCACUUUCUGACCAUGCGCGAUGAUAGCAUGACACAUUCGGUUUAGCAAUUUUUGAAAUUAGGUUAAAAACUCUUAUGCUUCCCCUCAUGAUUGCAUAUUUUUACCUUGUCAUCUUGGCAAAAUUUUAACUAUUUAAACCCACUUCACUCACAUUUCCACACUACGCGCACAAUAUUCCCACACUUUCUUCUUUCAAACCUAAACCACCUAUUUGCAACUGUUCAACAUCUCCUUCAUAUUCAACAAUCGUUGAUUUCAACAACAUUUUCAACAACGACUUUCUCCCAGUCGCUCCAUGGCUGAUGAAAACCAUCUAGUUAUGGAAGGGAUUCCUGAGUUAACUCUAAAUGCUCCUGUUAAUGAUUUAACGGUGCUUUGUGAGACUAUCGUGGACAUCAAAAACCUGAAGGACAAUGGUUUUGAUUUCUAUGAAACAUUGAAAUUCCAAGGAUGGAAGAGUUUAUUUGAAAGCUUAACUGGUCUUGUUUAUCCAUUAUUUGUGAAGCAGUUUUGGGUGCAUGCUACUGCGGAAAAGGAAACGAUAACUUCCUAUGUUAUGUAUAGGAAGAUCAUAAUCACUGAGAAACCCAUUGUUGAUUUAAUCUCACACAAUGGAAAGGGAAAAAGAAUCCACAGUGCCAAAAUCAAUGCUAAGAGAGAAGCAACAAUAGCUCCGGUCAUCUUCAAGGUUGGAACUAAUCUUGAUGAUGAUAAAGGUCCUAGUGCUAAGGACUUGACAAACAACCUAAGAGUUUGGUUCAAGAUCAUUCUGGGUUGCAUUCACCAUAAACCUAGCACAAAUAGUUCUGACUAUGCCAACACUCGUCAAAAGUUUAUGCUAUUCUUUCUAGAAAAGGGUCUAAAGCUAGCACUCCCUUAUAUUUUGUUCAAAUUUUUGAGGGAUUCAAUCAGAGAAUCUAGAACUGGUAGUUCUUUAAAGAAAAUAAAAAGUAGGUUCAUUCCAAAUGGAAGGCUUAUUUAUGAUAUUCUUGUUGACAAUGGUAUGGUGGAUGACCUUCUGAUCAGUGGUUUAAUUGAUGAGUUAGUGAAGGAUGCUGGAAAGAUCUUUUCGGGGAAGAAUCUCAAGAGCAUAGGUCUCAUCUCUAAGGUAGUAAGGCCAUAUUUCAUUCCCUUAAAAGAUUAUAUAUAUAGAAUGAGGAUUCCAGUUGACAACUUUCCAAUCUUUACCAAGAUUGAUCCUCUGGAAGUUCUGAAGUACUACUUGGAAAGUUGUCUGAAGGAUGGAAUUGAUCCACUGGUUGAUCCUUUCAAUCUACCAUAAACUUAUCUAGAUGUUCAUGGGAAAAGGAAGAAGGAAUCAAGAAAAGAAGGAUCUUCAAUGCCUCAGAAGAAGAAAAAGAAAGUUGUUAUCCUUCUGGAUGAAGAUGAGGCACCUCUCAGUGAGCGCCAAAAAUAAAUGCUCCUGAAGGACAUGUCUGGUGUUGUCCUGUAAUCUCCUAAAGCUCGUGAAACUACUACUUCUGGUAAGCUUUCUAAAGCUAGUAAUCGCGUUGUUUCUGAUUUUGUUAUUUCUUAAAGGAUCUUACCAACUCCGGCCACCUCCCACUUCUCAACCAAUUUCAUCUAUCUCCCAACCAAUCUCUAAACCUAUUUUACUUCCACCUCCCACAUAAACCUUUAUCUUAGAACCUGUUACAGAAACUCCUCAAGUUUCUAAAACUCCACAAGUUUAUGAAACUCGGUUGCAACAACAACAAUAAUAAAUACCACCAACACCAGCUCCUUCACAAUUACAAUCUUCACCCAUUCCACCUCCAUUUGUUUCUGCUCCCCACACAGAAAAUCCAAAGAUAACAACCCCUAAAACAUCUCCCUCGAGAUAUUCUGGAAACCAUAUGUCUGAGGGUACUCCUGAAGGCAUGUUCAAUUAUGAACCUGAACCAUAAGUAUCUGAUUCAGAGGCACCCUCGAUCAUUUUCCAUACACUUCCAACUCUUUAUGGUCCCGAUCCUGAUGAAACCAUAAUAAACAUUUCUGUCAGAACUUCUAAACCACCUAAAUCUAGUCCCAAUAUUGGUAAGAUUUUGAGGAAGUUUGAGUAAGAUUCAAGAAGUUGUCUGCAUAAAACUAUGAUAAUCAUUCGUUCUUCAACAAAUCCGGUUGAAAGUGAUUAUGCUUGAGAAGCCUACAGAAGGUGGAUUAAUUUCAAAAUCUCAAAGCUAAAGGAUUUUGGGUAUGACUUAUCUGAAAUAAAUUUUCGGUAUGGGUUUGUUCCCUUCGUGGAACUCUGGAAGUUAAGAAAUUCUCCACUAUGUCUUCCUGCUCUGGAGAUUAAGGAAGUUAUUCAGGAUGCUGAGGUAGAUUAUGGGCACCCAGAAGGUGUUAUGGAAGAAGCUGGUGUACAUUUUAUUGUUUAUGAAGACCAACAAACUGAAUUUUCUCUUUAUCAACAAUCUGCUGGAACUUCUUCUAGAGAAAUUCCUGAUGCGCUUCAGAAGACCAUUGAUGAGAUAAAAGUUGAUAAUGCUCUGGCCAAAGAACGUCUGGACAUACCGGAAAUGAUGUUUUAGCUGAUAUUAUCCAGACUUCCACCGCCUCCUCCUCAUAACCCUUAACACUUUAAAAAAAUGCUUUAAGUGUUUUUCUUUUUUAUUGUAUCUUUUAUGCCUUUUGGCAUGAUUAAUGAAAGUUUUUGUUUCUUUCUUUCCAUCUUUUAUUUUAUUUGUCUAUGUCUUUUUGAUUGAUGACAAAGGGGGAGAAACAUAUCUAAGGGUAAGAAGAGUUAUUGACAUACCUAAAUUUUUAACUAAGAACCAAACAUUGCUUAAUGUUUAUGCUAAUAACUACUUCAAAGAAUAGUUUGUUAACUAUUUUGCAGGGUUAAGUUCAAAGAUCAUAACGGUUAUGUUCAAACAUCAAAAGCUCUUUUGAAGUUUCAAAGAUUAGAAUGUAAGUUACCAGUUUCUAAUGAAAUUGUCUACUAUCUGAGUUCGAAAAAAAAUAACCAUGUUCUAAACUUGGAACAUUGGGUACUUGGCAUCAAGUUCUGAAGAAUUGGAAAAUUUGGCAUCAAAGUAUGAGGAAGUGUAACUUCCAUAGUAAUCAGACUUGGCAAUCAAUAUCUUAAGAAGAACUCUUAACCAGGUUCUUAAAGUUCUUCUCAAAGAGUUUUUCUCUUCAAAGGCAAUUUAGCUUUGAAAGAGAAUUUCAAGAGAAUCUGAAUUCAAGCUUCUGAAGAUAACCAGAUCUGAAGCUUCUUCAAAAGAAUUAAACCAAGCUUCUAAAGUGAAGCUCAACAUAAUGUUGACGUUAAAAACAAACCAGUGCUCUGGACAACAUCAAGCAACUUCUGAAGACAAACCAGAUUUUGAUUGAAAAUCACUCAGGUACUUCAAAAAAGGUUAAUCAGGAAAGCGUUCUUUCAUUCUGAUUUUAUCUUUUUAGGAUUAUACAUCUCAGGGGGAGCUUUGUGCUUCUGUAAGAUGUAUUCUUUUGUGAUUACCCUAUACAAAAAUGUUCAUAAAAAUACAUGUUUUGUCAUCAUCAAAAAGAGGGAGAUUGUUAGAAUAAGAUUUGGUUCUGCAUCUAUACCUUUAUUUUUGGUGAUAAAAAUGUUGUAUUUGUGUGAGAACAAUUUUGGUACCCUAAAGGUUGUUAUUGUGUAGCUUUAACAUCCAAUUUUGAUUCUGAGUAUAUGACGUGCAACGUCAUCAGUUUCUGAAUGAUGAGUUCCAUUUCCGCUCAUGCGCCAGUCAUUAGAAGUUCUAAAAGAUGUUCAAUGUUGUUGCUACAAUAUUCUUUCUGCUUCUGAGUUGAUUCACUCCUGAGAAGCUUCUGAGGAGACAUUAUGUUACUGCUGCAACAUUCUCUCAGUUCUUACUUCUGGAAGUGACUCUGAUCACCAAACUUCUGAAGAAUGGCAAGCUUCUGAAGUUGUGUUACUUAGCUGAAGAUUUUGAAGAUCUCAAGCUAGACGAUUGAGGUUAUCAAGGUUCUGACUGUAGAUUCUGAAGACUCUGAAGAUUCUAAAGAUACUGAAGAUCUCAAGCCAGACUAUUGACACUGUCAAGAUUCUGACCAAAGAUUCUGAAGUUUCUAACUCCAGCUUUACAUUUCUUUAUUUCAUUCUUUAUCAACUUUCAUCGGAAUCUAACAAACUUGAAGAUAAGAUCAAAUGGGCAUGUGAUCAAAUAGUAUAUAGUACAAAUAAAAUGUCCUCUCCACUACCUGGUAUUAUGGGCAAAGACAGUAUUAUACAUCACACCUAUCACUGAAUUUGUGGGCGAAGGACAGUACGCAGUAUCACUCCUUUCACCAUCCAACAAUGGACAGCCGCUCUAUGAGCUUUCCCCAUUUUACCCUCCAACGGUCCUUUUCUUAUGCUAUAUAAGUAGAACUUGGAGACUUGAAGAAAAACAACGAGAGACGCAAGAAUGCUGAAGCGCUGCUAAACUUGAAAAAAAGCUAUCAUCCUUUAUAUACAAGUUUUUAUUUAAGUAUUUGUUUAUCAUUUGUGUAAAAUAUGCUUGUAUAGAAACAACUUGUAAUACACAAAAUAUUAUUCAAAUUGUUUGUUUGAUUCCUUAAGGAGACUAGGGUAUAGUCGGAUCCUUGAGAAGACAAAGAAUGUCAUUCUUUGUGAUUAUUGUAAUUAGUUGAUUAUAGUGGAUUAAGUCCUUGUGUAUAAGGAGAAAUCACCUUGGCGGAUGGACUGAAGUAGCUUUGAGUUUCAAGCGAACCAGGAUAAAAAUACUUGUGUUUUUAUCUCUUUGUUAUUAACUUUUAAGUGGUGUUCUUGAGGUGGUAAAAAGCUUUUGUUUUGUAAAACCCAAUUCAAACCCCUAUUUCUUGUGUUUUUCACAACUUCAAUUAGUAUCAUAGCUCCGUUUCUGAUUGUGAUAAAAGUUUUAUCAACACUUCACUGUGUUCAGUAUCGAUCCAAGUUUGUGUGAGAAACAAUAGUCGCUGCUAACGCUGCUAAUAUUGGUAACAACAAUGAAAGAGAUACUAUAUUGCAAAACCGCAAACCUUUGAUGGUGAGAAAUUUGAUUCUUGAAAAGAUAGAAUAGAAAGUUUCUUUCUUGGUUACAAUGCUGAUCUCUGGGAUCUUGUAGUCGAUGGCUAUGUUCACCUAGUUAAUGCUGAAGGAAAUAAUAUAGCAAGAAGUGCUAUGAUUGAUCAACAUAAGAAAUAUUUCAAAAAUCACGAUAAUGCCAGAACUAUAUUGCUUAAUGUUAUCUCUUAUAUUGAGUAUGAGAAGAUAACAAACAGAGAUUCUGCCAAAUCUAUUUUCGAUUCUCUAAGGAUGACUCAUGAGGUGAAUUAUCAAGUAAAAGAGACAAAUGCCUUGGCCUUAAUCCAAAAAUACGAGGCAUUUAGAAUGGAGGAUGAUGAAACAGUUUAGACCAUGCUCUCAAGAUUUCAGAUGCUUGUUGCAGGACUGAAAGUUUUGGACAAAGGAUACUCUACAACUUAUCACAUCAAGAAGAUUAUCAAAAGUCUUCCUAAAAAAUGGAGACCUAUGGUAACUGCUUUGAAGAUGGAAAAGGAUCUCAACAAUAUCAAUCUUAAAGAACUUGUUAGUUCUUUAAGAAGCCACGAGAUUAAGCUCGAGGAAGAUGAACCUCAUAAGUGAGGUAAAUCUGUUGUCUUAAAGUCUAAGCCUGAGAAGACAAAAGCUUAUCAAGCUAAGGAAGAAUCAGAAGGUUUUGAUGAAGACUCAGAAGAUGAUGAGUUGUCUCUGAUUUCAAAGAGAGUCAAUAUUCUCUGGAAGAACAGGCACAAUGGUCAAGGGAAGUUCAAAGGAGUCAGAAGGACUGCUGAUCGUAUUUAAAAUUAUUAUUAUUAUUCUAAAAUAUAAUUGAAAUAAAAUAUUAUAUAUUAGGUUUAUCAUAUUAAAUAUUAAAAGGAGUCUUAAUAUCAUACUUAGACAUAAAGAGAGAAGUAGAUGAAUUCAAUCUAUUUAAUGUGAAUUAUUUAUUCCGAAUUUAUUUUAUUUAAUAUAUUUAGUGAACUAAAUUAAGAAGGUUUGAAUUUAAUAAAAAACAAAAAAUUAUUUAACAAUUAAUAAUUUUAUAAUUUAAAUAAAAACAAAAAUGAAUUAUUAAAAGAGUGUAAAUAUUAGAGUAGAUUAGAUUGAAUAAGUAAUAUUGAUUAUAAUAAGGAGAAGUAAUAAUAAUAAUUUCCUGAGCAGAUAACUUGGUCUAAUUGGCUGCAGCCCACGAUCCAGAAAGAAAAAGCCUUAAACGACGUCGUGUUUAGAAAUUAAAAGAAAAACGCCGUUGCGGGGAUCGAACCCGGUCACCCGCGUGACAGGCGGGAAUACUCACCACUAUACUACAACGACUCAUUUGUUUGUUUUUCCUAUCGUUUAUUAUUAAUACAUUUUAUGCUAACCACUAUGAUGAAGAUAACACGUUUGUGGCUGUGUGUUCACACUAUUCUCAUCCGUGUGUUAUUGUUUCAUUUCAUCAUACUGUUUGUUACAUUCAAAUCAAAAAUAUACUACUCUCCAAUAAAUGAAUACUUAGUACAAUGCCUUGUCCUAACAUCACUAUUAUGCAUUCUUCCACCCUAUUUUACAUUCUCAACUCAACUAACCAUUACUAAUAUAUUAUCCAAAUUCAACUAUUACCCUAUUUUACCUUAUAAUAACAAUAAACUAAGGAUUAU